rnacentral:lncRNA from 1 species
UCCAAUAAACAUCGGAAAUUUGGUUGGUCUUACAGUAUUUGAGAUGGGAAAUAAUACUUUUGUAUCUGGACAGAUUCCAGAGAGCAUUGGUCAGCUAAGAAACUUGGGUGUGUUAGGCCUUUACAACACUAGCUUGUCAGGCCUCAUACCUUCAUCACUAGAAAAUCUUACACAGUUGAAUCAUCUUUAUUUAUACUAUGGAAACUUAGAGGGGCCAAUUCCAUCAAACUUGGGGAACUUAAAGAAUGUGUUUGCCUUUGAUCUCUCAACAAAUCGACUCAAUGGUUCAAUUCCUAUAGAGGUUUUAAAACUUCCUCGACUUUCCUGGUACUUAGACUUAUCAUAUAAUUCAUUAUCCGGGCCACUUCCAACUGAGGUUGGUACCAUGGUGAAUCUUAACGAACUGAUUCUGUCUGGAAACAAGUUGUCAGGCACCAUACCAGCUAGUGUUGGGAACUGUAUAUCGUUGGUACGGCUGCUGCUCGAUAACAACUUAUUAGAAGGAAGCAUACCUCAAUCUCUGAAGAACUUAAAAGGUCUUGCAUUACUGAACCUAACAAUGAACAAGCUAUCUGGUAGUAUUCCUGAUGCCCUUGCUAGCAUUGGCAACCUGCAACAACUGUAUCUAGCACACAACAACUUGUCAGGUUCCAUCCCCAAAGUUCUACAGAAUUUGACAUUGUUGGCAAAACUGGAUUUGUCAUUCAAUGAUCUGCAAGGCGAAGUGCCAAAAGGGGGUCCUUUUGCAAAUGCAACUCACUUGUCAAUUGAUGGAAAUGAUGAGCUUUGUGGUGGAAACCCUCAACUUCACUUAGCUCCGUGCUUCACAGCUGCUGCGGGGAAGAACAGAAGGCGAAUGUCAAGGUCAGUUAUGGUCACCGUAGCGUCAAUCUGCGCACUUCUAUUCUUAGGUUUAGUAGUUUUUCUUAUCCAUUUGAUCCACAAGACGCUCAGACAAGGAAAGGAAAAUCAACUCAUUCCCACAGUAAUUGAUGAACAGCACGAAAGGGUUUCAUAUCAAGCAUUAGCAAAUGGGACUGACCAUUUUUCGGAGGUUAAUCUGCUCGGACAAGGAAGCUAUGGUGCAGUUUAUAAGUGCACUUUACAUGACAAGGGAAUUACCGCAGCUGUAAAGGUAUUCAACGUAUGGCAAUCUGGUUCUACUAGAAGUUUUGUGGCUGAAUGUGAGGCACUGCGAAGGGUGCGCCACCGAUGUCUCAUAAAGAUCAUCACCUGUUGCUUAAGCAUUGAUCACCAAGGCCAAGAAUUCAAGGCACUGGUUUUUGAGUUCAUGCCCAAUGGUAACCUAAAUGGUUGGCUGCAUCCAGCAUCCAAAAUACAGAGUCUGAGCAAUACGCUCAGCUUAGCUCAGAGACUGGACAUUGCGGUAGAUAUCAUGGAUGCUCUGGAUUAUCUUCACAAUCAGUGUCAACCGCCUAUUAUCCAUUGUGAUCUCAAACCAAGUAACAUCCUCCUUGCCGAAGAUAUGAGUGCUCGGGUUGGAGAUUUCGGCAUAUCAAAAAUCCUUCCUGACGACACUAGCAAAACUCUGCUGAAUUCAGUUAGCUUCACUGGACUAAGAGGUUCCAUCGGAUAUGUCGCUCCAGGUAACAGAAACUAACACUGAUAUUGCUAUGUUCAGUUUUUUAACUUCCAUUUUGCCAAGUCCAGUUAUCUCGGCAUGCACGUUCAUAAGUAGCUUGCCAUGAAUCCACUGACCAAAUAGUGUCUGAAAUCUGAAUUGACUGCAGAGUACGGCGAGGGUCGCGCUGUCUCAACUCUUGGAGAUGUUUACAGCCUCGGCAUACUGUUGCUUGAGAUGUUCACCGGGGUGAGCCCUACUGACGACAUGUUCAAAGACUCCUUGGACCUUCAUAAGUUCGCCGAGGCCGCUCUCCCGGACAGAGCCUUGGAGGUAGCCGACCCGGCAAUCUGGCUUCAUGAAGAAGCAAAGGGGAAAGACCCUGCCACGGUGAGAAGCAGAAGCGAGGUGUGCUUGGCUUCAGUGAUCGGGCUUGGCGUGUCCUGCUCAAAGCAGCUGCCAAGGGAGCGGACGGCGAUGCGGGAUGCUGCCGCUGAGAUGCGUCCGAUCAGAGAUGCCUUCCUGGUUCAAUGUGCAACAGAGACUUGGGCUGCAGUCGGCACCACCGGCCUUGGAAGCGCAGACAGUUGAAUGGUGGACGGAGCUACGGUCUCUUGACGCACCAAGGAGCACCGGACUAGCAACUCUGCAACUAACAGAGUGGAGAAAGCGCCCCUUAAUGAAAAGAAAAACAGCCGGUGCAAGGCUUUAUACAAAGAAUGUGACAGCCACUGCGUGUAUCCGAGGCUUUAUACAACUCUGCCUUAUCUAAUCUACCGAGGAUUGUUGCGUAUGGAUGCGUAUAGAUUAUGCACGUACUCCCUCCUCCGUCCUAAAAUAAACGCACAUCUCGUUUCUCGAGGAGUCAAACUUUUAAGUUUGACUAAAAUUUAUAAAAAAAAUGUACUACUAUUUAUAAUGUAUAAUAAAUGUCAUUAUUGAGCAUUGGGUAUACUUUCCUAAUACAUUUAUUUGAAGAUGCAAAUAUUGUUACUAUUUUCUAUAUUCUUAGUCAAACUUAAAAACCCGUCAUGGGGAUUAGUCACGAUAUAAGUAGGGACUAGCAAGCAUCAAAACCCCAUUCACUGCCCAUCUAUCGCUCAAAUAAAAGAAACCAUUGCAUAUGGUGGCGAUGCGCUCGCGAGCCUUUCUCCAACCUUUCUGCUCUCGCGAGCCUUGAACUCGCAUGGAACAGUUUUAGUGAGAGUGUGCCUCCAACUUUGGGAAGAUUGUGAAGCCUUAUUUACCUGUCCUUAAGUGGCAAUAAGUUAUGAUCGAAUGAUAAGGACGGAUUGGAAUUCAUCACCAUGCUAGCAAACUGCAGCCAGCUUCAGCAACUGGCUUUUGAUAAUAAUUCAUUCAUCGGUGAACUUCCUAGCUCAAUAGCAAAUCUAUCGACAACUCACCAAUUACUCUAUAUAGGAAACAAUUGGAUUUCGGGAUUUAUUCCAUCCAGCAUAGGUAAUUUGCUUGGUCUAGAACUGCUUACGUUGGCAAAUACUUUCAUAUCCGGAGUGAUUCCAGAUAGCAUUGGUCGCAUAGAAGACAUGUCCGUGUUAGGCAUUUACUACGCUAGCUUGUCAGGCAUCAUACCUUCAUCACAAGAAACCUUACACAGUUGAAAACUCUAUGCAUACGAUAGCAACUUGGAGGGUCCAAUUCCAGCAAGCUUGGGGAACUUAAAGAAUCUUUUUGUUCUUGAUCUUUCAACGAAAGUGUGUUACCCGUUAAGAUUUCAUGUCGAAGCAGAGCAUAAACCUCUCUCAAGACUGCAAAGCUAUCAUAGAGCAGAUCAGUCUGAGGGCCGGGCUAUGUACCCUUUCGGUAAGAUUACCCCAAACUAGAGUCUGUAAUUAAUUAGCCAAGACUAGAAUUACGUAGUUCUUGUGGUUGUACUGUUUUCCUGGGUGGCCGCUCCAUGUUCCAAUUAAGCAUGAUGAUCUUGUAUUAAUAAAAGGUAUAUCAUAAAUAAAACAAGUUUAAUCAUUGAGUUCAUUAAAACCAUCACAACCCAAGGUAUUGCAACUAAGCAUAUCUACCAAAAAAAGGGUAAAACCCAGGUUGACAAAGAAUGAUCAUAAAAACUAGGUAAACCUUAAUAGGGCCCAUCAAUUUUAAGUGCACAGCAAUGCAAAAGUGAUUAAAUAUAGUUAUUGGGACAAAAGCACAUGGACACACUUGCCUUUCUCCAAAGAAUAGCUGCUCUGAUUAUCUUCAACUCUUGUUCCUCAAAGCUCUCGAACAACGUUCCUUAUACUCACAUCAAUCAUUGGCACAAGCAUACAAAGCAAACAACAAUCACAACUAAGAACAAUACAUCAAUCAUAGGAAAGCUUUAAAAGAGCGCACUAAAGGAUAAGGCUUGAAUCUGAAACACUGGGAACUAAACUAUGGUUGAAAUGACAAAGCUAUCGAGAGAUUUGAAUUAUAAAAGAAAGAGAAAAGCCUAUGCGCUUCAUAUAUUUCAAUAAAGAAAAUAAUGUAAAGAUAUUUUAGAGAAACAUCCUUAGCAAGUUAUAUUUAUAUAUGAAAAGAUAAUGUAGAACUUAGUCAAAUUUUAUUUAUAAACAUUCAAGUACAAUUUAUGCAAAUUAAAAAUUUAAUUUGAAAAUAAAGUAUAUGGAAACAUCUAAGCGCAUAGCUUUAUGAUUCGGGUUGAACUAACCAAAUAUAAUUCAAAAACAUAUUUAUAUUUAUAUUAAGUCAAAUUAACAUAUAAUUAUGAAACCUCGAGAUAUAACUUAUGUAGCUUUUAUUUAGAAAACAAAUUGAAUAAACAUUAAUCAAUUUAAGUUCAAUUAUGAACCACCGUGGUGCAUCUCUAAUUCACUUUUAAUUGAAAGAGUUAUUUAAAUAAGCAUUAACUAAAUUAAUAUUUAUUAUGAAAAGUGGUUAUAACACUAAGUAGCUUUUAAUUAAGGAAGGCAUGUUUAACAUGCAUUAAUUAGAUUAAUAUUAAAUUUAUUUUAAAAACAUGCAUGAUGGAAAGAUCAGUACUAACAUGUAAUUUGUGUUAUCACGAACCUAACUCAACAAGAACGGAUAUAAACGGAGCUGUAACGAGGAGUCUAUGGGUUAAACAAGGUUGCAGGGCCUAAUCACGAUUAACGGAAGGUUGUUGGGGCUAGCAAGGAAGAUUUGCAAGACACUGGAAUAGAGCUCGUUAUUAGGUCAAAGCAUAGGGUUAGAUCUGUUAAAGUGCUCAGGUUGGACUUGGUUGCACGGAUACAAUCUAAUCAGGGACAUGGAUGAAAAAAACAAGACACAAGGAAAAACUAACUAUAUAUAGAGCUUUCUAGGGGCCUAUGCGCAAAAGCACCAUAGCUCAGCAUCCAUGGUGGACGGGCUCCUUGACGGCAAAAUCCUCAUGCUGGAUUUAUAAGCCUGGUAGUCCACCAAGGGGUUUCCCAAGUAGUUGAUUUGUAGGUGAGGGUGAUUGUGAAACCAAGAACUCGAAGGUGAUUGUGAGAACACGAAGGGACACAAAGGUUUUAGACAUGUUCGGGCCUCCGAAGAGUAAUACCCUACGUCCUAUAUGCUGGUUUGUAUUGCUUGAGAUUGAUGUGAUUGUUGCGAUAUCCUCGGGGGUGCCCUUGGCCACCUUAUAUAGGUUGACGACCAAGAGUUAAAAGUCGGUUUGAAUCUAAUCUACUCGGUAGUUACAUGGAAAGUAAUCUGAGUUGGACUACAAUACACGUUCCAUGAUAUCCGAGCAGAUUUGAACUGUCUUGUUGCCUUGACUUGCACUCCAAGUAACUUCAUAUCCUCGGCCCACACGCCCUGGUCGAGCGAGCCCUACUUGUCAGGUUCGGCCAGUAUCCUGGUCGGCUGGGGCCCAUGGGGUACCCAUUUCUCUCAAGCCCCCGAGCGUUGUGUAGGCAAAUAGAAACUUGAGGUCACCAAAACGAAACUUGAAAUGAAGUCGGCUGAAGCUGCGAAGGCGUCAUUGCGACGGAGAGGCUGCGCAGUGCUUAAAAGAAGAAAAUCUGAGCAAACACAGAGCCAACGCGUAGAGCGAAGACGAGUGCCGAGUUGAUGGAUGCUGGCAUCCAGUAGGUCGGAGCGAAGGUUACGGAGGGCGUCGCAAGAGAAACUCCGUAGGAGUAGCCCCCGAGCAUUGAAACGAUUAAGAUAAUCGGUACAUUGGUCAAAGUACAAAAAAUUAUCCCAUGAUGUAGAUCCUAGUGCUCGAACACAAGGAUGGGUGCAGCCAUGGAGGCCCGCCCACUAGAAGUAGGCACCCAGACCCAAGGACGAGGACUGAUAGGACCGCGUAGCCACGCUGACCUGAAAUAGGCGUCCAACCCCCGAGGACGAGGACUAGCGGAGCCGCGGAGGCAUGCUGACCUGAAGUAGGCGCCCAGCCCCCGAGGAUGAGGACUGGCGGAGCCAUGAAGGCACGCCGACUUGAAAUAGGCACCAAGUGUAACAACUCUACCUAAAUUAAGUGCUUUUAAAUAUAAACUAGUGGCUAAUCACUAAGUUAAAGAAGUAAAAUGACCAUUUUAACCCUAAGAAGCUCUUUUUGGAGUUUGAAAUAAAACUUGGAAUUUUAUAUGCAAACUUAAAAUUUUGCCCAAACAAGAGUUGUAAAACUUUCAAUUUCAAACAACUUUUGUUAAACGAACUUUGACUAAUUCAGAGUGGGAGGAAGUCAAAAAUAGCAAUCAAAACUGGAGUACUAAAGAACCCUAUAAACCUCCUAAGUCCUGGUUUUCAAAUUUUCCCUCCAACUUUGCAAGCCUUUAUCUCAUGAUUUCUUAUCCAAACUCAAGUCAGGCUCUUAAUAAAAGUUGUAGUCCCUCGAGUGUGUUCCAACUUUGUUACACUGACCCAGGUCCAAAUCGGGCCAGAACCUGUUCAAAAUCUUGGUCAAAGUGAGGUAAAACAGUCAACUCAUCCCUUGAGCCCCACAACGCUAAGUCUGAAAAACUGCUCAGAGUGCACCUCUUGGCGAGGGCGUUCCUCCAAAUUUUUGAACUAAACUCAAGAAAUACCCUAAAUAAAAGCUUAAACCCAGGGACCCCUACGUAGUUAAACCUUAAACCCAGGGGCUUGCUUGCAACUUUGUCACAGCUUUUCUUUUAAAUAAUAGGCAGAAAUAUGGUUGAAUUUUGUAAAUGCCCAGUAAAUCGUAGAAUAAUCAUAAAAAUGCCAAACUACUUUUGCUAGAAUCCUUUCUCUGUCUAGUUCCUAAGAAAAAUAAGUUUGCUCAUGUUACUGUUGUAAAUAAUAUCCUACGCUUUUAAUCAUGUUGUAGGCCUUUUAAAUCCUAAUAAAUAGAAGAAAAGUGGGAAAAAUGUGGAACCAACUCUGUGAUGCUUGUUUCUAUGUGUAGAAGCUUAGAAAAAUAGUUAGGGCUCUGGUGUAGCACUUUAAGUCACUGUUUUGACUUUAAAUUGGGAAUCUAAGUAUAAAUCUUCCUUUUUGCAUAAGUUUUGAUCUAGAGCUUAGAAAAAUGUGAAACUAGUUGGGUUAAUUUUGUUUUGCUGUAAAGUUCUCAGGAAAAAUAUAAAUUGUUGUGCAAAUCAGAAAUAAAAACACCUUCCUUGCUAAGCAUGUUUAAUUAAGAAAAGAAAUAGAGUAAAUAGUAACCUUGUCCAAAAAUUACGAAAAAAUUCACCAAAGCACCUGUAACAUACCCUUAACACACUGCUUAAGUUUCACCCUCUGUUGCACAAUAAUUUUGAAGAUGGAAAAAAUUAAGCUCAGUUUACCUUUAAUAAUAAAAUGCAUGUAACUUCUUUUUAAGUCAUCCUUUGGCCCCCAAACUUUUACAGUAACCUAGUGAUGGCUUAAGUGAGGUGCUGUAAUUUUAUCAAUGACUUUAACUACUUUUUGGAUAUGAAGUCAUUUUGGUUAAUUAAUCAACCUAAAGGAAUAAAAGGAGAGCGCGAAUUCUAAUACGAUAAAUAAGUGGACACUGAAAGAGGUACAUAAAAACAUUCAGAAGUAAGUAAUUAUUCCAAUGCAUCCAAACCACCCAACACGACCUUUCACACUCUUUAUGCAACUCUAAAUGCAAGAAAGCUAUAUAUGUACACAAUCGCCAUUCAACGCGAACUCAAGUUUAAAACGACCACUUUCGUUUGAAGUUAAAAAAAGUAAACCUCAUCAAAGUGUUUGUGGCUGUUGUGACUCUUGUCUUAAGCCAUGCCUUGUGUCGUUGAAUAAACGCGCGAGUCCAACUAAAUUUUUGUAUGUGCAUGUCGUAUAGAAGCAACUCUCGCCGACGGAACCUACGAGCUCCACCCGGCACCAGAGAAAGACCCCGCUACGGAGCUUCACCACUUGGAAGGCGAGCCCGAACCGGAGCAAGAUCCUGAGGACCCGCUAACUUUUCCUGAAGGCAAGCCCCGGAGCAUAAAUUCCUAUCUUUGAAUACUUGCAAUAUUAUUGAACACUUUGAUUGCGCAUUUACGUUUCUAGGAGUUGUAAUGAAACCUUAGAUGCAUGAACUUAGUACCUUGUUUGAAUACUAGUUGCUAAAGUCGAGUAGUUGCAAUGCUUAAUAGGUUCCGGUAAAAGUCGAGUGAUUUCCUAUCACUCGCGAGUUAUAGGAGUUGAAUGUUUACUUAUGUUGCAACUAUAAGGACGAUGGAUGUGGUCGGGCUUAUGUUCGAUACUUGGUGGUUUUUCCCCGUCUGUCUAAAGGAAAUUGAUCUAAGGUUGAAAUGUGUCGGCGUUCGUGAUCAAGUGUUUGAAAGUACUAAUCUCAUACCUAGUAUGGGAUGGGGAAGCCUAGUACCUGAUUGAACUGGGGCAUGGCAUACUCCCCCAGCUGCCUUGGAACACCGUUCCCAUGGUGCAUCAUGUGGGUGCAAGUGCGGUCAUAGUACGGCAGAGGCCGGGAUUAUGGAGCAUGGCAUGCCAAAGGCAGUUGGCCCUGACACGUGCCUAAGGGAUCGAUGGGGACGGCUGACAAAUGAAGCAACCCUUCGUGGUGCGCGGAUGUCGUGAGAUUAGGUUCGCCAUGCAUGGUUAAUAAAUUCGAAUCGAUUCGUCUGCCUCUCACAGUUUGGGACUACUUGAUCGCUAUUCUGCACUGAGUAACGAUGAAACAUGAUUACGAGAUUAAGUUGAUGCUUGUUAUUUAACUGCUUGGAAAUCAUGCUUGUUUAGCAUAAGUGGCUAAUCUAGAAUGGUUAAAGAACGUAGAACUUGAGCUAAAAUAUUGAAAGUAAGGACUGAUUGUAGACGCUUGUGGCAAAGAAAUCGCAGAGCCAGAAAGCCUUGCAUGUCUAGGUCUUGGUAAAGCUUUUCACUCGACGGGUCAGUCUUGCUGAGUAUUAGUUGCUCAGCCUUGUUGUGGCUUAAUCUUUUCCAGUGAUGUCAAUAGUUUGGUUGCGGGCACCACUUGGCCUACCCAGCUCCCUCCGGGCUGGACAGUCGAGUGGGAUCCCUCCUCGGACGGCGAGGGAAGGGAUUUUUGAUGUCAUGAUUGGAUCCGUCGUGAUGUCAUGUAUCGAUGUUUAGCUUCCGCUUGUUUUAUCCGACUUUUCGAACCUUGCAACUUGUUUGAAUUUUCAGAAACUCUGAUGUAAUAAUUUGUGACACUAAGGAAUGUGAUGGAAUGUAGUAAUCUCUGUGCUACUCACCUUCAUGUGAGCGAUGCUUCUCGAUCCUGUUUAGGUGGUUCAUCGGAUGAAAUCCAACGGUCGACCAGUUUGACUUGCUUAAAGUGCAUAAUCGCGUGUCAGGCGACUUCAACGCAUUUUAGUCAGGUUAAUUUGGGUGGUUCCGCCACAGCUAGCAUCAGAGCUCGAAGCACGGUAUGGAGAACAACAAACCUUAAAACACUUUUCCUGACUAAAACUUGCAAGAAACGAGUUGAAAAAUUCGUAAGUUCGUUAAGGAUGAAUUUAGUACGAGGAGCCCUAGGGGAAUUUUGGGUCUUUUAAGGUGGCUAAUAAUUAUUGGUUAUCUUCUGACUUCCAGCACUUGUUACCACGUCUAUCAUACGUGUGCCGAGAUCUGCAUCGCGAGUGUGCGAAGGGUGAUAGGAAUUCGAUUCCAACGAGCCUAUCAUCACGGUUGUUUCGCCCACGUCUAUUAUACGUGCGCAGGUUCCGUAUGUUAAUUCAUGCGAAGGAUGGUAUGGUUCGAUUCCAACGAGCCUAUCAUCACGGUUGUUCGCCCACGUUUAUUAUACGUGUGCAUGAUUCCGCAUCACGAGAAUGUGAAGGGUUAUAUGGUUCUAUUCAAGGGAACCUAUUUCCACGGUUGUUGCGCUGUCCAUGCAGCGUUAAACGCAUGGGUGCCGUUUCUAUAGUGAACGGUAAUGAUUGUGGACGCUUUUGUGAGUACUGGCACGGAAAGUUCAAGCUAUGAUGUGUUUUUCUGCGGGUACACUAACAACGUUGCGUACGAAACGAUGCUUAGCAACUCGACUAGUUAUUAUAGUGAGAGUCGUAUUGUUGCCUUGCCACCGGCACUAACCACGUAAGUUCAAAGAUUUUUGGCGAUUAUUUUUGGUUGAGAGGAUGACUAGGACGUGCAUGCAUUAAGAAAUAAAAACCGCAACCUAAGGAAAUAAAACCAAGCUCGAGUGUGUCGUAAAAAGAAAUGCACCGCGAUAAGGAUCGUCUAGUUGUCCUUUUUUUUCCGCCAUGCACGUUUAAAUAAAUCUUUCAGGUUGUUCCAUAUGAUAACUUCAGAAACUUUAUAUAAGAAAUUUGUGUUAAAUCUCCCAAGUAAACUGCUGAAAAUUUUUCACAAAGUACUACCACUUGGGUUGAGAGUUGUGAUCAGUUUUGUGACCCCCUGUUGGCUGUUAGCCCUGAGUGCACACCAGUUGGAAUUCUGCUGUUUCGACCACCUUAAGAACUUUUUCUGCUAGGAGUCCCUUAAGAAACGUUUCUCAAAACUUAAUAAAGAACUUACUGGUAAAAUUGCAGCUUCAUUAGGUCUCUUGUUUUGAAGUUAUGUUCAGUUUACUUUGACUCGGGUCUGAAAAAUUCUAGCAUGUACACUUAAUGGGAAUCUGAGGUUAUCACCUUGUUAGGUCCUGUUCUAGCCCUACCUUUGAAUACCAAACUUGUUACGCACUAUCUAAAGAACAUGCUGGUAAAAUUUGAGAAAUUUUGGAUGAAUAAUUGCUGAGUUAUGAGCUUUUCUCUAACUGCUAGAAAUCUGUUUUGAUUUCCAAGUGUUAACUCCGUUUCUCACUUGUCCUUUGGUUACAGUGGCUCAGCCUGUGCACGUUGCAGUCGGUACGGAUGGCACCACCUACUCACGGUGCCUUCACUACGAGGGUUUCCUAGCCGUACUGUGGGACACCCUGCGCUCUUUUGGGUACCCGUCACCGCCAGUUUACGCGGGACGUGCAUACCAGGACCGCGGGAUUCCGCGGAGUCGCGUGCACGUGCGGGUGCCCCCGCCUCCGGGUCAGCCACAGUGUCCGCUUUUGGAGGUGGUGGCCGAGGGAUAGACACUACAGGACACCUGGGAGUUCGCAGCCUUGCAGACCCUGACACAGUUUUGCCGGGCACACCCUCUUGAGAUCGUGCUGGACCCGAUUGGGUUGUGCUCUGCUCGGGAUACGAGGGACCCGGAUUGGUUGGAUCGUAUGGAGCAUAUGGACUUACUCAGGGUUAUGGAUCCACAACGCACGAUUUUUGUUUCAGCUCGUUGCCUGAACGUGUUCUUCCGGAUGGUUGAGAUGCAGAGCCGAGCGAUGGCUACGGUGAUCGGGAUGGCAGUGGCCAACCAGGUCGCUUUAUCUGCCGUGCAGAGUGGCAUGGUGGACCAGUCGCUUGAGCUAGUACAGAAGGAUGUCCAGAUUGCUGAGAUGCAGGACAAGAUCACUCGUUUGGAGGAGGAGAUUGUGGAUAUGGAGCAUGAUAUGGAGAUCUUGGCUGACCAGUUCUAUGAUGUGAACAUGGAGCCGGCGAACGUCAAUGAGCACCUGCAGGAGCAUCACGAUGAGCUUAAUGCCAUUCACACCUUAGAGAUGCAGCAGGAUGAGCCGAUGGCCCAGGAGGAGGAGCCUGAGGAGAUCGAGGGCUUUUCGAGCAUGGACUAUGAGGAGGCCUCUCCGCAGCCUCCAGUUGGCGAUGCUCACUCUCCUGCCCUUAGCUUUGCCUCCGUGGGCAACCUCGACGACUUCUAGUUGUGUUGACUUGUUGUUGAGGGGUUCUCUUUUGUUUUUACUCCUCGGCGACCUAUAUUUUGGCUAGUGAUAUAAUAGGUUAGCUUGAGUUGAGUAUUUGGGAGUUGAGAAACUGAUUCUAUGUUGGAUUGCCGUUGCUAUCUUUAGUGUAAUGUCUGAAAUUUAUGGCAGAACUGCAGUGACUGUUUCUCCUCAGUUUUACCCCUGUCUCCACUCGUUUUUGAGCCAAAGUUUGAAUACCAAAGUUGUGCAAAAACUUCUGUUCUAACUAUUCGUAAAUUUUCAGCUCCUUCGGAUCUGUCAAACGCCCGCUAGAGCCAAAACCCCACUGUUCAGCUUGCUGAAAAAUCAGCCGGACAGCAACUUGCUAGAACGUCUAAACGACCUCUUUUCCUUCCUUUUCGGUCGACAAGCGUAACAUGAAAGUGGUUGUGUACGAUAUAUUCUAACCCUCACUUAAGGAUGAGAACCUUGUGCACUUCGAAGAAGAGAUAUGCACCUACUCAAUAAAAGUUUUGAUUGUUGCUUUUGCACCAUCGGCAAGACUAGCGUUUAUCAUUUCCGCACAUAAUGUUUCCUUAUGGUUAAACAAGAUUUUGGGGCUAUGUGACUAAUGGAAAGGUGAAUCUUGCAGAUGGCACAUCGCAUAUGCUCCGGCUCCAUUCCUAGUGGCAGCGAGGUGCCUCCCCCACCUCCGCCUCCAACCACCCUCGAGGCAAUCUUGGCGGCUCAAACCGAGCUGCUGAGGCACAUCGCUCAGGGACAGCAGCAGCAGCAGCCCUAGGGAGGAAGAGCCCAUCAGCAGCCUCAUGUUGCUCGCUACGAGGACUUUCUGGGGACCCAGCCUCCUCUGUUCCACAAGACGGAGGACCCGCUUGACGCCGAUGCCUGGAUUCGUGCCAUCGAGUCCAAGUUCUCCCUUCUCACCGCCCAUUGCCCGGAGGAGAACAAGGUUCGGUUCGCCGCGCAACAGUUGCAUGGUUCUGCUCUCCUGUGGUGGGAUCACUACCACGCCAUGCAGCCGGCCGACCACGUCGUCGGCUGGGAGGAAUUCAAGACAGCGUUCAAGGGCCAUCACAUCCCUGAGGGUCUUCUGGAGCGCAAGCUCAAUGAGUUCCUGGCUCUCACCCAGGGAGGCCGCGACGUCCUGCACUAUGCGCAGGCUUUCAAUGACCUGUGUCGCUAUGCAGGCUAUCAUGCAGACUCUGAUGAGAAGUAGAGGGACCGCUUCCACAGAGGCUUGAGCCUGGAGCUCAAGGAAAGCCUGAAUCCCAUCAAGGUGGAUUCCUACAAUGAACUGGUGAACCUGGCAAUUUCCCAGGAAGAUUGCAUGAGGGCUCUCAAGGCUGACCUGAAGCGAAAGGCUCCAAUGCCGGCACCCGGCCCACCGGCCCAGAAAUACAAAGUGGUUCCCCCACAGGCGUCUCACAGGCCCGCACAACCUAGGAGAUGGGUUGCUCGACCUCCACCGCAGGCAGCACCUCAUUUCCCUGGAUUCCAGCCGCAAGGGCCCCGACCUACUCUUCCUAUGCCGCCAUGCCUAGUCACUGGAAACCGCUGUUUCACCUGCGGGAACCCAAGACACUUUGCCAAGAACUGCCCCCGCAACAAGAAUCAACGACCCGGUCAGAGCAAUGCACUGAGCAACAAGGGGAAGAAGCCGAGGGUUCAGGUCCGACAAGGCAGGCUGAACUACACCACCCUUGCUGAACUUCCAGAGGGUGCACCAGUGAUGACGGGUACCUUUUCUAUCUAUAACCAACCCGUCCUUAUUCUGUUUGAUUCGGGAGCAUCUCAUAGUUUCAUUGGGACUAGAACCAGUGCUAAGUGUGGGUUAGAUUUCUGUCACACAAAAGGUGCUUAUAUAAUCUCUACCCUGGGUAGGAAAGUAACUUCACACCAAGUGAGCCGCAAGGUGCCUAUCCAGUUGGGGAGAACCCUUUUUAAGGAAAACCUCCUUAUCCUUGGGAUAGAAGGAAUAGAUAUUAUCUUGGGUAUGGAUUGGAUGACUCGACAUCGAGUGGCACUAGACAUCCCUGCCAGAGCCGUCCAUAUAAACUCACCCAUUUAUGGUAGCUCAAUCAUACACUUACCCCCCCGAGAGUGCCAAACUUUUUGUGCCUAUCCCUUGACUGAAGCCCGUUUAGAAGACAUCCCAGUGGUGUGCGAGUAUCCCGAUGUGUUUCUAGAUGAUUUGCUGGGUAUGCUGCCUAAUAGAGAUAUCGAGUUUGCUAUUGAGUUGCAACCAGGUACUGCCCCAAUUUCAAAGAGACCGUACCGGAUGCCACCAGCCGAGCUGGCAGAAAUGAAAGCUCAGUUUCACGAUCUGUUGGACAAAGGUUUUAUUCAUCCAAGUACAUCACCUUGGGGUGUCCCCGCCUUGUUUGUGAAAAAGAAGGACGACAGUCUGCGUAUGUGUCUGGACUACUGCCCUCUCAAUGCGGUGACGAUAGAGAACAAGUACCCACUACCCCGCAUUGAUGUUCUGUUCGAUCAGUUAGCUGGAGCUAGAGUGUUUUCCAAAAUUGACCUCCAUUCUGGCUACCAUCAAAUCAAGAUCCACCCGUGCGACAUUCCUAAGACUGCUUUCUCUACACGGUAUGGACUCUAUGAGUACUUAGUCAUGUCAUUUGGGCUUACUAAUGCACCAGCUUAUUUCAUGUACCUCAUGAAUUCGGUGUUUAUGCUCGAACUCGACAAAUUCAUCGUGGUUUUCAUUGACGAUAUCUUGGUGUACUCAAAGGAUGAGGAAGAACAUGCAGAGCACCUACAUACUGUACUCCAACGCUUAAGAGAUCACCAACAAUAUGCCAAAUUCUCUAAGUGUGACUUCUGGCUGGACAGUGUUAAAUUCUUGGGGCACACCAUAUCCAGAGACGGUAUAGCAGUAGACCCAAGCAAAGUGCAAGAAGUAAUGGACUGGAAGUCGCCCACUUCAGUUCAUCGGAUUCGAAGUUUUCUCGGGUUAGCAGGUUACUACCGUCGCUUCAUUCCUGACUUCUCAAAAAUAGCUAAGCCAAUGACGAAACUGCUAAGGAAGGGAGUUAAGUUCAUGUGGAGUGACAAAUGUGAAGAAGCCUUCCACACCCUGAGACAAUUACUGACCUCUGCGCCGGUUUUAGCUCAGCCCAACACCACUAGGCUGUUUGACGUAUAUUGCGAUGCCUCUAGCACUAGACUGGGUUGUGUUCUUAUGCAAGACAGCCGAGUCAUUGCCUAUGCCUCACGAGCGCUACGGCCACAUGAGUUGAACUACCCUACCCAUGAUCUCGAGUUAGCAGCAAUCGUUCAUGCUCUGAAAUUAUGGAGGCAUUAUCUUAUGGGAACUCGAUGCAACAUCUAUACGGAUCACAAGAGUCUUAUGUACAUCUUCACUCAAGCAGACCUCAACAUGCGCAAGAGAAGAUGGUUAGAAUUAAUCAAAGAUUAUGACCUAGAAGUGCACUAUCACCCAUGCAAAGCCAAUGUAGUUGCCGAUGCUCUCAGCCGCAAGAUCCAUUGUAACUGCUUAUCGGCAAUUAAUUAUGCCGAGACCCUCUGUCAUGAAAUGGCUAAACUCAACUUGGAAAUUGUUCCCCAUGGCACCUUAAGUCAUAUUUCUUUAGAGCCUACCCUGCUUGACCAAAUAAUUUUAGCACAACUAGAGGAUGAAGAGAUAAACCUUAUCAAGGAGAAACUCGCACAGGAGGAUGAGGGAUAUAAGCAUUUCUGAUAGGAUUGGAGAGGAGUGGUACAUUAUGAAGCUCGACUCGUAGUUCCAAAUGAUCCCGAUCUUAGGAAACAAAUUCUGGACGAAGCACACCUUUCCAAGUUCUCGAUUCACCCUGGUAGUACCAAGAUGUACCACAACCUCUGACAAAAUUUCUGGUGGAGUGGAAUGAAACCCGACAUUGCACGAUAUGUUUCAGAGUGUGAUACCUGUCAGCGAGUCAAAGCAAGCCACUUAAGGGUAGCUGGCCCCUUGCGGCCACUGCCUAUUCCCUCGUGGAAGUGGGAGGACAUAAGCAUUAUAGUCAGACUACCCAAUACCUCCCGCAAACAUGAUUCGAUAUGGGUUAUAGUAGACCGACUUACCAAAACAGCGCAUUUUCUUCCAGUACACACCACCCGCGCCAUACAGAAAUAUGCAGAACUGUACCUUGACCGGAUUGUUUCCUUGCAUGGUGUACCUAAGACGAUCAUCUCUGAUCGAGGUAGUCAGUUUGUAGCACGCUUUUGGGAGCAGUUGCAGUUUUCACUUGACACUAAAUUUAUUCGUAGUUCCACAUAUCAUCCUUAAACCGAUGGACAAACUGAAAGGGUUAACCAGAUUUUGGAAGAUAUGCUACGCGCCUGUGCCAUUCAUUAUGACAAGAACUGGGAUAAGUGUUUGCCAUUAGCGGAAUUCUCAUACAACAAUAGUUACCAAGCUAGCCUGAAAAUGGCGCCUUUUGAAGCCUUGUAUGGACGUAGAUGCCGAACCCCGCUAAGCUGGUCGCAACAGUGUAUGGACCUGACCUGGUCAUGGAGGCCGAAGAAAAAGUAAGAGUUAUUCGUGAAAAUCUCAAGGCCGCCCAGUCUCGACAAAAGAGCUAUUCCGAUCAAAGAAGAAGACCUAUCCAAUUUGAGGUUGGGGAUUUUGUAUACCUGCGGGUUUCACCGACCAAAGGCGUACAACGUUUUGGAGUAAAAGGAAAGUUGGCUCCGCGCUAUAUUGGUCCCUAUGAGAUUGUAGAAGUUUGUGGACCCGUAGCGUAUCGAGUUAAACUUCCAGAGAAGAUUGCAGCGAUACACGAUGUUUUCCAUGUCUCACAACUCAAGAAGUGCAUUCGGGUUCCAACUGAAAUCAUCGCCUCGGAAGAAUUGGAGAUUGAACCCGAUUUAACAUACAAGGAGUAUCCUGUUAAGAUCCUUGACCGGAAGGAAAGACAUACUCGUAGGCAAAUGGUAAAAAUGUACAAAAUUUGGUGGAGUAACCAUACGGAAGAUGAAGCGACCUGGGAGACGGAAGAGUAUCUCAACACUAACUUCCGCGGUUUUCUUUUCGACCAGGAAGGUACGUUGCACCGGCCACACUAGUUCCUUUCUGCACUUGAAUCUCGGGGCGAGAUUCCUUUAAGGGGGGUAGGCUGUAACAACUCUACCUAAAUUAAGUGCUUUUAAAUAUAAACCAGUGGCUAAUCACUAAGUUAAAGAAGUAAAAUGACCAUUUUAACCCUAAGAAGCUCUUUUUGGAGUUUGAAAUAAAACUUGGAAUUUUAUAUGCAAACUUAAAAUUUUGCCCAAAUAAGAGUUGUAAAACUUUCAAUUUCAAACAACUUUUGUUAAAGGAACUUUGACUAAUUCGGAGUGGGAGGAAGUCAAAAACAGCAAUCAAAACCGGAGUACUAAAGAACCCUAUAAACCUCCUAAGUCCUGGUUUUCAAAUUUUCCCUCCAACUUUGCAAGCAUUUAUCUCACGAUUUUGUAUCUAAACUCAAGUCAGGCUCUUAAUAAAAGUUGUAGUCCCUCAAGUGUGUUCCAACUUUGUUACACUAACCCAGGUCCAAAUCGGGCCAGAACCUGUUCACAAUCUUGGUCAAAGUGAGGUAAAACAGUCAACUCAUCCCCUGAGCCCCACAACGCUAAGUCUGAAAAACUGCUCAGAGUGCACCUCUUGGCGAGGGCGUUCCUCCAAAUUUUUGAACUAAACUCAAGAAAUAACCUGAAUAAAAGUUUAAGUCCUCAGUUUGGAGAGCAACUCCUUCAAUAACACUUCAGUCUAAUUCAACUUGGAAGCUGCCCUAAAUUCGACUCAAACAUAGCUAAGUUCCUGAAAUUCCACCUCUCCGGCCAAAAUUGGCUAAGUCUGGAUUUCCAGAUUUUUAGCAAACUUUGGCACGAGAUAUCUUCAAAUCCUUUCACAAUCUAAACCAGCACCUUAAACCAAGUUUGAACUACGUCCAGAGUUGAACAAGUUUGUUUAAAGGAGUUUUGGAAGAUGUGUUGCAAAAUCUUAAGUUAGGAUCUCCCAAAGCCGGUCGGGCUUGCUGCCCGAAGGGGGCCUCGACGCCCGCGCGCCAGAGCACGUUCGCCCGCGCGCCACGCGUCGCGUGGCCGCCGGCCACCGGCAGUUCGCCGGCGCCCUAUCACCGGCAAGACAACGAUAGGGCAAGGGCCACGGCGCCCAACCCGCGCUUGCGACAGGACGGUGCGAAUGCCGGGCUAGCGAACCGCCGGCCGCGCGGGUGUCCUUUUCCCCCUGCCACGGCUCUGCUCCGCCAACCGUGCUCCGCCCGUCCGCGGGAGAAGCCGCCACGCCGAUGACAUCCCGCGCCUCCGCCCGCUCGCCCAACCCCAAUGGUAGCCCUCCGCUUCGCCCGCCCGACAGACCGGAAGCCUCAGACACGCAUCGCCCAAGGCCAAUCCCCGCCGGAGACCACUCGGAGCUCCGACUCCUCUGCCCAAUGGCGCCGCUGGCCAAUGGCCGCCUCGCCCGCGCACCCGCCGCACCUGGCCUUAUCCUUCCUCCACCAGAGCCCCGCCUCGACCCUCCGCUCCACCGCUGCCCUAUAAAAAGGUCCCUCUCACCGGCAACGCCACCCUUUGCCACCACCCACAAUCGCGCCACCGCUUCCUCCUCUGCGCCGCCACUAAUCUUCCGUGGAGCUCACCCCUCCGCGCCACCCCGCACUCCGGCGACUUCACCGCUUGCUUUGCCAACCCACCGCGCACGUCUCCGAGCAGCUCGUGGCCUCCCCGACGCCGCCGAUGCGCCGGAACGUCGCCUGCACCGCCGCCAGCCAAGCUCUGUUGCCGCCGCCGCGUUCCGAUCCCCGUCGGCCAUCUCCGUCGCCCCAACCCCGCCAAACCGAGCUCAGGUGAGCCCCCGCACCUCUCCGGCCACUUGUUGCCCCAUCCUCGCCGGCGAACCGCCGGGGAUUUCCUCACCGCCGCCGCGCGCGCCCCGGGGACCACAUUGCAUCGUCCCCAUUCUUUCCAGGGGCUUGAGCGCAAAACUCAAGGACCCCUGUGUAGUUAAACCUUAAACCCAGGGGCUUGCUUGCAAGUUUGCCACGGCUUUUCUUUUAAAUAAUAGGCAGAAAUAUGGUUGAACUUUGUAAAUGCCCAGUAAAUCGUAGAAAAAUCAUAAAAAUGCCAAACCACUUUUGCUAGGAUCCUUGCUCUGUCUAGUUCCUAAGAAAAAUAAGUUUGCUCAUGUUAAUGUUGUAAAUAAUAUCCUAUGCUUUUAAUCAUGUUGUAGGCCUUUUAAAUCCUAAUAAAUAGAAAAGUGGGAAAAAUGUGGAACCAACUCUGUGAUGCUUGUUUCUAUGUGUAGAAGCUCAGAAAAAUGGUUCGGGCUCUGGUCUAGCAUUUUAAGUCACUGUUUCGACUUUAAAUUGGGAAUCUAAAUAUAAAUCUUCCUUUUUGCAUAAGUUUUGAUCUAGAGCUCAGAAAAAUGUGAAACUAGUUGGGUUAAUUUUGUUUUGCUGUGAAGUUUGCUGGAAAAAUAUAAAUUGUUGUGCAAAUCAGAAAGAAAAACACCUUCCUUGCUAAGCAUGUUUAAUUAAGAAAAGAAAAGGAGUAAAUAGUAACCUUCUCCAAAAAUUAUGAAAAAUUCACCAAAGCUCCUGUAACAUACCCUUAACACACUGCUUAAGUUUCACCCUCUGUUGCACAGUAACUUUGAAGAUGGAAAAAGUUAAGCUCAGUUUACCUUUAAUAAUAAAAUGCAUGUAACUUCUUUUUAAGUCAUCCUUUGGCCCCCAAACUUUUACAGUAACCUAGUGAUGGCUUAAGUGAGGUGCUGUAAUUUUAUCAAUGCCUUUAACUACUAUUUGGAUAUGAAGUCAUUUUGGUUAAUUAAUCAACCUAAAGGAAUAAAAGGAGAGCGCAAAUUCUAAUACGAUAAAUAAGUGGACACUGAAAGAGGUACAUCAAAACAUUCAGAAGUAAGUAAUUAUUCCAAUGCACCCAAACCACCCAACACGACCUUUCACACUCUUUAUGCAACUCUAAAUGCAAGAAAGCUAUAUAUGUACACAAUCGCCAUUCAACGCGAACUCAAGUUUAAAACGACCACUUUCGUUUGAAGUUAAAAGAAAGUAAACCUCUCCAAAGUGUUUGUGGCUGUUGUGACUCUUGUCUUAAGCCAUGCCUUGUGUCGUUGAAUAAACGCGCGAGUCCAACUAAAUUUUUGCAUGUGCAUGUCGUAUAGAAGCAAAUCUCGCCGACGGAACCUACGAGCUCCACCCGGCACCAGAGAAAGACCCCGCUGCGGAGCUUCACCACUUGGAAGGCGAGCCCAAACCGGAGCAAGAUCCUAAGGACCCGCUAACUUUUCCUGAAGGCAAGCCCCGGAGCAUAAAUUCCUAUAUUUGAAUACUUGCAAUAUUAUUGAACACUUUGAUUGCGCAUUUACGUUUAUAGGAGUUGUAAUGAAACCUUAGAUGCAUGUACUAGUUGCUAAAGUCGAGUAGUUGCAAUGCUUAAUAGGUUCCGGUAAAAGUCGAGUGAUUUCCUAUCACUCGCGAGUUAUAAGAGUUGAAUGUUUACUUAUGUUGCAACUAUAAGGACGAUGGACAGGGUCGGGCUUAUGUUCGAUACUUGGUGAUUUUCCCCGUCUGUCUAAAGGAAAUUUAUCUAAGGUCGAAACGUGUCGGCGUUCGUGAUCAAGUGUUUGAAAGUACUAAUCUCAUACCUAGUAUGGGAUGGGGAAGCCUAGUACCUGAUUGAACUGGGGCGUGGCAUACUCCCCCGGCUGUCCUUGGAACACCGUUCCCAUGGUGCAUCAUGUGGGUGCAAGUGCGGUUAUAGUACGGCAGAGGCCGGGAUUAUGGAGCAUUGCAUGCCAAUGGCAAUUGGCCCUGACACGUGCCUAAGGGAUUGAUGGGGACGGCUGACAAAUGAAGCGACCCUUCGUGGUGCGCAGAUGUCGUGAGAUUAGGUUCGCCAUGCAUGGUUAAUAAAUUCAAAUCGAUUCGGCUGCCUCUCACAGUUUGGGACUACUUGAUCGCUAUUCUGCACUAAGUAACAAUGAAACAUGAUUAUGAGAUUAAGUUGAUGCUUGUUAUUUAACUGCUUGGAAAUCAUGCUUGUUUAGCAUAAGUGGCUAAUCUAGAAUGGUUAAAGAACGUAGAACUUGAGCUAAAAUAUUGAAAGUAAGGACCGAUUGUAGACGCUUGUGGCAAAGAAAUCGCAGAGCCAGGAAGCCUUGCAUGUCUAGGUCUUGGUAAAGCUUUUCACUCGACGGGUCAGUCUUGUUGAGUAUUAGUUGCUCAGCCUUGUUGUGGCUUAAUCUUUUCCGGUGAUGUCAAUAGUUUGGUUGCGGGCACCACUUGGCCUACCCAGCUCCCUCCGGGCUGGACAGUCGAGUGGGAUCCCUCCUCGGACGGCGAGGGAAGGGAUUUUUGAUGUCAUGAUUGGCUCCGUCGUGAUGUCAUGUAUCGACGUUUAGCUUCCGCUUUUUUUAUCUGACUUUUCGAACCUUGCAACUUGUUUGAAUUUUCAGAAACUCUGAUGUAAUAAUUUGUGAAACUAAGUAAUGUGAUGGAAUGUUGUAAUCUCUGUGCUACUCACCUUCGUGUGAGCGAUACUUCUCGAUCCUAUUUAGGUGGUUCAUCGGAUGAAAUCCGACGGUCGACCAGGUUGACUUGCUUAAAGUGCAUGAUCGUGUGUCAGGCGACUUCAAUGCAUUUUAGUCAGGUUAAUUUGGGCGGUUCCGCCACAGCAAGCCCCCGAGGACGAGGACCGGCAAAGCCAUGAACGCACGCUGACCAGAGUUAGGCGUCCAGCCCCCGAGCAUGAGCGCAAGGACUGGUGGAAGCACGUCGAGUUGCCUCCCGCCCUAAGCCGAGGCAGAGAGGUUGGCUGGGCGACGGGCGACACGUGGAGUCAUCUACGGUACCUAGCCGCCGAGCCUGGGAGCAGGACGAGUUGCAAAAGCAUGCCAAGUUGCCUCUUGCCCUGAGCUAGCAAGGUCGACCGGGUGACGGGAGGCACGCCAAGUCAUCUGCGGUGCCCAGCCCCCGAGCCUUGGAGCCGGCCGAGCCACAGAAGCACGCCAAGCCGCCUCCCGCCCCGAGCUAGAGAGGUCAGUCGGGCAAUGGGAGGCACGCCGAGUCGUCUGCGGUGCCCAGGCCCCGAGCCUAGGAGCCGGACGAGCCACAAAAGCAUGCCAAGUCGCUUCCUGUCCUGAGCUAGAGAGCUCGGCCGGGUGACGGGAGGCACACCGAGUAGUUUUUUGAGCUGUAAAAGGACAAUACAAUCAUUAUGUAGCAUAAUGUAGAUUAUUUAAUCAUUGAACAACUCGGAAGUUUAAUACGCUGUAGAAGUAAACUCUUGCUAAUCCUGCUCUUGUAGGCCAAGUAAAUUCCCCAGGUAGUUAGCUUAUUACGUUCAAGCACCUAGCCCUACUAACCACUGCUCAUGGAGAGGAUAGUUUAUCUCAGGCUAUAGCGCUGGGGCUGACCUGAUGCUCGCAUAUAGGAGACGCGCAGGAUGAGUCAAGGUUUCACGGAUUAAGGCGUGUGCUACCCGAGUACUUUAGCAACCGUUAACAGGGACGGAUAAGCCGCAAAGCAACUGGAGCUAUGCAAAAAAGCACCAGCAUGAGCUGGGCACCCAUGGGGUGUAGCCCCCGGCCGCCCGUGUAGUGGGUGGACCAAGCUGUAUAAGUAGGCACGGUGCGACCAAGGUGGUCGGCGAAAGUCACGAGGACAUAGGAGAGCUGAGGUGGUCGACAAAAGUCACAGGAACAUGGAGGAGCCGAGGUUUAUGUAGGUAUACGGAAGUCGUAAAAUAUUUAAUUAUAAAUAAGACUUAUCCUUAUUUGUGGUCAAGUCAAAAAACCCGCGUGUCAUCUUCGCGUUUAGGCUUAGAAGCCCCUGAGCGUGGUCGUCGGAUAGUUGUUGGUGAAGCAAACUAGUUGGGCAUGCCCAACUAAUUCAUGUCGAGGCCGAGUUGUUGGAGUUGUUAGCGGCACGUUUGUGGUAUGCUACUGCCGAGUCGAUGCGGCCAUCGGGUCGUGGCCGGCUGGCCGCCACGCUCACAGUACAACAUGCCUAGGUUGUGCUGCCAAACCAAGGGUGCAUGUAAAUCUUUCCGAAGCUUGUAAGGAAGCCCUCACAUAUUAAGGAACUCUAUACCUAAUACCAUCAUGGUUGUUUUGCAAAAAAGUCUCUCAACUUUUUUGUAAUCAACCCGCAGUCUUUGGAAUGUCUUGAAGAUUGUGCAAAAAGAUCCCCAAACUUUACUGCAAUUGGCCAUCGAAGCUCCCACAGCGUGCACCUAUGCCACAUGCGGUGCGGACGGGUGUGCCGGCUGCGACUGCAAGCUCCUCGCUGCGGCAGGGACCAGGUCGAGCAGCGACAGCAAUGACGAAGGGGAGUAGUCUGCGUCUGCGUGCCAUGCCACCGUCACCGGGCAAGCUGUGGUAGCGGCGGAGUGGGAGAGUGAGUCCAUUGGCGUGUGGAGGGUGCCGUGGGGCAGGUGGGUGGCGGAGAUCUGCAACCCACACCUCGCUGUGUGCAAGUGGCUCAGCACCUUCGACACCACUGAGGACGCCGCGCGUGCCUACAACGUCGCCACCGUCGAGUUCCGAGGCUGCUGUGCCAAGCUCAACUUCCCCGACGAUGCGGCUCUCGCACCUGCACCUUCCUAGGUGCUGACCUCGACAUACCAACACCACCACCACCUGCCGCAGCCGCUGCUCGAGAGCCUGCACGAGACCUGCGGGUCGAACGCAUCCUCAUCAGUGGACGUGGCUCUUGUGGUAGCGGCACCGACUGGGCAGCACGACACGAGGCCGGUGCCGAAGGAGCAGGACAUAUGGGACACGCUAAACGAGUUCAUGAUGAUGGAUGACGGUAGCUUCUGGUCGCCCAUGCCAUGAUCGUCAUAUUCUCCUCUUGUCUUCACUUUCGUUGCUUAGCAGAUAAUGGUGGUCAGCUGCCCUCUAGUCUGUCGUCAAUCGCCAGCCAUCCAUUGCUUUUAUAUGGUUUUACACUAGCUUUUGGGCUUUGAUCACACCUCCACACCCAUACGAAACGACUAGCUAGAGCGAUGUUGAUCUACUGCCUACCGCGCGCUAGGGCGAGCAGCUACUCACUCGGGCUGCAUGCCCUACCCACCACCUGGACCUAAGAGGUGAAGGAGAGAGGAGGAAGGGGGAAGGAAACAAGGAGCCGAGUGCCUCUUUGUAGUCAACCAAGUAGAGCCAUAUGCUAGUGAAGGCAUGGCGCCAGCGAGGGGGGCGCAGCGGCAGUCGGCAGGCAACGCAAACAGGGGCGGAGGUCGAGACCUCACACCCCCCUCUCAAUGACGUCCAUCCCCUUCAGAUCCGGAACUAAAGCCUCCACACCUAGCAAUUGGGGGCUCGAUUUUGCACUUGAUUGGAACGAUUUGGAGUGGAUUAUAGAAGGGAGGUGGAUGGAAAUGAGAAGAAGAGGAAAACGCACUCCUGCUCAUGGUGGCCAGAGGCACUGUGGCCUAGCGCUCAAAGCGGGAAUGAGGCUAGGCACGGGAAGGACGAGCGUUUGCCUGGGCGACGACGAGGAUGGCAAGAUGCGCAGCGCUUAGACGACGGUGAAGAUGGGGCAAGAUGUGGGUGGCACCGAUGGACGAAGAGGCAUCGACUGGUUAGAUGAUAAUGAGUACGGGGAAAAUUGAAUGAAUUUAUAGAGCGGUGGUUGAGCGGUGAUUUUUUUUGUUUCCAUGUGUGGGUCCCACGUAAUAAACAGAUGGCAUCAAACCACCCACAAAUAUCUUCUACUACUGUACUCGGACACCGCACCAACAUAUGGUGAAGUGAAGCUAACAUAUUAGAAACAAGCGAAUAAUAAUGUGAGAGUAAGUAAAGACCUGUAGUAACGUACGGGUAUUUCUGCUAGUAAGAAAAAAAAUUGUUAGUAAGCACCGAGCAACGUAGGAGAUCUACUGGAUGGAAUAGAUUAAAUAAUAAAGGGAAGGGAGAAUUGUUCUCUUUUUUUUCCGUGGCAGAUCUGACGUGUGUGCAUGCAACAAGUUGAGGUCGACGUGUCGUGCUAAAUCAACCAGAUCGUACCGGGGCUGGAUCAGGCGAGCUUGGUUGUGGCCGGGAUGAGGCCAAUAAGGGCGCCGCCCUUGACCUUGGCCUCCUAUUCCUCGCGGAUCUUCUGCAUCUGGAGCAUCCGCUCCAUGAUGAGCUUGUACUGGCACUUCUCGCAGGCGUGGCGCUCGGGCUCGCACUUCCAGCGGAGGUAGAACUGGGAGGUGCACGCACUGGUCAUGGUAGGCGAGUGGAACCCGAGCCUCCGCCAUCUCCACCUGCGUGACGAUCUGGAGCUUCGAGGAGCCGAACUGCACGCCGCCCGCCGCCUCCAUCUGUCACUUUGUUCCCCUCUCUCUCACUGGCGAGGUCGUUCCGUCGAUAUAUGGGCGCUGCGGGUUUGGUGCGGCGUGGGUGGGUAGGGUGCAGCAAGGAUGUGAGGAACCCUCUCGGAUAGAGAGAUUGCUGACCUACUGGGUAAGCGGUGUGAUGAUCCUUGGAUAGAGAACUUGCUCCACCAGAGUAAAUCUGACAGAUGCCGAGCUGGCGGCGGGCACCAAGUCGAAGUCCACUGACAUGCUCCUGAAGCGAAGCUGGAUCGGGUUGGUGAGAAAGUCCUUCAUGCUCUCAGGGAAAGUAAUGCCGGGGCGGGAUGCAAUCAAGCUCGCUAGGGAGGAUCUCACAAUCAUCCCUACCUGGCGCGCCAACUAUUGGAUUUAUAAGCCCGAUAGUCCACCAGGGGGUUACCCAAGUUGUUGAUUUGUAGGUGAGGGCGAUUGCGAAACCAAGAACUCUAAGGUGAUCGUGAAAACACGAAGGGACACGAAGGUUUUAGAUAGGUUGGAACCUCCGAAGAGUAAUACCCUACGUCCUGUAUGCUGGUUUGUAUUGCUUGAGAUUGAUAUGAUUGUUGGGAUACCCUUGGGGGUGCCCUUGGCCGCUUUAUAUAGGCUGACGAUCAAGAGUUACAAGUCAGUUUGAAUCUAAUCUACUCGAUAGUUACAUGGAAAGUAAUCUGAGUAGGACUAUAAUACGCGUUCCAUGAUAUUCGGCAUGUUUGAAUUGUCUUGUUGCUUUGACGUGCACUCCAAGUAACUUCAUGUCCUCAGCCCGUACGCCUUGGUCGAGUGGGCCCUACUUGUCAGGUAUGACCAGUAUCCUGAGGUACCCAUAUCUCUCACCUUGGUGCUCCGGCGAUUAGGGUCGGCAACGAGGAUGGGGAUUGGAAGAGGAGAUCGAGGGGACUUUAUGGAGAUGCUUACCGGCGGCGAGGUGGACGGAUUCCGGCUAGAAUUUGGCUGGCGGUGGAAGAACACGGCAACUGGCUCAGGUCUUCGCGAGUGAUGGUACUCCGGCGGUGGAGCGGCGACGAAGAAUGGUGGCAGAGCUGCUCCUCGAUGUCACGGAGCUCCCUAAGGCUCUAGCUUUCUUCGAUAGUCGACGGGCAUAGUGAAUCGGCCAGAGAAGGCUAGCAGCAGCUCCUAGCUCCGGCGGAUGUGGGGGAUGGCGGCGCUCGUGCAAGUAGGGAAGAGCGGCGGUGUGAGGCAGGGCAGUAGCAGGGGCACUGUCUCGACUUUUAUAGGUGUGUGGGUCCGCGCCUGCCUUGGCACGCACGCCGAGGUUCGGCGGUGGCGACGCCCAAGUGCAGCUACGCUUGGCCUUGACCCGCUAGUGGCCGAUGGGCCUAGCGAGCCUAGCCGAGCCAUCAGCUGGGCCGAGUCGGUGCAGGUUGGCUGGAGAGGGUCGGGCUACAAAGACUUGGCCCGAUCGAUUAGGAUUUUGCUUUUUUAGAAAUGAUUUCUCAUGAAAGAAAAAUCUAGAAAAAUUCUAGAUAAUUAAUUUAAAUAACGAAAAAAACCCUAAAAAUCCAAAAUUCCAGGAAAAAUCCUAGAGAUAGUUUGGGACAUGAGGAGUCCAAAUAAAAUACUUGGAGCUCAUGAAAAGGAUUCUAGAACCUUCCAAAAAUUGGAUUUAGCUAUAGAAAAAAUGAGAAUAAAUCUCAAAAAAUCUGGAAAUUCUCAUAAGAACCUAAUCGGCAUCUAAACGCAUUCCAAAAUAUUUGCACUUAUGAAAUACCAAGAUGCAUCGGUAUGAAUGCAACACAUACGGAGAACCAUUAUAUUUAAUUCAGAAAAACACUCAAUUAUUUCCCUAUACUAAAUUUCCUGUCAAGAAAAUAAAUGUUGGAAAAAUUUUAAAAUUAUGAGAAAAACAUUGUUUAAUUAUUAUUUUUAAUCUGAAAGUUCAAAAAUUUUAAGGUGUGGCAGAUACCCUCAGGUUUACAGAAUUUGACAUCCAUGUGCAAAUUGGAUGUAUCCUUCAAUGAUCUGCAAGGUGAAGUGCCAAUAGGGCUUUUUUUUUGCAAAUGCAUCUUACAUGUCGGUUUAUGGAAAUGAUCAGCUUUGUGGUGGAAUACGUCAACUUCAUUUAGCUCCAUUCUCCAUGUCCAGUGCAAAAAAGAAAAAAAAGGAAAUUUGUCGAAAACCCUUGUGAUCACCCUAACAUCAAUCAGUGCAGUUGUAUUCUCAGUUUCAGUACUUGCUGUAAUUGUGUUGAUCUGUAAGAAGCUUAGGAAAAGGCAUGAAAGUCAACUCAUAUCCACAACUGAGGAACGGUAUGAAAGAGUUUCUUAUCAUGCUUUGUCAAAUGGGACCAAUGGAUUUUCAGAGGACAAUUUACUUGGACAAGGAAGCUAUGGCAUGGUUUAUAAAUGUACUUUACAUGACCAGGGUACUACUGUAGCUGUAAAGGUGUUUAACAUAGAACAAUCUGGGACUUUUAGAAGUUUUGUCGCUGAAUGCGAGGCACUCAGAAGGGUGCAUCACCGUUGUCUCGUAAAGAUCAUCACUUGUUGCUCAAGCAUCAAUCACCGGGGUCAAGAGUUCAAGGCACUAGUUUUUGAGCUCAUGCCAAAAGGUAGCCUAAAUGGUUGGCUUCACGCAGAGUCUGACACACUUACCCCGACAGAUACUCUGAGCCUUGAACAAAGGCUACACAUUGCUGUCGAUAUCAUGGAUGCUUUGGACUAUCUUGAUAAUCACUGUCAGCCAUCAAUCAUUCAUUGCGAUCUCAAGCCAAGCAACAUCUUUCUUGCGGAAGACAUGAGUGAGUGCCCGAGUUGGAGGUUUUGGCAUAUCAAGAAUCCUUCCAGAAAGUGCUAGUAAAACCCAGCAAAAUUCGAAUAGCACAACUGGAAUAAGAGGCACCAUUGGUUAUGUUGCACCAGGUAAUGAAAGAGAUGGUUUUGGUAUUUGAAAAAUGUUCUUAGUUCUUAUGUAUACAUGAGCUGCUGACCUUUGGCUUUUUUUUUUCCAAUAAGAGUAUGGUGAAGGUUCUUCUGUCUCAACUCAAGGUGACGUUUAUAGCCUCGGCAUAUUGCUGCUUGAGAUGUUUACUGGAAGGAGCCCAACGGAUGAGAUAUUCAAUGAUUCUUUGGAUUUGCACAAGUUUUCAGAGAAUGCUCUUCCAGAGAGAAUAUGGGAUAUAGUUGAUCCGACAAUAUGGAUGCACACAGAUGCCUAUAACAGCACUAUAAGAAGUGGAAUUAAGAAUUGCUUGGUUUCUGUUGUUUCUCUUGGAAUAUCAUGCUCGAAGAAACAACCUAGGGAGCGGAUCCCGAUUCAGGAUGCAGCCAUUGAGAUGCACGCUAUUAGAGAUUCGUAUCUCAAGUUUGCCAGAUCUCUUUUGGUGGAGCAUGGAGUAGUAGCAACAACUCACAGUGAUUUCCCACAACAGUGAAUACAUAGGACUGAAAAUGGGCAAGAUGUCUGCAGGUGAUCAGUUUACCUGAAAUAACUGAAGAUGUAUGAAGCUUCAGCUUUAUAAUUCGUCCUUGCAUUUGUUUGCAUCAGAUAUAUGGAAGUAUAAAAUAAGUUUAGAAAAUGUUUCAAAAUAGAUUAGAUCAAGAGGUUUUACUUGUCGUCUGUAUGACACAUUUUUUGUAGAGAAUUCAGUAAUAUGUAUGAUUCAUAAUACAAUCAAUGCUCUGCAAAUUUCAGAUAGCACAAUUGGAAUAAAAAGCUCAUUCAUUGAUUAUGUUGCUCUAGGUGACUCAACUUAUUGUGAUGUUCACUGUAGAUUUCUCCAUGGUCCAAACGACCAUUGUGAUCAGUUAUGUUUAUGCAUUUUGUAGACUUGUUAAGUCUUUCCCUAACUUGCUGACAUAUCAGCCGGAGCAGAGCACUCUGCCAUUCUGCGCCACUCGCCUCUAGGCGGCGCUUGCCGCUUGGUGGCUGCGGUGGCGACCGGCGGCAUCCGUACCUGCUCUGUCGGAGGCUGAGGGGCACAAUUACGUCUUGGAGUCGCCACCGCGCGACCUUCGGAGCUCGCCCAUGCCUCGUCGGUACGAGCUCAGUCGCGCGGUGAAUGGCAUGCGCAUCUGGGGUCCCGUCAGCUGCAGGUGCAGAUGGGUAGAGAGCUUAGCUGCGCUAGGUCUUCAGAAGAUGUUGAGUGGGCUGGAUGGGGCUUUGCGGCUCUGAAUGGCGACGCGGGCAGGACGACGACGCUGGACGCGUGGGGAGGAGACGACCUGAACCAGGGGCAUUUCGGAUAAUAGUCGGAUCGCGAUCAAUAAUCGCAAUCCAAAUUAGGGGGCUAUUUACAAAUAAUAGGGGGUAUUCCGUAAAUAUUCGGUUCGCGAUCAUUAAUCGCGAUCCAAAUGAGGGGUUAAUUGAAAAUAUGAUGGGGGUGUCUUUUGAAAUUCCGGAUUGCGAUCCCAUCCUCCGCCGCGGCUCGCCGGAGCGCCGCCAGACGCCGGCCGUCCCUUGGGGUACCUCUUCUUCGUUCCGUCUGUCGGAGCCCUAAGACGCGGUCGGUGUUUUAUCUGACAAGGAACCCUGAAGUCCGAACUAACUGAAGAAAGACAUGAUGCUGACCUGGAAGAAGAAGACGGCCUCGCCAUGGCCGGAUGCGGCGCGGUGGAAGGACAGUGUGUUGGCGGAGCGGAUGUUGUCCGACGUGAACUCGCCAGCGGCGUGGUCCACCACAUUCCGUCGACGGGCGGUGCACUUGCUGUCGCCUGUCGGCUACUUCCAGGCAGUAGCUGAGCUUCAGAGUUCAGACAGGGUGCUUGUGCUUGCAACAAGUUCAGAACGAUGUCAUUGCUUUGAUGCAGAGGAUGGAGCAAACCGGUUGCAAAUUGGAUUCUGAUACAUAUAACUUAAUAUUGAACCUUUAUGUCGAUUGGAAAUAUGAGAAGGGGUGCCCCAAAUAUGGGAUGAGAUGGAGAGGAGUGGAUCAGGCCCAGAUCAACGAUCAUUUACUAUUAUGGUUCAUGGUCUUCAUUCCCAAGGAAAGCUUGAUGAGGCUCAACAAUGAAGUCAAGAGGGUUGAUCCCUGAACCAAGGACCAAGAUACUGGUGAAAGCUAUACAUAUGAAGAAAGAUGGGGCUGUCACAGAAGAUCAGUCUGUAAAUAUGACAGGGAAGAAUCUAAAACUGGAUCCACGAUCUAGACUAUUCCAUGUUCAUAAAUAGUUUGCUGUCAGAUCUUACUUCUAUAACCUGAACAGAGGAUUGCUGGGCACGUAUUAUGUGUCAAAAGAAUCUCUUCUACCAGUGUCCUGAUCACAAUGGCCACACCUUGGGCUACAAUAAAUCAUCAGCAAAGUGUGUUGGCAUUAUGUAUCCCAGAAAGUUUUGCUCAGACUUUCAAUGCCAGGGUAUGUUUUUUAUGUCUGAUAUGGAUCAAUUAUAUUGCAAGUACUGUAUUACACCCUCGUAUUAUGAAGGUUAUGUGAAAUAUGACAGAUGUUUGUUUAUUCAUUUGUUAUGCAUGGCUGUGUCUACUAUCUAGUUGUUGGCUUGUUGCCAACAUAUGCAGCAGCAGGUAGCUUCAGCCGCUCAGAAGCCCAAAUGAAGAAUGGUCCAGGCAGAAUAGCUAGUCUAGACCCAGAAAGCUUAGGACAUGUCUUGCCAGCCUGCAGUUUUGUACUCGUAGCACCAACCAUCUCCGGGUUCUGGCCGGUUAUAUACAUGGUCUGGAAUGGGCAUCCGCUGAUCGAUUGAAACCUUGAACUGCUUCCGUGUUUGUCUUUUACCAUCUAUAUAGUAUGGUUAGUCAACGGCAUGCAAUACACCCAUGCAUAUGAUUGCAGUAGGAUGACAUGGCGUGACCAGAACCCUUCUUUUGCCAGUUUUUUAUUCUUAUACACGGCCAACAACAGGGAGUUGCCGAUUGCAAUACACCCAUGCUACUAACGCAGCAGGGAGUUGCAUGCUAAGCAGUUCAGCGUAGGUGGUGAGUUCUCAACUCUGAUAUGGUUUAUGGAAGAACACUGUCACGGUGUCACCUAGCCGGUUGGAGGCCAACCUCUUACUAGGGACAGCAAUGGCCCUGUCCACUGUUUCGUGGCUGGUAUUAUUACCCCUAUGCAGUGAAUAUGACAUGUGGAUCUAUGUGUAUAUUAUGUCGCCAGAAGAACAUUAUAUGAACCGUUGAGCCACCUUUGAUUCUAUUAAUGUGUCAUGGUCAAUUGAUGUCAAACUCUAUUAUCUUCAAGUCUUAUUGUAUUGAUAAAAUCACGAUGCUGCUACUGCCAUUUUGAUGUUUAUAAAAGGGUAUUGAGAACCUGGUGGGUAUCCAUUCGAUGCGCAGGGGUGAGGGUGGGGAAAAAUGAGUGUAAAGGACAGGGAUACAGUAUUUAGAAAGAUGGGGCUGCCACAGAAGAUAGUCUCCAAGUACGGCAGGGAAGAAUCUAAAAACUGAUUCCUUGAUCAAGACUGUCCCGUAUUCAUAAAUAGUUCACUGACAGAUCUUGCUUCCAUAUUCUGAACAGCUGAUGCUGGGUACAUAGGAGGUUAACCGGUCAGCGGAUCGAAGGAAAAAAAAAUCUUGCCUGUCAGUGUCCACAAUGGCCUCAUCUUGGGUUAGAGACAAUCAUCCCUAAAGAAUCAUAUUGCCGGAUAAGGUUAUCAGUGAUUGGUAGGUGCAGAUCCAUGCUCAUCCUAGAAACAAGCCAGGGCUGAAUGCGCCACUCAUUUUAGGUGCUUGGAUGUUGUGACCGAAAUGAUCGUGUGUUUAAUGGAGUUUCCCAUAGUGACUAGCGUACAGGCUGUCCUCGUAUUCGAGAAAAAAAAUAAUGGGCGAAAUGUUUUCACCCAGGUAAUUGUUGCAUUGUAUGAAUAGGCUUAGUGGUUGGUGGGUGCAGAGUAUGAAUGUGCUUGUACUGUGACACAAGAAGAUUUAUCAUAUCUAUGUAUGAAUUAGUAUUAAAUCUGCUACAUAAAUAUCUUCUCUUAUCUCAUUGUAUGUGUAUAUAUGACACAGAAGCACAUGUAUAUCAGCAUUGUAGAGAGAGAUGAGAGAGAAGCUUAUCUGCUUUUUGGAGAUAAAUAUUCAAAUUGUGGUGUAUGAGAAGGAUAGAAUUAUUCUAUCAAAUUGUUUAUUCAACAUCUAAAAAGAUUCCAUGUUUAGUCAUCUAUAUCGGCAUUGUAGAGAGAGACUAGUGUUCAACUGGUUGGAAGGAUGAGAGAGAGAGGAGAGAGAGAGGAUGAAUAGUGUUCAGCUGGUUGGAAGGAUGAGAGAGAGAGAGGAGAGUUUCGAUGAUAGAGAGAUUAGUGUUCACCUGGUUGGAAGGAUGAGAGGGAGAUGAGAGAGUUCGGAUGAGGAGGUGGAGAGUUCGGAAGAGAGAGAGGUGAGAGUUCGGAUGAGAGAGAAACAGCUUAGAAGGAUGAGAGAGAGAAAGUGAUAUUUAGCUGGAUGGUGGAGACUUCAUAUAUUACUAACUAGCAAGGUGUCCGUGCGUUGCUACGGUGAAACGACGUUGCUUAGCACGCGAUGUUUUUUAUCGUGUCGUGUAGCGCACCAUAUUUUUUAUCGUGUUGUGUAACUUUUUUAUUUUAGUAGUAUUAGACUUUUCAUAUAUAAAGGGUCACGUGAGUGUGUCCAUAUCCCAACCGUGCGGAAACCGCUUGCCAUCGAACUUGUUAUCUCUUUCUCUAUCUUGAGAUUGGUAUGCUUCUACAGCAAUUCUGCACAAAGAAGGCCCCACUUCGCCCCGUUCCCGCCGUCCGGUUAGUCCCACGCCUACCCUCUCCCUCUCUGAUCCUCGCUGUCGGCUCCUCGAGGUCCAGGUCGGGCUUGUGAUGUAGCGGCCUGUUAUCCUUCCACCAUUGGAAGCGGGUAGUGAUCGCUGCUCUGUGAACCCUGCCUCACGCCGUUCCUACCACUCCAGGUCCAGUGAAGCCUGAGCUUUCGCUUGGACAAACAGCCACUACCAACUUGGAACGGGCAGGGCCAGCAAGGGCAUACAAUGGACCCAAGCCCUCCGCACCCAAACAUCCACACCACUUUAAUGCCUCCACUUGGGUUACAAGCCCGCGCAACCAAGCUCGGUGAGGAUGACUCGUGAGGAUGAACAUUUAAGUUGGUGUGGCGCUGCUUCAGAUGGCGAGGUGGUACUAAUCUAAGGAAUAGGAAAAUUUCACAUGGGUCCCACACCGCACCCAGCCCUAUCCUUAUCCUUUCUCAUCUCUCUAUCGUCCGUCCGGUCCUUAUCCUCUUCAUCUCAUCUCUCUCUCUCUCCCUAUCUCUCUCUCAAACUCUCUAUCUCGCCUACCCCCUCUUUCUCUGGAGAAGGCGGUGCACGGCUGGCCCCAGUGAUGGCCUGGGGGCGCGGGGUGCCAAUAGCGGCCGAGGGUUGUAGGGCUGCGGCGAGGAGCCUCCCAGCCGUGGAUGCGACGGCCUAGCCAUGGGCACCGGGCAGGCGGCUCUGGCACGACCGGCUGGGGCGGGCAGGGAGAGGCGAACAGCAGUGCUACGACGUCACGAAGAGGCGGACGUCGGGCAUGGGCGGGUGAAAGGGGAGACGGGGAAAGAAAGCUAGACCCACCUAUCAAUGCGUUAAUCUUACCUAUUAUUAAACAUCAGGGCCACCUCUCGUUGAUAGAAGUUGGACCAAACAAGAAAAAGUGGGCAGAAGUGUUCCUCACUUUAAUAAUAAUAAUAAUAAAGUAUAGAUAAUGCAUCCAAACAACAUUCGAAAUUUAAUUUUAAAAAAAACUUUCUCGGUACAUCCAAACAAGAAAAUUCAAUUGAAUUAAAUUCUACUAAAUCCAUUUCUUAUGGAAUCUAAUAGCUAGAAUAUGAUUCAUGGGAUGAGUUUCAACUCUAGGGAUCUAAACAUGCCCUUAGUUAUUUCUUAUGUAGCUCAAAUCAGAUGCAAGGUAUGUCCUAACUAAAAAACGUAAGUUACUUUGUGUUAUCUCGUGAAUCAGUGAUUAAUUACUUCCGAUCACUAGUAGAGAAUUGGCUUUCGAUGCGCCCCCUUUUGUCCCGGUUUAAAGUUGGCCCGGGACAAAAGGUUCACCAACCGAGACUAAAGCUCGGUCACUGGUGGGGGGCUCACCAACCAGGACCUUUUAUCCCGGUUGGAAAGGCUAGUGGGAAAAAAAGAUCAUGAGAGGCUUUUUAUCCCGGUUUGAAACACCAACCGGGAUAAAAGACCCAUCUAACUAUAUAGGGGAUGUUACCAACCAGGAUAAAAAGGGUCGAGAGCCUUUUAUCCCGGUUUGUAAUACCAACUGGGAUAAAAGGGGGUCAUUUAUCCCGGUUGGUGUUUCAAACCGGGAUAAAAGGGUCCCAACGAGGUGACUGAAACAUGACUAAAUCCUGAACCCUUUUAUCCCGGUUUGUAAUACCAACCGGGAUAAAAGGGGGUCUUUUAUCCCGGUUGGUGUUUCCAACCGGGAUAAAAGGGUCCCCCACAAGUUAAUACAAAACGAUAACAUCCCCUAUAUAGUUAGAUGUGGUGUGUAGGUGGGAUGGCAAGGAAGCUACGCGCGAGGCUGGAGGUUGUGGGUUCGAAUCCCAUGCAGCGCGCACGCGCAUAUUUCGCGUGGAAAAUCGCGUGACUUGCGACGCGCGUGUGGGGGGCCUCCUGGGAGCUCGGAAUUUCUUUUUUUUGUUUUAUCCCGGAUGGAUUUUCGGAAGAUUUGCACCCUACCAAUCGGGACUAAAGGUCAAUUCUCUACUAGUGAAUCUUAUGUAAAAAGAACUACGAGUUAAAUUCUUUGUCAGAUUUAUACUGACAAGUUACAAGCACAUGCCUCUGCAGUAACAGGCCAGCCCUAGACUAGCGGGCAAACAAAAACAACAUGAUUCGUCAACUGAUCGAAUGUUAAUGACUAUUUUGCUAGGAGAAUGAACAUGAUUCAUAAAAAAAGGGGAGCUACUAACUUGGUCAAGGUCUCCGUCCUCUAGCGUGGCGAAGGGGCCAUCUUGCUCCACUCCACGUCUGCGUGGUUGCUAGGUGGGCGCGACGGCGGCUGCGGAGUGCGGACGGGCGCGUAGAUGUGUCAUUGUUGAUCAGGACAUGCGCUUCUAUCACCGUCUGUGGUUGGCGUCCGCGGCCGAGCGGGUCAAGGUCUCCGUCCUCUAGCGUGGGGAAACAGGAUCUCUUCAAUCAGUGCUUCUACAGAAACGGUGCACGGUCACCACGGACCAACGACAUACCAUGAGAAAAGCGGAGCUAAAUGUUGCAGUAGCAGAGUAACCGGAGACUGGAGAGCACUUGCUGCUAAAAGCUGCCUCUUAUUUUGUAUCGUCUUUAACAGAAGACUUUAAGUCAACCGCCAUUCGAUUCCAAUAUAAACUAGCAAGUUGGCCCGCGAUGAUAGCACGGCUAGAUUUGAUACAAUAUAACUUUUUUAAAUGCUAUGUUAGCUUAGUAUAUUUCUUCGUCCCUCUUGAUUUGUUUUUCAUCCUCUUGAAAUCACUUAGUAUACUUAGGUGCCUUACUCUACACAUUGAGUAUCAAGCCAUAUGUGUAUAUUUGUUUUUUUUUGCAAAUGAACUCCGAUGCCACAUGUGCAUAUGCACGCCUAAUUAAAAUUGCUCACUUGUAACAAAAUAACAAGAGUAGUUGAUUCUGAUCUUAUGUUGCAGUUUUUGCCAACUUUUCCUAGUAUUAUUGUGUUGAGUAGAAAGCCUGUGUAGAAAAAGAUACAAAACAAACAAUCGUGUUAACUACUCCCCAUACUUGCUCAAAUGAUUUUGAAAAAUAAAAACAACCGCGCUCUAAGUCCUAGGUGGUGAUAUUCCUCCUUACUUUCCUCCUCUCGUUUUCCUUGCACAAUCGAGGAUGACAAAUACCACAAACCACUUAGGCUCGAUCAUGUUUCAUCAUCACAUUCCUCAAAUCUUGAUCACGUUGUUGUCUUCAUUAUGCUAGCAGUACACAUCUCUCCGCCUCUUCUCACUGGUAGAGAAUUGGCCUUUAGUCCCGGUUGAUAGGGUGCAUAUCUCUCGGAUAUCCAUCCGGGAUAAACCAACCGGGACAAAAGGGAGGGUCUUUAGUCCCGGGUCUUUUAACCGGGAGUAAAGGUCCUCCUUUAUUUCCCAACCGAGACUAAAGGGUUACCCUUUAGUCCCGGCUGGAUUCCAACCAGGAGUCCCGGCUGGAUUCCAACCGGGACUAAAUGGCGCCUGCAUGGCACUGCCGUGGCGCCUGAAUUUUUCAUGCAUGCAUCACGUACGUAGUACCGCGACCCUUUUAAUUUGUUAAACUUUAGUAGUUGAGAUUUUUUUAGAACGAAAUCAACUAGUAUUUAAACGAAUGGGAUUUGUAAUUAUACAAUUACUAUAUAUGUACACAAUCCUUAUACACAAUUCAUAUACACAAUUCAACUAGCUUAGUACAAAUUGAUCAUAAUUAGCGCGUAUUAUAUAUACAAAUAAAUCAAAGUAUCUGUCUACAAUCUUCCCGUCGUGGUGUUGCUGAUCGGAGUGUCUAAUUGUCGUCCAUCGUAAUAAAAUUCUCCUUUUGGAUUUACCACCUUGUCCAUUAUGAAUCCAAUGAGACUUUCACAUAUUGCCGCUACUCUUUCUUCCUUCAAGAGUCCUUGUUGAAUAUUUAACAUCUAUAAUUUGGAAAUUUUUGAAUGUUACACGAACAAAUACAUAUAAGGAGCUAGAAAAUAAUUAACUAGUAAUAGUUUUAUUUUACGUACUUUAAAGUUGUGCGGCGUCAUCUUCGGUCCCUUGGGUCCCAUAAAACUGUGCAUGUGCUCACAGAUGUAGUAGCCACAUAGAUUAUUUCCGGGUUCCUGUCUUAAGCACUUCAGUGCGGAAAAAAAUAAGUUAUGAAAUAUUCGUAUUAUACAAUGUAAUAAAUGUGCAGACUUCAUACGUACCGGGAAGUCUGUGUUCCAUGUAAGUUUUUCUUUGAAUGGACCUUUGUGUGUCCUUAUGAAUUGUUUCCAUGCGCUGCAGAUUAGAAUAAUGAAUGAUAUAGUGUAACAGGAAUAAAAUUUAGGAAAUAAACUUUUGCAUAUAGAUAAAGGUACAGAAUUAUUACAAGCCUAGCAUGUCUUGCACUUCUUGGUAGUCCACCGGAUCUUUCCUUAACGAAUCGAAGACAGUGACGUGGCUUCUUUCAGGCUCAAUUAUAAUAAGAAUCCAGUGGAAGCUGCGUGCGUAAAAUGUUCAUGCAUAUUAGAGCUAACUAACAUGUAGAGAUAAGGAAAAAGACAUCGAAAGUAGACGGUAUACACACACUUACUUGAAGUUGUAUGGAAGUAGUAUGAAAUCCUUGAAUGUUUGUUUGUCUAGGAAAUUGUAUAUUUCCGCAAAGGUUUUUUCCGGUGCUAAUUGUGUCUGUUGUUGGUUAACUACAGAUGGAUCCAUGAAGCCUACAUGUAGGUACGCCUCUCGGCGGCAUGUCUGAAUUAGCAUCCUACAUGAAAUGGAAGAUGAAGUUAGUACGGUGACGCAUGCCAAAAUUUACAUGUAGAGAUAAACGGACACUUACAGAACCUAAGCGCUGAUCAGAGAGACGUCCAGGGCAUCAUGAUGGUACACUUCGUAUAUAUCCUUGAAGUCUAGCCACAGCACUUUCUCCCCUUCACCGUGAAAAUCUAUCGGUUUUACCUUCAUGCCGAUCAUCUCCCUCGAGUCGGCGGAUGCCAUCAUGUACCAUUGAUGGAAUGCGUACAUCUUUGUUGAUAGCUUCCGUACCAAUGAAGGCUUUACUAGAGGUUUGCCUAGCUCAUAAGGCCAUCUCAGCUCAGGGGGCGGUGCAGUUGGCGUCUCAACUUGCCCUAUGCAUUCAUCAAGUCCCAGACCUGUUUCUUCCAUGAACUUCAAUACAUUUGCUUGUUGAUCCAAGGGCAUUGCUUUUACCCGUUGAGCAUCUUUUUUUGAUAAAUGGCUGAGGUCGGGGACUGGACCGCUGGAAGAUGACUUUCCUUUCCUUUUAUCCUUUUCAUCAGCCUUUACUAGAGCCCGUUCAUAGUUUGACAAGAGUGGUAUCCUUUUCUUGGCUCCUUCUUCUAUCCUGAUAAAAAAGUUUAAAUCUCGCCGACUUACUGGCGGUGGCUCCAUCUCCCUUACUUUUUUUUCUUCGGCUUGUUUCUUGAACCACUCACUGGCCUCUCGUUGGAUUUCUGCCCACUGUUCCGCAUGAGACAUUGCCUCCCAGCGUUCCUUACGAGUCACUUCAGGCUCCUUUGUUUUCUUCUUUCUCUGUCUUUGCUUGGGAGGCGGUGCUCGUGACUUCUUUAGUGGUGGUGCAGGUUCCUUCAAGGGGGCCGCUCUUGGUGCCGGCGACGGUGAUCGGGGAGGGGUGUUGUUAUUGUCGUCGUCGCUCCCAGCACCAGGAUGUAGUGGAGAUGGAGACCUUGAUAUAGAUGGAAGGGACGGUCCUGGAGCAGGAGAUGACGGUCUCGAGGUAUGAGGAGAAGGUCGCUGCUGGGGAUCUACGGGGAGCGGUCUUAAGGUCUGAGGAGAUGGCUCCGUGCUGGGAAUAAUGAUGUAGCGUUUUUGCCAUAGAAUAAUCCCAUGAAGCGCAUCUGCCAAUGUCUUUUCCCCGUCGCCUCCCGGGAAGUCGAGCUCUAGACCUUCAUACUAGGGAUCAACUAUUUGCUCUACGCAGACGCUGGCGUAGCCUGUUGGAAUUUCCAUGCCAUGACUGCUCUGCCCCGCCAGGGUUGCUAACGCACUCCCGUACGCUACCUGUACAUAUAGCAGAAGUAAACAAGUUGAACUCCGAUCUCGAGGCCUGGAUCAAUUGACAAGAUUGCAUAAAUAUUAUGUAUAAGUAUACCUUAAUAGUGAGGUUGCCGACCGGUGCAUGCAGCUCACAUGAGGUCCGUUGUGUGAUGGCAUCCACGGGGAACCGUUGCUCCUCCACGGGUAACCUGGGCGUCUGCGCAUCGGGGACCCCUGUAGAAGCACAACUGCUCAAGAGGCGUUGAGAAGGGCUGGCGGUGUUAGGAAUCGGCAAUGCUCCAGAUUGGGCCAACUCCGCAACUGCGUGGGCCACCCGCCGAUUGGUUUCAUCCAUCAUUCUUUGUUCUUGUGCCUGCACUUUAGAUUCUAGCAUCUGCCGCCAGCUCUCCUCGAUCUGUUCCUUUCUUCGCUUCCGGCUUCUGUACGAGGUGCUGUCGCCUCGGAAAGCAAACUUCCACGGAACCACCCCGAACCCUCGGCAACGUCCUGGGUGUUCUGGAUUACCGAGGGCCAAUGUGAGCUCAUCAUUUUCUCGGUCCACCUUCAACCUCCCAGCCUUAGAAUCUUCAAUGUUCUUCAUGAGAUGUUCGGCCUUCUCACGUAUUGUGUCAUUAAAAAUCAACGUCCCAUCCUCUUGGCUUAGGGAGCCUCCAUGAGCGUAGUACCAAUUUUUUGAUCGUUCGGGCCAUUCAAUAGUUGCAGGUACGAUUCCCCGUUCGAUCAGAUCUUGUUCCAUCUUCCUCCACUUGGGAAUUGCUGAGCCAUACCCACCUCGCCCCAAAUGAUGGUGGUAGCCCUUCUGACUAGCAUUUGCUGUGUUGGUCGUGAUCUUUUUCACACCGUCUUCACUCCUCUUAUAUUCAACAAAUGCAUCCCAGUGGUCCCUCAACUUUGGCCACGCGUUGAAGUCUAGAGUUCGGCCCUUCUUGAUGUAGUGGGUAUCCAGCAUCUUCUUGAAUGUCUGGAAUUGAGUAGCCAUCUUCUUAAGCGUCCACGCUUUGACAUCCUUCUCACUAUAUCCUUCGGGGAAUGUGAAAUGUCUCUUCACGUCUUCCCACAGCAUAUUCUUUUCUGUCUCCGGAAGGGCGUACGGAUUAGUGCUUCUGCCCUUCCAUUCUCUGAUGCUGAUAGGCACGUUGUCCCGGACGAUUGCCCCGAUCUGACUCACGUACUUCUUUGCUACUUUCUCGGGAGCAACCGGCCUGCCCUCUUCUGUCACUUCCGUGAUGACAAGCCUCCCUUCCAUCACCUUUGUACAACCUUGGGUCUUCUGCCCUUGUGUCGAUCCGGAGGGCUAACAUUUUAAGAUUCGUUAAUUAGUACGUAGUAGUAACAGUGGCGUGAAACAAUACAAGAAUGGUUAUAUAUACCUCGCCGGAACCUUCCGCCACGGCAAGUUGUUGCUGCGGCUAAUGCUCUUCAUUCCCAUCGGUGGACAUGUUGAGGAACAUGUCCGCCUGGGUGCCCUCUUCAUCCGUGUAUGAUAGUGGAACGUUCUCGCCACUACCAUCACCAGCGAUUAUCUGCUCCAUGAUAUACCUUGCGGUCUCAUUGUCUGCCAUUUCAACUAUUGAUGGAAACAUACAUGGAAUCAUACAUGACAGUCAUAGAAAUCGUCUUACUACAAAUUUCUACAAAGUCCUACAAAGUCCGGAAUCAUACAUGUAUAUAAUGAAAUCAUAAAAUAACAUGAAUCCUACAAAGUCCGGAAUAUUUCUACGAAUUUCUACGAAUUUCUACGAAUUUCUACGUUCUAUGAAUUUCUACGAAUUUCUACGAAUAUCCACAUGCGGUGCCUAGGUUGUGACGGCGGCGAUCAGGGCGGCGGAGGCGGGGACGGUUCCCUGGAACCACGGGCGGUGCCUAGGUUGUGACGGCGGCGGUCAGGGCGGCGGUACGGCGGAGGCGGGGACGGUUCCCCGGAACCACGGGCGGUGCCUACUAGGUUGUGACGGCGGCGAUCACGGCGGCGGGACGGCGGAGGGGACACAUAUACAAAAAUAUAACUUAAAAAAAAUCUAACUUAAAAAAAAAUCUAACUUAAAAAUCUAACUUAAAAAUCUAACUUAACAAUCUAACUAAAAAAUCUAACUUAAAAAUAUAACUUAAUUUUCUAACUUAACAAUCAAAAUUAAAAAUCUAUCAUAAAAAUAUAACUUAAUUUUCUAACUUAAAAAAAAAGCCCUCCCAAUGCUGCCGGCCGGCGCGGCGGCGGACCUCUCGCGCGCGGUCGUCGACGGUGGCCGGGGCGACGAGGGGGCCGGGCGGCGGGACGGCGGCGGCCGGUGCGGCGAGGACGGCGGCCGAGGCGACGACGACGGCGGCGGCGUAGGCGGGACGGCGGCGGCGUAGGCGGGACGGCGACGAGGGGCGACGAGGCGGUGACGAGGAUGGAGGCGGUGACGAGGAUGGAGCCGGCGACGAGGAUGGAGCCGGUGGCCGGAGGCGACGAGGUGGGGGCCGGGCGCGUCGACGGACGAGGAGGAUCGAGGCGGGCCGGCCGGGGGGAUGGAGGACGACGAUGUCUGGGCGCGAUCGGCGGCAGGACGACGACAAACGGCGCAAUGGGGGAUGACGACGGCGGCGGCCGGCGAGGGAGGCGGACGGGCGGCGACGGCGGAGCAGAACGCGUGGAACUUGGCGAAAAUUUUGCUAAGUGUAACUGGCGGGGGGUAGAAGGGAGUACAGUGCCUUUUAAACCCCCCCCUUAUCCCGGUUCGUAAUGGUACCCGGGACAAAAGGGUGCCCCCGCCAGGUGGGGCUGGGAGCGUACCCUUUUAUCCCGGGUGCCACCACCAACCGGGAUAAAAGGGGGGGGGCCUUUUAUCCCGGUUGCAGUUGGCAACCGGGAUAAAAGGGUACGUCCGGGCGGGAGACGAAAAGUACCCUUUUAUCCCGGUUGCCGUUUGCAACCGGGAUAAGCAACCGGGAUAAAAGGGGGCCUUUUGUCCCGGUUGCUGUUAGCACCCGAGACAAAAGGUCUUUUUUCCUAGUUUUCUUCUCCCGCCUGUUUUUUGAAAUGGAUUUUAUUUUAUCUUUUCACUACAUUUCAGGAUGAAAAACAAAACCUUCACAGAUUUUGUACAUGCAAAAAUAUAUUUAAUUAACAAGUAAAUUGACAAUAAGUAUGAAUUAAUCAUUAAUUCUAUACCAGUUCAUUUAGCCUCUAAAAUAUUUAUUUUACUGCGUUGCUGUGAUUAAGAAAUUAUUCAAUUAAAUAAUUUCAAUGCGUAGAAAAAUCCAUGUUUGUAUGUGGUUAACAUUGUUCAUGUUUAUCUAAAAAAUCUUCACCUAACAAAUUUAAGAACACAUGAAAUCAUACAUAGGGUAAAAUUACAAAUUGUAUCGAUUAAUACACAAAGGUCAUGUACAUUUAACGCAUUACAAUACAACGUUGUAAAAUUUCUUCUUCACGAAAGUUCCUUGAUCAUGAUCGCGACGUAAGUACGGAGCCUCUUCUUUGGAUAGCAGGAUGCUUGGAUCAACUUCAACAGCGAAUGGAGGCAUGCCAUCAAACUGAUCAUAAUCAUCUGAUUGGUCUGUUUUAUCCUCGACUCCCACGAUUUUUCUUUUACCUGGAAGAACUAUGUGGCACUUUGGCUCCCAUGUCUCUUCUGGAUUCCUCUUGGGUUUGCUGCACAUGUCCUUCACAUAGAACACCUGAUCCACAUCAUUGGCAAGUACGAAUGGGUCAUCACUGUAUCCAGUCUUGCUCAGAUCUACUAUUGUCAUUCCAUACUGAUCUUUGGUGACGGUAGUUAGCUUCACCCAAUUGCAAAGAAAUAGAGGGAUGUACAGCGGUCCGUAUUCGAGUUCCCAUAUCUCCUGUAUGAAACCAUAAUACGACUCCUUGCUAUUAUUUCUGUCCAUGGCAUCUAUGCGGACACCACUAUUCUGGUUUGUGCUUUUCUGGUCCUGGGCUCUCGUGUAAAAUGUGUAACCAUUUAUCUCAUAGCCUUGGAAUUUGACGAUUGUGCUAGCAGGUCCCCUGGCUAACUAGGCAAGCUGUGGGUGAAUCUCAGAGUUAUCCAUAAGUUGUUGGCGCAACCAGGAGGGAAAAGUUUCCAUGUGAUGACGGGUAAGCCAAGCAUCGGAUUUGGUCGGGUUUUUUGAAGCUACUAUCUGUCUGUGCUGCUCGAUAUACGGAGACACAAAGGAUGACUGUUGUAGAACAGUGUAGUGUGCCUUGUCGAACAAAUCAGUAUCAUUGCUCAAACUUGAUUUCCUUCCAAGGGUGCCCAUUCCUCGGAGCCUCCCCUCGUGGCGUGAAGUUGGAACCCCAAUCGAGUCAAUUGAAUCAAUAAAAUCAACACAAAACUCGAUCACCUCCUCUGUUCCAUAUCCCUUGGCGAUGCUGCCUUCUGGACGGGCACGAUUAAGAACAUAGUUUUUUAGGACUGCUAUGAACCUCUCGAAAGGCCACAUAUUGUGCAGGUAUACAGGUCCGAGAAUACCAAUCUCUUUUACUAGGUGAACCAGUAAGUGCGUCAUAAUAUUGAAGAAGGAUGGUGGAAAUAACAACUCAAAACUGACAAGACAUUGCACCACAUCGUUCUGUAGCUUUGAUAGCUUGGAUGGAUCGAUUGCCUUCUGCGAAAUCGCAUUGAGAAACGCGCAUAGCUUUACGAGCGGCAACCGGACAUUUUCUGGUAGAACACCCCUCAAUGCAACCGGAAGCAACUGGGUCAUCAACAUGUGGCAGUCAUGAGCCUUGAGAUUUGUUAACUUAUUUUGUUUCAUAUUUAUUAUUCCAUUUAUAUUCGAGGAGUACCCAGACGGGACCUUCAUACUAUUCAAGCAUUCAAACAUGCUAUCCUUCUCUUCCUUGCUGAGAGUGUAACUGGCAGGACGUAAGUAGUGCUGUCCAUUAUCUCUCUUUUCCGGAUUUAGGUCAUCUUGUUGCCCCAUGGCUUUCAGGUCCUGUCGUGCUUCCAAUAUAUCUUUUGAGGUUACAUAAACACCCAUGAAGCCUAGCACGUUCACGCAAAGAUUCUUCGUCAGGUGCAUCACGUCUAUUGCGUUGCGAACCUCUAGGAUUUCCCAAUAAGGUAGCUCCCAAAAUAUUGACUUUUUCUUCCACAUGGGUGCAUGUCCGUUAUCGUCGUUCGGAACAGGUUGGCUACCAAGUCCCUUUCCAAAGACUACAUUUACAUCCUUCAUCAUCUCGAACACACGCUUUCCAUUACGGUGUGCAGGUUUUUUACGAUGGUCUGGCGCCCCUUUGAAAUGCAUCCCGCUCUUUCUCAGCUGGUGGUGAGCAGGGAGAAAUCGACGAUGACCCAUAUAGACGACCUUCUUACAGUGCUUCAAGUACAUGCUGUCUGUGUCAUCUAAACAGUGGGUGCAUGCCCGAUAUCCCUUAUUUGUCUGUUCUGAAAGGUUACUCAAUGCAGGCCAAUCGUUGAUGGUUACGAACAACAAUGCUCGUAGAUUAAAGAUCUCUUGUCUAUCCUCAUCCCACACACGUACACCUUCUUCCUUCCAGAGCUGUAAAAGGUCAUCAACCAACGACCUUAGGUACAAGUCAAUGUCAUUGCCGGGUUGUUUUGGGCCUUGGAUAAGCGCCGGCAUCAUAAUGAACUUCCGCUUCAUGCACAGCCAAGGAGGAAGGUUGAACAUACAAAGGGUCACAGGCCAAGUACUAUGGCCACUACUCAACUCACCGAAUGGAUUGAAUCCAUCAGUGCUUAAACCAAACCUUAUGUUCCUUGCUUCACUUUCAAAGUCUGGGAAUGUUCUAUCAAUUGAUCUCCACUGUGCCCCAUCUGCGGGGUGUCUCAGCAUCUCAUCUUCCUUACGGUCUUCUUUGUGCCAUCGCAUCAACUUAGCAUUCGCCUUGUUCCUGAAUAAGCGCUUCAAGCGUGGUAUUAUAGGGAAAUACCACAUCACCUUCGCGGGAACUCUCUUCUUGGGAGACUGCCCCUCGACAUCACCAGGAUCAUCUCGCCUGAUCUUAUACCGCAGGGCUUCGCAGACGGGACAAGCAUCCAAUUUCUCGUAUUCAUCACCACGAUAGAGGAUACAAUCAUUAGGGCAUGCGUGUAUCUUCUGAACAUCCAAUCCGAGAGGGCAAAUAAUCUGUUUAGCUUCAUAUGUUGUGGACGGUAAUUCAUUAUUCUCGGGGAGAAUCUUCUUGACAAUGUUCAACAUCCCCUGAAAUGCCUUAUCGGACACACUAUUUUUUGUCUUCCAUUGCACAAAUUCUAGUGUCGUACCUAGUUUUUUAUGGCCCUGCUGGCAACCUGGGUACAACAAUUUUUGGUGAUCAUCUAUCAUGCGCUGCAACUUUGCUACUUCCUUCUCAGUUUUGCAAUCUCUGUAUGCAUCUCGUAUCACCUGACGAAGGUCAUCAGUAGGGCCAUUUUCUGCAAACUCAUCUUCAUCAGCCUCGCCCAUUGUAGUACCUACAAAAGCUUGGCCUGCAACCCAGUCCGGAAUGGUGUCAUCUUCCUCCUCCUCCUCGCCAUCUUCCAUUACAACCCCUAGUUCACCGUGCUUGGUCCAAACCAAAUAGUUAGGCAUGAAACCGUAUUUAAACAAGUGGCUGUGAAUAGUCCCCCAGCUUUCCUUUGAAUACUCCUUCCUGUUAUUGCAUUGGAAGCAUGGACACAUACGAACCUAUUCUCUGGCUUGUUCGCUUUUGCCAUUUCGAGAAAAUAUGCAAGCCAUCAAUAAACGUCUUGCUCCGCCUGUCUGCNNNNNNNNNNNNNNNNNNNNNNNNNNNNNNNNNNNNNNNNNNNNNNNNNNNNNNNNNNNNNNNNNNNNNNNNNNNNNNNNNNNNNNNNNNNNNNNNNNNNAACAUAUUGAAGGAGAAGGACAUACCUCCUUCUCGUCGGUAAAUCACGCGGGUUAGCCUCUGAGCCAGGUAUAUUGUCCAGUCGAUGCAGAAGGGAUCACAGUUGUUACCUAAGUCUAGUUUAGCCGCGGAGCUCAGCUUCAACCCGGAUUAAAGGUGAACCACCUUUUAUCCCGGUUGGAGCCUCCAACUGGGAUAAAAGGGUCCCGCCACCAACAGCUCCCCACUAGCCGUUGCAACCGGGACUAAAGGGGGGCCUUUAGUCCCGGUUGCAAUUACCAACCGGGAGUAAAUCUUCCCUCCAUUUUUGCCUACCGUGGCGCACCCCCUUUUGUCCCGGGCCAACUUUAAACCGGGACAAAAGGGGACGGAUCGAAAACCAAUUCUCUACUAGUGUCUAUUCCACAAAACCAUAAUUGUUCACCGGCUCCAGCAUUGCUGUUGCUCUCCACCAAUGGAGGAAGCUCUUGUCCUUGGCACCACCUUAUCCACUGACCAGCUGAAGUUAUCUGUACGUCCUAAGGUCUCAUAAGAUUUUUGAUGAAUUUGCAUUAAUACUAAUAUUGCCACCAAUCUAGUCUCAACCUUGCCUCGUGUUCUCCGUGGUCAUGUUUUAUUCUAACUUGCAAGCCCUACAACUACAUAUGAUGGUUCUUCUAUAUGCAUAAUAUAUCGCAUCUCCUAAGACAUAUCGCGGGCCGGCGGCGCGCGGGGGAGCGGUGCCAGCAGAGCGGAGGCGACCGGCGGUGGGCAGAGGUGGGUGGGUGCGGGUGCGGGCGAAGGCGGAGGAGCAUGUGGGCAGAGGCGGGUGGGCGUGGGCGGAGGCGGAGGCGGAGGCUGGCGUGGGCGUGUGCGGAGGCGGAUGGGUGGAGGCAUGCAGCGGCGGUGGGCAGAGGCGGGCGGGCGCAGGUGAGUGGCAGCUGGGCCAGCGGCGUGGGCGGAGGCGGAGACCGGCAGCGGUCGGGCGGCGCGGGCGGGCGGCCGGCGAGCGUGGCGCUUCUUUUUUUUUCCAAAUUUUUUAGUCCCGGUUAGUGGUUGGUAACACCAACUAGGACUAAAGGGGGCCUUUAGUUCUGGGUGGAUGACCUGGAACUAAAGACCUCCUUUUUUAUCUCGAAAAAUUUAUCUCGGACGGCUUUUAGAGAGAUGUGAGCGUAUCCAAUUGGGACUAAAGGUGAGUUUUCCACCAGUGAAUGCAGAGCAGGCUCAUCCUAAAUGGUGACACCAUGCUGAUCACGCAAUUUAUCAUUAUUUUAUCGACCUCAUCCGUGUUUGUCUUUUACCAUCUAUAUAGUAUGGUUAGUCAACGGCAUGCAGUACACCCAUGCAUAUGAUUGCAGUAGGAUAACAUAGCGCGACCAGAACUGACGCAGUUUGCCAGUUUUAGAUUCGUAUACACGGCCAACUUACGCAGCAGAGAGUUGCAUGCUAAGCAGUUCAGCGUAGGUGGUGAGUUCUCAACUCUGAUAUGGCUUAUGGAAGAACACUGUCACGGUGUCACCUAGCCGGUUGGAGGCCAACCUCUUACUAGGGACAGCAAUGGCCCUGUCCGGCCACUGUUUCGUGGCUGGUAUUAUUACCCCUAUGCAGUGAAUAUGACAUGUGGAUCUAUGUGUAUAUUAUGUCGUCGAAAGAACAUUAUAUGAACCGUUGAGCCACCUUUGAUUCUAUCAAUGUGUCAUGGUCAAUUGAUGUCAAACUCUAUUAUCUUCAAGUCUUAUUGUAUUGAAAAAAUCACGAUGCUCUGCUACUGCCAUUUUGAUGUUUAUAAAAGGGUAUUGAGAACCUGGUGGGUAUCCAUUCGAUGCGCUGGGGUGGGGGUGGGGAAAAAUGAGUGUAAAGGACAGGGAUACAGUAUUUAGAAGGAUGGGGCUGCCACAGAAGAUAGUCUCCAAGUAUGGCAGGGAAGAAUCUAAAACUGAAUCCUUGAUCAAGACUGUCCCAUAUUCAUGAAUAGUUCACUGACAGAUCUUGCUUCCAUAUUCUGAACAGCUGAUGCUGGGCACAUAGGAGGUUAACCGGUCAGCGGAUCGAAGAAAAAAAAAUUCUUGCCUGUCAGUGUCCACAAUGGCCUCAGCUUGGGUUAGAGACAAUCAUCCCUAAAGAAUCAUAUUGCCGGAUAAGGUUAUCUGUGAUUGGUGGGUGCAGAUCCAUACUCAUCCUAGAAACAAGCCAGGGCUGAAUAUGCCACUCAUUUUAGGUGCUUUGAUGUUGUGGUCACACCGAAAUGAUCAUGUGUUUAAUAAAGUUUCCUAUAGUGACUGGCGUGCAGGCUGUCCUCGUAUUCGAGAAAAAAAAUCAAUGGGCGAAAUAUUUUCACCCAGGUAAUUGUUGCAUUGUAUGAAUAGGCUUAGAUACCUGGUUAGAGUAUGAAUGUGCGUGUACCGUGACACAAGAAGAUUUAUCAUAUCCAUGUAUGAAUUAGUGUUAAAUCUGCUACAUAAAUAUCUUCUCUUAUCUCAUUGUAUGUGUAUAUAUGACACAGAAGCACAUGUAUAUUGGCAUUGUAGAGAGAGAUGAGAGAGAGAAGCUUAUCUGCUUUUUGGAGAUAAAUAUUCAAAUUACUGGUGUAUGAGAGGGAUAUAAUUAUUCUAUCAAAUUGUUUAUUCAACAUGUAAAAAGAUUCCAUGUUUAGUCAUCUAUAUCGGCAUUGUAGAGAGAGACUAGUGUUCAGCUGGUUGGAAGGAUGAGAGAGAGAGGAGAGAGUUCGGAUGAGAGAGAGACUAGUGUUCAGCUGGUUGGAAGGAUGAGAGAGAGGAGAGUUUGGAUGAUAGAGAGAUUAGUGUUCACCUGGUUGGAAGGAUGAGAGGGAGAUGAGAGAGUUCGGAUGACGAGGUGGAGAGUUCGGAAGAGAGAGAGGUGAGAGUUCGGAUGAGAGAGAAAGCAGCUUAGAAGGAUGAGAGAGAAAGUGGUAUUCAGCUGGAUGGUGGAGACUUCAUAUAUUACUAACUAGCAAGGUGUCCGUGCGUUGCUAUGGUGAAACGACGUUGCUUAGCGCGCGAUGCUUUUUAUCAUGUCGUGUAGCAUACCACAUUUUUUAUCGUGCUGUGGAACUUUUCUAUUUUAGUAGUAUUAGACUUUUCAUAUAUAAGGGGCCACAUGAGUGUGUCCAUAUCCUAACCGUGAGGAGACCGCUUGCCAUGGAACUUGUUAUCUCUUUCUCUAUCUUGAGAUUGGUAGGCUUCUACAGCAAUUCUGCACAAAAAAGGCCCCACUUCGCCCCACUUCGCCUCGCUCUCGCUGUCCGGUUAGUCCCGCGCCUACCCUCUCCCUCUCCGAUCCUCGCCGCUAGCUCCUCGGGGUCCAAGUCGGGCCCGUGAUGUAGCGGCCUGUUAUCCUUCCACCGUUGGAAGCGGGCAGUGAUCGCUGCUCUGUGAACCCAGCCUCACGCCAUUCCUACCACUUCAGGUCCAGUGAAGCCCGAGCUUUUGCUUGGGCCGAACAGGCCACUACCAACUUGGAGCAGGCAAGGCCAGCAAGGGCACACAAUAGACCCAAGCCCAGAGUCCACACCCAAACAUCCACACCACCUUAAUACCCCCACUUGGGUUACAAGCCCGCGCAACCAAGCUCGAUGAGGAUGGCUCGUGAGGACGAACAUUUGAGCUGGUGCGGCGCUGCUUCAGAUGGCGAGGUGGUACUAAUCUAAGGAAUAGGAAAAUUUCACGUGGGUCCCACACCGCACCUACCCCUAUCCUUAUCCUUUCUCAUCUCUCUACCGUUCAUCCGGUCCUUAUCCUCCUCAUCUCAUCUCUCUCUCUCUCUCUCUCUGUCUCUCUCUCCCUCUCUCGCUCUCAAACUCUCUAUCUCUCCUAUCCCCUCUUUCUCUGGAGAACGCGGUGCACGGCUGGCCCCAGCGGCGGCCUGGGGGCGCGGGUGCUGGCGGCAGCCGAGGGUUGCGGGGCUGCGGCGAGGAGCCUCCUGGCCGUGGAUGCGACGGCCUAGCCACGGGUGCCGGGCCGCAUCGCACCGCGCGCUGCUGCCACCGAGUAGGCUGCACGCACUGCCUGCACACCAGGCGGGGUGGGCGGCCAGGGCCGAGCGGCGCGGCCGGGGCCGGGGAGGUGACUCUGGCGCGGCCGAGGCGGCUUGGGCGCGGCCAGCUGUUGUGGGUAGGGAGAGGUGGACAGCGGCGCAUGGCGGUGUGGAGAGGCGGACGUGGGGCACGAACGGGUGAAAGGGGAGACGGGGAAAGAAAGCUGGACCCACCUAGCAAUGCAGCCGGGGCCGGGGCCAGGGUAGCGCGGGUGGCCGAGGCCGAGGCCGAGGCCAGGCGGCGCAGUCGGGGCUGGGGAGGCGGCUUUGGUGCAGCCAGCCGUGGCGGGCAGGGAGAGGCGGAGAGUGGCGCAACGGCGGCGUGGAGAGGCGGACAUCAGGCACGGGCGGGUGAAAGGGGAGACAGGGAAAGAAAGCUAGACCCACCCGUCAAUGCAUUAAUCUUACCUAUUAUUAAACAUCAGGGCCACCUCUCGUUGAUAGAAGUUGGACCAAACCAAAAAAAGUGGGCAGAAGUGUUCCUUACUUUAAUAAUAAUAAUAAAGUAUAGAUAAUGCAUCCAAACAACAUUUGGAAUUUAAUUCUAAGAAAAACUUUCUCAGUACAUCCAAACUAGAAAAUUCAAUUGAAUAAAAUUCUACGGAAUGCAUUUCUUAUGGAAUCUAAUUGGUAGAAUAUGAUUUAUGGGAUGAGUUUCAACUCUAGGGAUCCAAAUAGGCUCUUAGUUAUUUCUUAUGUAGCUCAAAUCAGAAGGAAGGUACGUCCAAACUAAAAAACGUAAGUUACUUUGUGUUAUCUUGUGAAUCAGUGAUUAAUUACUUCCAAUCUUAUGUAAAAAGAACUACGAGUCAAAUUCUUUGUCAGAUUUAUACUGACAAGUUACAAGCACAUGCCUCUGCAGUAACAGGCCAGCCCUAGACUAGUGGGCAAACCAAAAACAACAUGAUUCGUCAACUGAUCGAAUGCUAAUGACUAUUUUGCUAGGAGAAUGAACAUGAUUCAUACAAAGCAGGGGAGCUACUAACUUGGUCAAGGUCUCCGUCCUCUAGCUACUAACAUGAUUCAUACAAAGAAGGGGCCAUCUUGCUCCACUCCACGUCUGCGUGGUUGCUCGGCGGGCGCGACGGUGUCGGCUGCGGAGUGCGGACGGCGCGUAGAUAUGUCAUUGUUGAUCAGGACAUGCACUUCUAUCACAGUCUGUGGUUGGCGUCCACGGCCGAGCGGGUCAAGGUCUCCGUCCUCUAGCGUGGGGAAACAGGAUCUCUUCAAUCAGUGCUUCUACAGAAACGGUGCACGGUCACCACGGACCAACGACAUACCAUGAGAAAAGCAGAGCUAAAUGUUGCAGUAGCAGAGUAACCGGAGACUGGAGAGCACUUGCUGCUAAAAGCUGCCUCUUAUUUUGUAUCGUCUUAACCGAAGACUUUAAGUCAACCGCCAUUCGAUUCCAAUAUAAACUAGCAAGUUGGUCCGCGAUAAUAGCGCGGCUAGAUUUGAUACAGUAUAAUUUUUUUAAAUGCUAUGUUAGCUUAGUAUAUUUCUUUGUCCCUCUUGAUUUGUUUUUCAUCCUCUUGAAAUCACUGAGUAUACUUAGGUGCCUUACUCUACACAUUGAGUAUCAAGCCAUAUAUGUAUAUUUUUUUUUUGCAAAUGAACUCCGAUGCCACAUGCGCAUAUGCACGCCUAAUUAAAAUUGCUCACUUGUAAAAAAAUAAGAACAACUUGAGUAGUUGAUUCUGAUCUUAUGUUGCAGUUUUUGCCAACUUUUCCUAGUAUUAUUGUGUUGAGUAGAAAGCCUGUGUAGAGAAAGAUCCAAAACAAACAAUCGUGUCAACUACUCCCCAUGCUUGCUCAAAUAAUUUUGAAAAAAAAAACAACCGCGCUCUAAGUCCUAGGGAGGUGAUAUUCCUCCUUACUUUCCUCCUCUCGUUUUCCUUGCACAAUCGAGGAUGACAAAUACCACAAACCACUUAGGCUCUAUCAUGUUUCAUCAUCACAUUCCUCAAAUCUUGAUCACGUUGUUGUCUUCAUUAUGUUAACAGUACACAUCUCUCCGCCUCUUCUAUUCCACAAAACCAUAAUUGUUCACCGGCUCCAGCAUUGUUGUUGCUCUCCACCAAUCGAGGAAGCUCAUGUCCUUGACAUCACCUUAUCCACUGACCAGCUGAAGUUAUCUGUACAUCCUAAGGUCUCAUAAGAUUUUUGCUGAAUUUGCAUUAAUAUUAAUAUUGCCACCAAUCUAGUCUCAACCUUGCCUUGUGUUCUCGGUGGUCAUGUUUUAUUCUAACUUGCAAGCCCUACAGCUACAUAUGAUGGUUCUUCUAUAUACAUAAUACAUCGCAUCACUUAAGACAUAUAUCGCGGGCCGGCGGCUCAUGGGGGAGCGGCGCCGGCGGAGCGAAAGCGACUGACGGUGGGCGGAGGCGGGUGGGUGCGGGCGGAGGCGGAGGCCGGUGCGGGCGCGUGCGGAGGUGGAUGGGUGGAGGCGUGCAGCGGUGGCGAGUAGAGGCGGGCGGGCACGGGCGAGUGGCAGCUGGGCCAGCGGCGGCCGGGCGGCCGGCCGGUGAGCGUGGGGCUUUUUUUUAUUUUUUUUCAAAAUGUUUUAGUCCCGGUUCGUGGUUGGUACCACCGACCGGGAUUAAAGGGGAAGACCCCGUCUUUUGUCUCGAAAAAUUUAUCCCGGAUGGUUUUUAGAGAGAUUUGAGCCUACCCAACCGGGACUAAAGGUGAGUUUUGCACCAGUAAUGCAGAGGAGGCUCAUCCUAAAUGGUGACACCAUGCUGAUCAUGCAAUUUAUCAUUAUUUUAUCGCCCUCAUGCAUGCUGUGCAUGAUUGAUAUUAGUAUUGGGCAGCUUAGAUUCCUCAGCGCAUCAUGCUGCUCAGCCAUGGAGGUCAAGGCAUCAAUAUUGUCCAUAUCACAACGUCUCUGCUUUCUCUUGUUGUCCUCCCCCUUCCCUCUACAUUGCACCUUCUUGUUUUCCUGAUCCUAUUGCCAGUUUGUUGCAGCCAUUUAUGGGCACCUCUUUCGUCCAUUGUCCACUGUUGUUGCCCGCUGCCUCAGUUCUUCUCUAACCAAAGCGGUCGUAUCGCGCUGGUCGGUAGGAAGCCAUCGUCUCACAAAAGCAUCGUCGUGAUCGCCAAACCACAUCUAGCCGAUGCCGAACCAUACUUGCCAUCUUCUUUGCCAACUUGCCGCUAUGGAAGCCUCCAUGCAUCGCUCCUCGAGUCUAUCCUAUCUCUAUCAGCUCCUGUGGUAUCCUGUUUUGUUUUUGCCUCAACCACGAAGCCAUAGGUAGCUGGUGCUAAAUUGCAGGGCCAGCAACAGCUAUUUCCUCUCCCUGGCCUUGCGGCCAUGCUAUGUAUUUUUCUCUCUCAAAAAAAAUUCCAAUGAUUUAAUUCUAAUGUUCCGAUCAUGUGUGAUUGGUUUAUUAAUUAAAGUUAUAGUUAUACACGAGUAUAUUAUAAAAAAAUAAUAUAUAUAUAAGUUACCAUACAAAGUACAACUUCCAAUAAGGUGGAGAGGUUCGGAUGGAAUUUUGAUUCAACUUACUCUAUUCUAGAUAUUAGAGUUGUACUAGCAAAAUAUCCAUACAUUGCUAUAGCAAAAUAUCCGUACAUUUGCUACGGUAAAAGAUCAAUUGUGUUUUUCAAACUAAUAAUAUUUUUUAUUUUCAUCACUAAAGUUUUAUUCCACUUAUUGGAUGUCCACACAUUUAAUAGAAAACUAAAAGAAUUUUAACUAAUUAUUUCCUUCAACUCAAAUACCAAUUAAAUUAAAAUAUUUUUUUAUUCAAGCAAGAGAGUUAAAUCAGCCUCCGAUGGCCAUCGAUGAGGGGCUCUUUAGUCCUGGUGAGUAAUAUCAACCGGGACUAAAGAACCCCUUUAGCCCCGGUUGUAAAAGUUAGUGGCCUCGGGAUUCUGUUGGGGCGUUUUGUCCCGGUUGCAACUACCAACCGGGACUACGCUCCCCGCCUCCACACACACAAUGUGCGUGCCUCACUUUCUCUCCUCCCUCUCCUUAAUUCCAGUACCCAAGCCUCCUCUCCUUAAUUCCAAUACCCACAUGCCUCCUCUCCUCCUCCCUUCGGCCCCUGCCUCCUCUCCUCCCUCUCCUUCUCCUCCGCUAGAUCCGGCCAACCCCCAUUCCCUCUUCCAAGCUCCUCCCUCUCCCUCGACCGAGGCGGGCGGCGGGCGCAGGUCGGGUGGCGCGGCUGGGGCCGAGGCGGCGUGGGCGGCCGGGGGUCAGGGAGGAUGAUAGGUGGUUACGAGGAUGAUACCUGCAGACAAUACUUUUAGUCCCUCAAUUUUUUCUGAGAAUUGCACUGUGAGCUGCGCUUUCAUUUAUGUCACACCGCUCAGCAAAAAAAACGGUGCAAAUCGACCAAAAUAAAUGAAUAAAUCACACGGUUUAGACUGGUGGCAUCUGUAUGUUUGAUGAGUUUUGAAUCCCAACAGACCUCUGUUUGCUUAUCCAACAGGAGGAAAAAACUUUACUUACUAAAUCAGCUUUGCAUGCCAGGCUGCAAUUGUUAGAGCAGAAUUGGGUAAUUUGUGAACAUAAUUGAAUCAAAGUUUUGUCUCAGACUAGUAAUAGAAAAUGGUAAUGCUCCACAGCUAGAACACGUUCCUACACUAGUUUAAAAAAUUCCCUGAAAUUGGCGACAAUGGUCAAGCUCAAUGUCAAAGUCAAAAAUUCCUACACACGUUCCUACCAUACUUGGAACUUGGAAGGCCGCUGGUCGAUGUCAAAGUCAAAAACAGAAGCAGACAGCGACGUCUCACCAGAUCACGAAUCAGAUGCGAUGCAUGUGCAUGUUCAGCAAGACAUUGAAAAGCAAGCUCUGUCUGGCAGCAGCUCUUCAAUACGCUCCAGCCCAUCUCUACCAUGGCAUUGGCAAUGCGCGUCAUGAGCUUGCUUCCUGCCACCAUCGCCGUGAUGAUCGCAGCGGCCUCCUGGGGAGCGCACGGCGGUGCCAGCGACGAGGCCAGCGCGCUACUUGCUUUCAAGGCUGAGCUCGCCGGCAGCGGCUCCGGCAUGCUUGCAUCCUGGAAUGGCACCGCUGGCGUCUGCGGCUGGGAGGGCGUGGCGUGCACCGGCGGCCAGGUGGUGGCACUGAGCCUGCCCUCCUAUGGGCUCGCCGGAGCCCUCUCCCCGGCCAUUGGGAACCUCACUUUCCUGCGGACCCUGAACCUGAGUUCCAACUGGUUCCAGGGGGAGGUCCCAGCAAGCAUCGGCCGCCUAGCGCGUCUGCAGACGCUUGAUCUGAGAUACAAUGCGUUCUCUGGUACGCUUCCUUCCAACCUCAGUUCCUGUGUCAGCUUACUGCUGUUAGAUCUCAGCAGUAACCGGUUCCAUGGGCGUAUCCCUGUUGAGCUUGGAGACAAGCUAACAAGUCUUCAGAAGUUCUCACUGGGCAACAACAGCUUGACGGGUGCCAUACCAGGAUCACUAGGUAACCUGUCAUCCCUGAUCUACCUUGAUCUGACAGAAAACCACCUCGAGGGUCCGAUCCCACAUGAACUUGGCAGCAUGGGCGGCCUGCAGGUCCUUUUCCUCUAUGAGAACAGACUCUCCGGUGUGCUUCCACACUCCCUGUACAAUCUGUCCUCACUGAAAAACUUGGUGGUAGGAAACAACAUGCUGUCUGGAACCAUCCCUGCUGAUAUCGGCGAUAGGUUCGCCGGUAUGGAAGUUCUUGACUUUAGUAGCAACCGAUUCAGUGGAGCUAUCCCACCUUCGCUCGGCAACCUCUCUGCUCUCACGUUACUAAACCUUCCAGGAAAUGAUUUUAUUGGAUAUGUGCCUUCUGCUUUGGGGAAGUUGCAAAGUCUUACUGACCUGUUCUUGAGUGACAACAGGCUAGAAGCAAACGACAGUCAAGGGUGGGAAUUCAUCACUUCACUGGCAAACUGCUCCCAGCUUCAGUAUCUUGUUCUCGGCAACAACUCUUUCAGCGGGCAACUGCCUAAUUCAGUCGCAAACCUGUCAUCAACUCUGCAACAUCUUUAUUUGGGAGACAAUAUGAUUUCUGGGAAUAUUCCAAUAAACAUCGGAAAUUUGGUUGGUCUUACAGUACUUGAUAUGGCAAAUACUUUAGUAUCUGGACAGAUUCCAGAGAGCAUUGGUCAGCUAAGAAACUUGGUUGGGUUAGGCCUUUACAACACUAGCUUGUCAGGCCUCAUACCUUCAUCACUAGGAAAUCUUACACAGUUGAAUAAUCUUUAUUUAUACUAUGGAAACUUAGAGGGGCCAAUUCCAUCAAACUUGGGGAACUUAAAGAAUGUGUUUGCCUUUGAUCUCUCAACAAAUCGACUCAAUGGUUCAAUUCCUAUAGAGGUUUUAAAACUUCCUCGACUUUCCUGGUACUUAGACUUAUCAUAUAAUUCACUAUCCGGGCCACUUCCAACUGAGGUUGGUACCAUGGUGAAUCUUAACGAACUGAUUCUGUCUGGAAACAAGUUCUCAGGCACCAUACCAGCUAGUGUUGGGAACUGUAUAUCGUUGGUAAAGCUGCUGCUCGAUAACAACUUAUUAGAAGGAAGCAUACCUCAAUCUCUGAAGAACUUAAAAGGUCUUGCAUUACUGAACCUAACAAUGAAUAAGCUAUCUGGUAGUAUUCCUGAUGCCCUUGCUAGCAUUGGCGACCUGCAACAACUGUAUCUUGCACACAACAACUUGUCAGGUUCCAUCCCCAAAGUUCUACAGAAUUUGACAUUGUUGGCAAAACUGGAUUUGUCCUUCAAUGAUUUGCAAGGCGAAGUGCCAAAAAGGGGUCCUUUUGCAAAUGCAACUCACUUGUCAAUUGAUGGAAAUGAUGAGCUUUGUGGUGGAAACCCUCAACUUCACUUAGCUCCGUGCUUCACAGCUGCUGCGGGGAAGAACAGAAGGCGAAUGUCAAGGUCAGUUAUGGUCACCGUAGCGUCAAUCUGCGCACUUCUAUUCUUAGGUUUAGUAGUUUUUCUUAUCCAUUUGAUCCACAAGACGCUCAGACAAGGAAAGGAAAAUCAACUCAUUCCCACAGUAAUUGAUGAACAGCACGAAAGGGUUUCAUAUCAAGCAUUAGCAAAUGGGACUGACCAUUUUUCGGAGGUUAAUCUGCUCGGACAAGGAAGCUAUGGUGCAGUUUAUAAGUGCACUUUACAUGACAAGGGAAUUACCGCAGCUGUAAAGGUAUUCAACGUACGGCAAUCUGGGUCUACUAGAAGUUUUGUGGCUGAAUGUGAGGCACUGCGAAGGGUGCGCCACCGAUGUCUCAUAAAGAUCAUCACCUGUUGCUUAAGCAUUGAUCACCAAGGCCAAGAAUUCAAGGCACUGGUUUUUGAGUUCAUGCCCAAUGGUAACCUAAAUGAUUGGCUGCAUCCAGCAUCCAAAAUACAGAGUCUGAGCAAUACACUCAGCUUAGCUCAGAGACUAGACAUUGCGGUAGAUAUCAUGGAUGCUCUGGAUUAUCUUCACAAUCAGUGUCAACCGCCUAUUAUCCAUUGUGAUCUCAAACCAAGUAACAUCCUCCUUGCCGAAGAUAUGAGUGCUCGGGUUGGAGAUUUCGGCAUAUCAAAAAUCCUUCCUGACGACACUAGCAAAACUCUGCUGAAUUCAGUUAGCUUCACUGGACUAAGAGGUUCCAUCGGAUAUGUCGCUCCAGGUAACAGAAACUAACACUGAUAUUGCUAUGUUCAGUUUUUAACUUCCAUUUUGCCAAGUCCAGUUAUCUCGGCAUGCACGUUGAUAAGUAGCUUGCCAUGAAUCCACUGACCAAAUAGUGUCUGAAAUCUGAAUUGACUGCAGAGUACGGCGAGGGUCGCGCUGUCUCAACUCUUGGAGAUGUUUACAGCCUCGGCAUACUGUUGCUUGAGAUGUUCACCGGGAUGAGCCCUACUGACGACAUGUUCAAAGGCUCCUUGGACCUUCAUAAGUUCGCCGAGGCCGCUCUCCCCGACAGAGCCUUGGAGGUAGCCGACCCGGCAAUCUGGUUUCAUGAAGAAGCAAAGGGCGAAGACCCUGCCACGGUGAGAAGCAGAAGCGAGAGGUGCUUGGCUUCAGUGGUCGGGCUUGGCGUGUCCUGCUCAAAGCAGCUGCCAAGGGAGCGGACGGCGAUGCGGGAUGCUGCCGCUGAGAUGCGUGCGAUCAGAGAUGCCUUCCUGGUUCAAUGUGCAACAGAGACUUGGCCUGCAGUCGGCACCACCGGCCUUGGGAGCGCAGACAGUUGAAUGGUGGACGGAGCUACGGUCUCUUGAUGAACCAAGGAGCACCGGACUAGCAACUCUGCAACUAACAGAGUGGAGAAAGCGCCCCUUAAUGAAAAGAAAAACAGCCGGUGCAAGGCUUUAUAAAAAGAAUGUGACAGCCACUGCGUGUAUCCGAGAGACUUAUCUAAUCUACCGAGGAUUGUUGGGUAGGGAUGCGUAUAGAUUAUGCACGUGCUCCCUCCGUCCCAAAAUAAAUGCACAUCUCGCUUUUCGAGGAGUCAAACUUCUAAGUUUGACUAAAAUUUAUAAAAAAAUGUACUACUAUUUAUAAUGUAUAAUAAAUAUCAUUAGAUUGGGCGUUGGAUAUACUUUCCUAAUAUAUUUAUUUGAAGAUGCAAAUGAUGAUACUAUUUUCUUUAUUCUUAGUCAAACUUAAAAAUGUUUGACUCUUCGAGAAGUGAGAUGUGUGUUUAUUUUGGGAUGGAGGGAGUACCCGUCACGGGGAUUAGUCACGAUAUAAGUAGGGACUAGCAAGCACCAAAAUCCCAUUCACUGCCCUUCGAUCGCUCAAAUAAAACAAACCAUUGCAUAUGGUGGCGAUGCGCUUGCGGGCCUUUUUCCAACCUUUCUGCUGUCGUGGGUCUUGAACUCGCAUGGAACAGUUUUAGUGAAAGCGUGCCCUUCAAUUUUGGGAAGAUUGCGAAGCCUCAUUUACCUGUCCUUAGUGACAAUAAGUUAGGAUCCAAUGAUAAGGACGGAUUGGAAUUCAUCACCAUGCUGGCAAACUGCAGCCAGCUUCAGCAACUGGCUUUUGACAAUAAUUCAUUCAUCGGGGAACUUCCUAGCUCAAUUGCAAAUCUAUCGACAACACACCAAUUACUCUGUAUAGGAAACAAUUGGAUUUCGGGAUUUAUUCCAUCCAGCAUAGGUAAUUUGCUUGGUCUAGAACUGCUUGCGUUGGCAAAUACUUUCAUAUCCGGAGUGAUUCCAGAUAGCAUUGGUCGCCUAGAAGACAUGUCCGUGUUAGGCAUUUACUACGCUAGCUUGUCAGGCAUCAUACCUUCGUCACAAGGAAACCUUACACAGUUGAAAACUCUCUAUGCGUACGAUAGCAACUUCGAGGGUCCAAUUCCAGCAAGUGGGGGAACUUAAAGAAUGUUGUUGUUCUUGAUCUCUCAACGAAAGUGUGUAACCCGCUAAGAUUUCGUGUCGAAGCAAAGCAUAAACCUCUCUUAAGACUGCAAAGCUAUCAUAGAGCAGAUCAGUCUAAGACAAUGUAGAACUUAGUCAAAUUUUAUUUAUAAACAUUCAAGUACAAUUUAUGCAAAGUAAAUUUGAAAAUAAAGUAUACGUAAACAUCUAAGCGCAUAGCUUUAUGAUUUGAGUUGAACUAACCAAAUAUAAUUGAAAAACACAUUUAUAUUUAUAUUAAGUCAAAUUAACAUAUAAUUAUGAAAGCUCGAGAUAUAACUUAUGGAGCCUUUAUUUAGAAAACAAAUUGAAUAAACAUUAAUCAAUUUAAGUUUAAUUAUGAACCACCAUGUUGCAUCUCUCAUUGACUUUUAAUUGAAAGAGUUAUUUAAAUAAGCAUUAACUAAUUUAGCAUUUAUUAUGAAAAGCAGUUAUAACACUAAGUAGCUUUUAAUUAAAGAAGACAUGUUUAACAUGCAUUAAUCAGAUUAAUAUUAAAUUUAUUUUAAAAACAUGCAUGAUGGAAAGAUCAGUACUAACAUGUAAUUUGUGUUAUUACAAACCUAACUCAAUAAGAACAGAUAUAAACGGAGCUGUAACGACCAGUCUAUGGGUUAAACAAGGUUGCAGGGCCUAAUCAUGAUUAACGGAAGGUUAUUGGGGCUAGCAAGGAAGAUUUGCAAGACACUGGAAUAGAGCUCCCCAUUAGGUCAAAGCAUAGGGCGAUUGCGAAAUCAAGAACUCGAAGGUGAUCGCGAGAACACGAAGGACACGAAGGUUUUAGAUAGGUUCGGGCCUCCGGAGAGUAAUACCCUACGUCCUGUAUGCUAGUUUGUAUUGCUUGAGAUUGAUCUGAUUGUUGGGAUACCCUCGGGGGUGCCCUUGGCCGCCUUAUAUAGGCUGACGACCAAGAGUUAAAAGUCAGUUUGAAUCUAAUCUACUCGGUAGUUACAUGGAAAGUAAUCUGAGUUGGACUACAGUACACGUUCCAUGAUAUCCAGGCAGAUUUGAACUGUCUUGUUGCCUUGACUUGCACUCCAAGUAACUUCAUGUCCUCGGCCCGCACGCCCUAGUCGGGCGGGCCCUACUUGUCAGUCCGGCCAGUAUCCUGGUCGGUCGGGGCCCAUGGGGUACCCAUAUCCCUCAAGCCCCCGAGCAUUGUGUAGGUGAAGAGUAACUUGAGGUCACCACAGUGAAACUUGAAAUGAAGUCGGCUGAAGCUACGAAGACAUCAUGGCGACGGAGAGGCUGCACAGUGCUCAAAAGAAGAAAUUCUGAGCAAACGCAGAGCCAACGCGUAGAGCGAAGACGAGUGCCGAGUUGAUGGAUGCUGGCAUUCAGCAGUCGGAGCAAAGGUUAUGGAGGGCCUCGCAAAACGCACUCUGUAGGAGUAGCCCCCGAGCAUUAAAGUGAUUAAGAUAAUCGGUACAAUAGUCAAAGAAGAAAAAGUUAUCCCCUAAAGUAGAUCCUAGUGCUCGAACAUAAGGAUGGGUGAAGCCAUGGAGGCCCGCCAACCAGAAGUAGGCACCCAGACCCAAGAAUGAGGACUAGCGGGACCGUGUAGCCACGUUGACCUGAAAUAGGCGCCCAACCCCUGAGGACGAGGACUAGCGGAGCCACGGAGGCAUGCCGACCUGAAGUAGGCACGCAACCCCUGAGGACGAGAACUGGAGGAGCCAUGAAGACACGCCGACUUGAAAUAGACGCCAAGCCCCUGAGGAUGAGGACCAGUGGCGCCACGGAGGCACGCCAGCCAGAAUUAGGCAUCCAACCCCCGAGGAUGAGCAUGAGGACUGGUGGAAGCACGUCGAGGUGCCUCCCGCCUCGAGCCGAGGCAGAGAGGUCAGUCGGGCGACGGGAGGCACAUGAGUCAUCUAUGGCGCGCAACCGCCGAGCCUGGGAGCCGGACGAGUUGCAGAAGCAUGCCAAGUCGCCUCCCGCGGCGAGCUAGAGAGGUUUGCUGGGCGACGGGAGGCACGCCAAGUCAUCUGCAGUGCCCAGCCCUCAAGCCUUAGGGCCGGCUGAGCCAUAGAAGCAUGCCAAGCCGCCUCCCGCCCCGAGCCAGAGAGGUCGGCCGGGUGACGAGAGGCACGUCGAGUCAUCUGCGGCGCCCAGCCCCCGAGCCUAGGAGCCAGACAAGUCAUAGAAGCAUGCCAAGUUGCCUCCCAUCCCGAGCUAGAGAGGUCGGCCGCGUGACGGGAGGCACGCCGAGUAGUUUUUGAGCUAUAAAAGGACAAUACAAUCAUCAUGUAGCAUAGUGUAGAUCGUUUAAUCAUUGAACAACUCGGAAGUUUAAUUCACUAUAUAAGUAAACUCUUGCGCAUCCUGCUCUUGUAGGCUAAGUAAUUUCCCCAGGUAGUUAGCCUGUUACGUUUAAGCACCUAGCCCUACUGACCACUGCUCACAGAGAUGACGGUUUAUCUCAAGCUAUAGCGCUGGGGCUGACCUGAUGCUUGCAUAUAGGAGACGCGCAGGAUGAGUUAAGGUUUUACGGAUUAAGGCAUGUGCUACCCGAGUACUUUAGCAACUGUUAACAGGGACAGACAAGUUGCAAAGCAGCCGGAACUGUGCGGAAAAGCACCAGCAUGAGCUAGGCACCCAUGGGGUGUAACCCCUGGCCGCCCGUGUAGUGGACGGACCAAGUUGUAUAAACAGUUAGGGUGCGACCAAGGUGGUGGGCAAAAGUCACGGAGACAUAGGAGAGCUGAGGCGGUCGACGAAAGUCACAGGAACAUGGAGGAGCCGAGGCUUAUGUAGGUAUACGGAAGCCAUAAAAUAUUUAAUUGUAAAUAAGACUUAGCUUGAUUCGUGAUCGAGUCGAAGAACCCGCAUGUCGUCUUUGCGUUUAGGCUUAGAAGCCCCUGAGCGUGGUCAGCGGAUAGUUGUUGGUGAAGCAAACUAGUAGGGCUCCAUGCCCGACUAAUUCGUGUCAAGUCCGAGUUGUUGGAGUUGUUAGUGGCAAGUCUGUGGCUGCGAUCGUGGUAUGCUGCUGCCAAGUCGAUGCGGCCAUCGGGUCGUGGCUGGCUGGCCGCCACGCUCGCAAUACAGCAUGCCUGGGUUGUGCUGCCAAACCAAAGGUGCAUGUACAUCUUUCCGAACCUCGUAAGGAAGCCCUCAGGUAUUAAGGAAAUCUAUACCUAAUAUUAAAGUGCGGUUGUUUGUUCCAACCAUUAUGGUUGUUUUGCAAAAAAGUCCCUCAACUUUUUCGUAAUCAGCUCGCAGUCCUUGGAAUAUGUCUUGAUGAUUUUGCAAAAAGGUCCCCAAACUUUACUGCAAUUGGCCGUCGAAGCUCCCGCAGCAUGCACCUACGCCACGUGCGGUGCGGACGAGUGUGCUGGCGGUGGCUGCAAGCUCCUCACCACAGCGGGGACCAGGUCGAGCAGCGACAGCGAUGACGGAGGGGAGUAGUCCGCAUCCGCGUGCCGUGCUUCCAUCGUCGGGCAAGCUGUGGCGGCGGUGGAGAGGGAAAGUGAGUACAUCGGCGUGUGGCAGCAGUCGUGGGGCAGUUUGGCGGCGGAGAUCCAUGACCCGCACCUCGCUGUGCGCAAGUGGCUCAGCACCUUGGACACCAUUGAGGACGCCACACACGUCUAUGAUGUCGCCGCCAUCGAGUUCCGAGGCCACCACGCCAAGCUCAACUUCCCCGACGACAUGGUCCCCGUGCCCGCACCUUCUAGGGUGCCCACCUCUACAUACCACUACCACCACCACCUGCCGCAGCCGCUGCCCAAGAGUCUGCACAAGACCUGCGGGUCGAACGCAUCGUCGUCGGUGCACAUGGCUCCUGGAUGACGGCAGCUUCUUGUCACCCAUGCCAUGAUCGUCACAUUCUCCUCUUGUUUUCACUUUCGUUGCUUAGCGGAUAAUGGUGGUCAGCUGCCCUUUGGUCUGUCGUCAAUCACCAGCCAUCCAUCGCUUUCAUAUGGUUUUACACUAGCUUUUGGGCUUUGACCACACCUCCACACCCAUAAAGUGGAGUGAUGUUGAUCUACUGCCGCUCGCCCUGGCGUGCAACUACUGUCGCUCACCCUAGCACAUGGCUACUCACUCGGGCUGCGUGCCCUACCCGCCACCUGGACCUAAGAGGUGAAGGAGAGAGGAGGAAGGGGGAAGGAAAUAAGGAGCCGAGUGCCUCUUUGCAGUCAACCAAGUAGAUCCAUGUGCCAGCGAAGGCAUGGCGCCAGCAAGGGGGGGGGGGCGCAGCAGCAGUCGGCAGGCAACGCAAAUUGGGGCAGAGGUUGGGACCUCACACCCCCCCUCUCAAUGACGUCCAUCCCCUUAAGAUCCGGAACUAAAGCCUCCACAUCUAGCAAUUGGGGGCUCAAUUUUGCACUUGAUUGAAAUGAUUUGGAGUGGAUUAUGGAAGGGAAGUGGAUGGAAAUGAGAAGAGGAGGAGAACGCACUCCUGCUCAUGGCGGCCAGAGGCGUUGUGGCCUAGCGCUCGAAGCAGGAAUGAGGCUAGGCACAGGAAGGACGAGCGCUUGCCUGGGCGAUGGUGAGGAUGGCAAGAUGCGCAGCGCCUGGAUGACGGCGAAGAUGGGGCUAGAUGCGGGUGGCGCUGAUGGAUGAAGAGGCAUCGACUGGCUAGAUGACGAUGAGUACGGGGGAAAUCGAAUGAAUGGAUGGAGCGGAGGUUGAGCGGUGAUUUUUUUUAUUUCCAUAUGUGGGUCCCACAUAAUAAACAUAUGGCAUCAAAUCACCCAUAAAUAUCUUCUACUACUAUACUGAGACAACGCACCAACAUAUGGUGAACCGAAGCCACCGUAUUACGAACAAGCGAAUAAUAACGUGAGAAUAAGUAAGGACCUGUAGCAACGCACGGACAUUUCUGCUAGUGAGAAAAAAAAUUGUUAUCUACCGCAGUAAGCACCGAGCAACAUAGGAGAUCUACUGGAUGGAAUAGAUUAAAUAAUAAAGGGAAGGGAGAAUUGUUUCCUUUUUUUUCCGUGGCAGAUCCGACAUGUCUGCAUGCAACAAGUUGAGGCCGACGUGUCGUGCUAAAUCAAUUGGAUCGGACUGGGGCUGGAUCAGGCGAGCUUGGCUGUGGCCGGGAUGAGGCCAAUAAGGGCGCCGCCCUUGACCUUGGCCUCCUGCGUCUCGUGGAUCUUCUGCAUCUAGAGCAUCCGCUCCAUGACAAGCUUGUACUGGCACUUCUCUUAGGCGUGGUGCUCAGGCUGGCACUUCCAGGGGAGGUAGAACUCGGAGGUGCACGCACUGGUUGUGGUAGGCGAGCGGCACCUGGGCCACCGCCAUCUCCACCUGCGUGAUGAUCUAGGGCUUCAAGGAGCCGAACUGCACACCGACCGUUGCUGCCGCCUCCAUCUGUCACUUUCUUCCCGUCUCUCUCACCGGCGAGGUCGUUCCAUCGAUAGAUGGGCAUUGCGGGUUUGGUGCGGUGUGGGUAGGUGGGGUGCAGCGAGGACAUGAGGAACCCUCUCGGAGAGAGAGAUUGCCAAUCUACUGGGCAAGUGGCAUGAUGAUCCUUGGAUAGAGAACUUGCUCCUCCGGAGUAAAUCCGACAGAUGCCGAGCUGGCGGCAGGCAUCGAGUCGAAGUCCACCGACAUGCUCCCGAAGCAGAGCUGGAUUGGGUUGGCGAGGAAGUCCUUCAUGCUCUCGGAAAAAACAAUGUCGGGACGGGAUGCCAUCGAGCUCGCUAGGGAGGAUCUCACAAUCAUCCCUACCUGGCAUGCCAACUGUUGGAUUUAUAAGCCUGAUAGUCCACCAGGGGGUUACCCAAGUAGUUGAUUUCUAGGUGAGGGCGAUUGUGAAACCAAGAACUCGAAGGUGAUUGCGAGAACACGAAGGGACACGAAGAUUUUAGAUAGGUUCGGGCCUCCGAAGAGUAAUACCCUACGUCCUGUAUGCUGGUUUGUAUUGCUUGAGAUUGAUAUGAUUGUUGGGAUACUCUUGGGGGUGCCCUUGGCCGCUUUAUAUAGGCUGAUGACCAAGAGUUACAAGUCGGUUUGAAUCUAAUCUACUCGGUAAUUAGAUGGAAAGUAAUCUGAGUCGGACUACAAUACGCGUUCCAUGAUAUCCAGGUAGAUUUGAACUGUCUUGUUGCUUUGACGUGCACUCCAAGUAACUUCAUGUCCUUAGCCCGCACGCCUUAGUCGGGUGGGCCCUAGUUGUUAGGUCUGACCAGUAUCCUGAGGUACCCAUAUCUCUCACCUUGGUGCUCCGGCGAUUAGGGUCAACGGCGAGGAUGGGGAUUGGAAGAGGAGAUCAAGGGGACUUUAUGGAGAUGCUCACCGGUGGUGAGGUGGACGGAUUCCAGCCAGAAUUUGGCUGGCGGUGGAAGAACACGACAGGUUGCUCAGGUCUUCGCGAGUGAUGGUACUCCAGCAGUGGAGCGGCGACGAAGACUAGUGGCAGAGCAGCUCCUCGACAUCAUGGAGCUCCCUAAGGCUCUAGCUUGCUCCAAUGGUCGACGGGCAUAGCGAAUUGGCCAGAGAAGGCUGGUAGCGGCUCCUAGCUUCGGUGGAUGUGGGGGAUGGCGGCGCUUGUGGAGGAUGGCGGUGCUUGUGCAAGCUGGGAAGAGUGGCGGCGCGAGGCAGGGUAGCAGCAGGGGCACUGUCUCGACUUUUAUAGGCGCGUGGGUCCGCGCCUACCUUGGCACGCAUGCUGAGGUUCGGCGGUGGCGACGACCAACUGCAGCUACGCUUGGCCUCAACCCGUUGGUGGCCGAUGGGCCUAGCGGACCUAGCCGAGCCAUCAGCUGGGCUGGGUCGGUGAGGGUCGAGCCGCAAAGACUUGGCCCGAUUGAUUAGGAUUUUCCUUUUUUUUAGAAAUGAUUUCUUGUAAAAGAAAAAUCCAGAAAAAUUCUAUAUAAUUAAUUUAAGCAACGAAAAAACCCUAAAAAUCCAAAAAUUCCAGGAAAAAUCCUAGAGAUAGUUUGGGAAUGAGGAGUACAAAUAAAAUACUUGGAGCUCAUGAAAAGGAUUCUAGAACCUUCCAAAAAUUGGAUUUAGCUCUAGAAAAAAGAGAAUAAAUCUUAGAAAAAUCUUGAAAUUCUCAUAAGAACCUAAUGGGCAUCUAAACGCAUUCCAAAACCUUUGCACUUAUGAAAUACCAAGAUGCAUCGGCAUGAAUGCAACACAUACAUAGAACUAUUAUAUUUAAUUCAGAAAAACACUCAAUUAUUUUCCUAUACUAAAUUUCCUGUCAGGAAAAUAAAUGUUGGAAAAAUUUUAAAAUUAUGAGAAAAUCAUUGUUUAAUUAUUAUUUUUAAUCACAUCCUGAAAUUUCAAAAAUUUUAAGGUGUGACAGAUACCCUCAGGUUUACAGAAUUUGACAUCCAUGUGCAAAUUGGAUCUAUCCUUCAAUGAUUCUUUGGAUUUGCACAGUUUUCAGAUAUUUACUGGAAGGAGCCCAACGGAUGAGAUAUUCAAUGAUUCUUUGGAUUUGCACAGUUUUCAGAGAAUGCUCUUCCAGAGAGAAUAUGGGAUAUAGUUGAUCCGACAAUAUGGAUGCACACAGAUGCCUAUAACAGCACUAUGAGAAGUGGAAUUAAGAAUUGCUUGCUUUCUGUUGUUUCUCUUGGAAUAUCAUGCUCAAAGAAACAACCUAGGGAGCAGAUCCCGAUUCAGGAUGCAGCCAUUGAGAUGCACGCUAUUAGAGAUUCGUAUCUCAAGUUUGCCAGAUCUCUUUUGGUGGAGCAUGGAGUAGUAGCAACAACUCACAGUGAUUUCCCACAACAGUGAAUACAUAGGACUGAAAAUGGGCAAGAUGUCCGCAGGUGAUCAGUUUACCUGAAAUAACUGAAGAUGUAUGAAGCUUCAGCUUUAUAAUUCGUCCAUGCAUUUGUUUGCAUCAGAUAUAUGGAAGUAUAAAAUAAGUUUAGAAAAUGUUUCAAAAUAGAUUAGAUCAAGAGGUUUUUACUUGUCGUCUGUAUGGCACAUUUGUUUAGAGAAUUCAGUAAUAUGUAUGAUUCAUAAUACAAUCAAUGCUCUGCAAAUUUCAGAUAGCACAAUUGGAAUAAAAAGCUCAUUCAUUGAUUAUGUUGCUCUAGGUGACUCAACUUAUUGUGAUGUUCACUGUAGAUUUCUCCAUGGUCCAAACGACCUUUGUGAUCAGUUAUGUUUAUGCAUUUUGUAGACUUGUAAAGUCUUUCCCUAACCUGCUGACAUAUCAGCUGGAGCAGAGCACUCUGCCGUUCUGCGCCACUUGCCUCUAGGCAGCGCUUGCCGCUUGGUGGCUGCCGUGGCGACGGGCGGCAUCCGUAAUUGCUCUAUUGGAGGCUGAGGGGCACAAUUACGUCUUGGAGUCGCCACCGCGCGACCUUCGGAGCUCGCCCAUGCCUCAUCGGUACGAGCUCAGUCCCGCGGUGAAUGGCGCGCGCAUCUGGGGUUCCGUCAGCUGCAGGUGCAGAUGGGUGGAGAGCUUAACAGCACUAGGUCUUCAGAAGAUGUUGGGUGGGCUGGAUGGGGCUUUGCGGCUCUGAAUGGCGAGGCGGGCAGGGACGACGGCGGCAGCGGCAGGCGGCGGCACUGGACGCGUUGGGGUGGAGACGACCCGGACCAGGGAGCAUUUUUGAAAAUAGUCGGAUCGCGAUCCUAAUUAGGAAAUGUGAGAAGGGGUGCACCAAAUAUGGGAUGAGAUGGAGAGGAGCGGAUCAGGCCCAGAUCAGCGAUCAUUUACUAUUAGGGCCCGUUUGUUUGGCAGGAAUUGGGCUGAAUUGGAAUUACUUUCCUAGGCCGACCUGUUUGGCUGCACAUGGAAUUGGAAAUCGUCUUUCCGGUGAUUUUCACGGGCUGAUUUUCUUACUUGCGACACAUUCCGGGCCUAAGACAAAGAAAUCAAUUCCAUCCGACUUGCUUCCCCUCCCGACUCGCCUCCCUUCCCCGACACCGCGCCACCUCCCUCUCCCAACUCCCCUCCAUCCCGACGCCGCACCCCCUCCUCCACCGCCUCCUCCGGCGCCCCCUCCUCACCUCCCCCUGACUCGCCUCACCCCGUGCUGCCGCCGCCCUCGACUCUGACUCCCCGAGCGCUGCGCCGCCGCCUCUCGCGCCGCCGCCCCUCGCGACCACCUUCUCGACGGCGAGAUAAACCUCCUCCAGUUUCCCUCCUCCAUCUCGUUCUCCGGCUCACCCCUUCCUUUUUCUUCCUCACCGGCUCACCCCUUCCCCUUGAACAAUCCGCAGAUCUGCGGGGGAGGUGCCACCGGCAAGCAGGCUGGGAGCAGCUGCAACGGCGGCCGCCCCAUCCACGUCUCUACGGACGGCAUCUUCAACAUUCCGACCACGCGCGUGCUCUCCACUAGCAAAGAAGCUGUACGUCCCAAUCCCUUCUGCCCAUCCCCUUUGCUACUCGAGCCAGCAAAGAAACUACUAGUUAGUUGCAUCAGAUUCUCACUGUCAAAUUGGAAGGCCAUUGCUCUUGCUCCUACUAGUAUACCGCACUUUCCACAAAAUGCGACACACGAAUUUGUUAAUUUUGCCGUAAUUCUGCUAUCAAAUCAAAAGGCCAAUCCUCUUGCUCUAAACAGUUUCUGCAAUUUCGUGCACUAUCGAUUGCUAGUGCUAAUUACAUGGAGGGCCUUUGGUACUUCUCUGCUAAUGCUAAUUAUAUGUGACAUGCUCUGAGAUUCUUCAUACUGUGUGCUGCCAUUAGUUUAAAUUUGGUAGAAGCUGAAAUCUCUUCGUAGAUCAUUAUGUGCUGCCAUUCUGAUAUCCUGUGGAGUUGCAUAUCAACUACUAGUGCUAGCAUUUAGUUUUAUCUGUCACAGCAGUUAAGCAUCAGUCAGCCCUUAUCUAGCAUUUAGUUGGUGCAGCUGUGCAAGUGAUGUUCCUAUUGUUUUUAAUUUUUGUCUUCUGCAGCAUUUUGCAGGCUGUCUAUGUUUCUGCUUAGUUUCGUGAAAUAGUGUAGCAUUUUGAUGAUAAAUUAAAACAUUCCUUUUUGCAUAUGUUUAGAUGCCUGACAGCAACAUAGACUUGGUUAAUACAGGCAUAGAGCAAAUGAGAGAGAGCGUAGGAAGAAGAGAAAAAGAGUGGCUAUUUUAUUUAUUUCUGCUGUCAUGAGCAUGAUUGUGCACUAAUGCGUAAGAGACCUAGGCGUAUCGUUGAUCCGGAUGAAGUGGCUGAGAGAAAUGUUGCUAGUCGGAAACAAAUGCCAAGGAAUCUGUACUAAGGAUCAAAUAUUUUUUGCUAUGACAGUUUGCGCCUAAUUAAGAGAUCAUUUUCUGACCUAUGUGCCAUCUUACGUGAUAGGUGCGGUAUGUGUGAUACUGUCGGUAGAAGAAAAUGUGGCUAUCUUUUUGCUUAUAGUGGGCCAUGGCACUAAGAUGAGGAUGAUUCGUAGCUCAUAUAGGUGGUCGCUCGAGCCAAUCUACCAUCAUUUCAAUGAGGUGUUGAGAGGUGUUCUAUCAUUAUGCCAUGAAUUUAUCAAGCUUCUUGAUCCAUCAGCUGUAGAACCUGAGGAUUCCAAGUGGAAGUGGUUUGAAGAUUGCCUUGGAGCAUUAGAUGGUACACAUAUUGACAUUUUGGUGCCUUUGGCUGACCAAGGGAGGUAUAGGAAUAGGAAGCAACAGAUUACCACCAAUAUUUUGAGGGUUUGUGAUCAUCACAUGAAAUUUAUUUACAUCUUAGCAGGAUGGGAAGGAUCGGCUUUAGAUUCACGUGUGCUACGUGAUGCAAUGUCUCGGGACGAUGCAUUUCUUAUUCCAAGUGGGAAAUACUAUCUUGUAGAUGCUGGAUACACCAAUGGACCGGGCUUUCUUGCUCCAUAUCGAUCCACUCGCUACCACUUGAAUGAGUGGGCUGCUCAAGGGCAUAACCCAUCCACUCCCAAAGAACUAUUCAAUUCGCGCCAUUCAACUGCUAGAAAUGUGAUAGAGAGAACAUUUGGGCUAUUAAAGAUGAGGUGGGCUAUACUAAGAAGCAACUCAUAUUUUAACUUACAAAAUCGGGUAUUCCGUAGUUAGUAACCUAGCUUGAAAUUCACCUCUGAAUGACCCUAGCAUGUAACUCAUUUCUACUAAUUUUUUGCAGAUUAGGAUCAUUAAUGCUUGUUGCAUAUUGCACAACUUUGUAAUUGAUAGACAAAGAGAUAUAGAUGACUUACUUAUAUACACCAAGUUGAUCAAGUAAUAUAUGUUGAACCUCAUGAAGUUCAAAGUGAAGUGGGCAUGAUUAGCAAUGUUCAAUCAUCAAAUGAAUGGAGCAAUUUUAGGGAUACCAAAGCUAACCAAAUGUUUGCUGAUUACCAAGCGAGACGUGGUCAAUGUAUGAUAAAUUCUAUCAUCAAUGCAUGCUCAAAUUUAUGAUAUUUGGUGUUGCUCCUUAAUAUUUUACUGAUAACCUUUGUGAACUUUUUUCUUGUAGAAUAUGGAGAAGGGCAAGAAGUCAGUCUCGAGCAGGGGUUACAUUUGUUGGAAUGACGACAUGAAUAAGGCUCUUCUUGACACAUUUGUGGAGUACUAUAACAAGGGUGACACAUGCCAAAAUGGGUGGAAGUCUCAUGUCUAUACAACUUCUAUCAAGAAUAUCCGAGAAAAGUGUAAUGUGGAUAUCACAAAAGACAACAUCAUGGCAAGGAACAAGACCUUUGACAAACACUACACUAUCAUCAAUGGUAUGUUGGAAUCAAGUGGAUUUGGUUGGGAUUGGAACAAAAAUAAAAUAUCUGUUGAUAGUGAUUCUGUAUGGGAAGAAUAUGUGACGGUAAGUUUCAAAAACCACUGAUUUACUUGCUUAACUUGCUUCUCUUUACAAGCAGUUUUCAUUUUGUUAGACACAAUCACAUAUGAGGUUAUCCUUAUUUUACACAUGGUAUGGUAUGAAUCUACUAGGUGGGCUUGGCAUAUAAUUGAAAGAUUUUUUGUACUCUAUCUAAAGUGGCAAUGAUUGUUUCAUCAAAACUUAUUGUUCCUGAAAACUUAUUGGCAUAUAAUUGAAAGUUUCUAUCUAUUGUUGAAAACAGUGUGUAGUGAAUUAUGUUCGUUACCUGUGUUCCUAAACAAUUAUGUAUGCAUCCUUGUCCCUGUAUGUUUUGUUACUUUUUUUAUUGAUAGUGUGGCAUCUUUAGGUUGUUCUUGAAAUGAAAGUAUACUUUCACUGCACAAGAAUUUAUUGGCCAGAAUAGUGGCUUGUAUUGGUCAGAUCCUAGUCAGCAAGUGCACGUCUCCUACAAGGCUGAGAAUCUUGCGUGAGGAAACUAGAGAGACCACUAGCAUGAACAAUGCCUCUCCAUACUCUGCAAUUUUUGAACUUUAGAUGCACCUGUCUCUUUGCUAGAAUUGCAAAUUAAGUAUGAAACAUGAAUCGACAUCAUUUAGUAUUGUUGUGCAGCACCAUACAAUGGUUUUGUGGUUUUGUGGAUUCUAGAAAAGGAUUCUCACAAAUGAUAGUUGCCAGUUAUACCUUUUGUUGCCAGUUCUACAAAAGGAGCCAUGGAUGUGUUUCAAUUUGUAGAUAUUCAUUGUGCAAAAUGCGACUAGAGCUUCUAGUACAUGUAUUUCUAAUAGUAGAAGCCAUGCAGAAGUUCCUGUAUUUGAACUACAGUAUGUAAACUGAUCUAUAUGUGUCUAAACUGGUCUGUAUGUGAACUACAAUGAUUGUACUUCUAUUUGGGUUCAGUACAUACUUGCUCUACACUUGUUUUCUAACCAAGUACAUUUAUUUUCUGUAGAAAAAUAAAGAAGUUACUGGGUACAGGCACAAGACUGUCUUGUACUGGGACUCAAUUAGCUUGGUGUUUGGCAAAGGCCAUGCUACUGGUGAAGCGGCAAAGACUGUGGCUGAGAGCUCAAAAAAUAUGAGUAAGGAAUAUCUUAGUAACAAAGAACCCACAUCAUCGGCAACUUCAGGAAGUUUAAAGAGGCAACGAUCAGGUGACUCUUUUACCUCUAUGAUAGCUGAAAAAAUGGACAAGUUUGCUGAAGCACUCAAGGAGGAAGCCCUAAAGGCCUAACAUCAAAAGAAAUUCUAGACACACUGAAUGAGGUACAAUGAUUGGAUGAAGACACUUUGUUGGACCUAUUUGAUAUCCUGACCGGUGAUGCACGCAAGUAUGAGUCUCUGUUGGCGCUUCCGGAGAAGAUGAGGAAGAGGUGGCUCCUAAAACAGCUCAAGAAGUGAAAAAAUUAGUUCAUAUAUAAAUUAUACUAUCAAGUGAUGGAUAAUGUCUAUUGAACUUCCAUUGCCUUGUAAUAAUAUGUGGCUUCAACUAUAUGAAAGUUUAGAUACUAUGUCUGUAUUGCUUGCAUUGUCAAGAUAAUAUGUUUAUCAUGAUCUCAUACUAUGUCUGUCAUGAAAGUUUAGAUAAUAUGUGGCUUCAACUUGUCAUGAUUGUAAUCUCCUUUGACAUGUUGCAAGUAAUCAGAUAUGUCUGCCAGGAUUGCAUUGUCAAGUAUGAAUGUAUAUCAGCAUUGUAGGGAGAGAAGCUUAUCUGCUUUUUGGAGAUAAACAUUCAAAUUACUGGUGUAUGACGGGAUGAAAUACUCUAGUGUUCACCUGGUUGGAAGGAUGAGAGGGAGAUGAGAGAGAGAGUUUGGAAGAGAGAGAGGUGAGAGUUCGGAUGAGAGAGAAAGCAGCUUAGAAGGAUGAGAGAGAGAAAGCGGUAUUCAGCUGGAUGGUGGAAAUUUUAUAUAUUACUAAUAAUGCAUCCAAACAAUAUUUGGAAUUUAAUUCUAAGAAAAACUUCCUUUGUACAACCAAAUAAGAAAAUUCAAUUGAAUCAAAUUCUACGGAAUCCAUUUCCUAUGGAAUCUAAUUGCUAGAAUAUGAUUCAUGGAAUGAGUUUCAAUUCUAGGGAAACAAACGGGCCAUGGUCUUCAUUCCCAAGGAAAGCUUGAGGCUCUGCAAUAUUACACAACAAUGAAGUCAAGAGGGUUGAUCCCUGAACCAAGGACCAAGAUACUGGUGAAAGCUAUACAUAUGAAGAAAGAUGGGGCUGUCAUAGAAGAUCAGUCUGCAAAUAUGACAGGGAAGAAUCUAAAACUGGAUCCACGAUCUAGACUAUUCCAUGUUCAUAAAUAGUUUGCUGUCAGAUCUUACUUCUAUGUGUCAAAAGAAUCUCUUCGACCAGUGUCCAGAUCACAAUGGUCACACCUUGGGCUACAAUAAAUCAUCAGCAAAGUGUAUUGGCAUUAUGUAUCCCAGAAAGUUUUGCUCAGACUUUCAAUGCCAGGGUAUGUUUUUUAUGUCUGAUAUGGAUCAAUUGCAGGUACUGUAUUACACGCUCGUAUUAUGAAGGUUAUGUGAAAUAUGACAGAUGUUUGUUUAUUCAUCUGUUAUGCAUGGCUGUGUCUACUGUCUAGUUGUUGGCUUGUUGCCAACAUAUGCAGCAGCAGGUAGCUUCAGCCGCUCAGAAGCCCAAAUGAAGGAUGGCCCAGGCAGAAUAGCUAUGUCCAGACCCAGAAAGCUUAGGACAUGUCUUGCCAGCCUGCAGUUUUGUACUCGUAGCACCAACCAUCUCCGGGUUCUGGCCGGUUAUAUACAUGGUCUGGAAUGGGCAUCCGCUGAUCGAUUGAAACCUUGAGUUGCUUCCGUGUGUCUUUUGCCAUCUAUAUAUUAUGGUUAGUCAACGGCAUGCAGUACACCCAUGCAUAUGAUUGCAGUAGGAUGACAUGGCGUGACCAGAACCCUUCUUUUGCCAGUUUUAGAUUCUUAUACACGGCCAACUGACGCAGCAGGGAGUUGCAUGCUAAGCAGUUCAGCGUAGGUGGUGAGUUCUCAACUCUGAUAUGGCUUAUGGAAGAACACUGUCACGGUGUCACCUAGCCGGUUGGAGGCCAACCUCUUACUAGGGACAGCAAUGGCCCUGUCCGGCCACUGUUUCGUGGCUGGUAUUAUUACCCCUAUGCAGUGAAUAUGACAUGUGGAUCUAUGUGUAUAUUAUGUCGUCAAAAGAACAUUAUAUGAACCGUUGAUCCACCUUUGAUUCUAUUAAUGUGUCAUGGUCAAUUGAUGUCAAACUCUAUUAUCUUCAAGUCUUACUGUAUUGAUAAAAUCACGAUGCUGCUACUGCCAUUUUGAUGUUUAUAAAAGGGUAUUGAGAACCUGGUGGGUAUCCAUUCGAUGCGCAGGGUUGGGGGUGGGGAAAAAUGAGUGUAAAGGACAGGGAUGCAGUAUUUAGAAAGAUGAGGCUGGCACAGAAAAUAGUCUCCAAGUAUGGCAGGGAAGAAUCUAAAACUGAAUCCUUGAUCAAGACUGUCCCAUAUUCAUAAAUAGUUCACUGACAGAUCUUGCUUCCAUAUUCUGAACAGCUGAUGCUGGGCACAUAGGAGGUUAACCGGUCAGCGGAUCAAAGAAAAUCCACAAUGGCCUCAUCUUGGGUUAGAGACAAUCAUCGGUAAAGAAUCAUAUUGCCGGAUAAGGAUAUCUGUGAUUGGUGGGUGCAGAUCCAUGCUCAUUCAAGAAACACAUGAUUCUUUACGGAUGAUCAUCUCUCAGCACACCCUGCUGAUAAGGUUAUCUGAGAUUGGUGGGUGCAGAUCCUAGAAACAAGCUAGGGCUGAAUGCGCCGCUGUACUUGGAUGUUGUGGUGACACCGUAAUGAUUGUGUGUUUAAUGGAGUUUUCCAUAGUGACUAGCGUGCAGGCCGUCCUCGUAUUUGAGAAAAAAAUCAAUGGGCGAAAUAUUUUCACCCAGGUAAUUGUUGCAUUGUAUGAAUAGGCUUAGAUACCUGGUUAAAGUAUGGUGCGUGUACUGUGACACAAGAAGAUUUAUCAUAUCUAUCUAUGAAUUAGUGUUAAAACUCCUACAUAAAUAUCUUCUCUUAUCUCACUUUAUGUAUAUAUAUGACACAGAAGCACAUGUAUAUCGGCAUUGUAGAGAUAGAGAUGAGAGAGAAGCUUAUCUGCUUUUUGGAGAUAAAUAUUCAAAUUACUAGUGUAUGAGAGGGAUAGAAUUAUUCUAUCAUAUUGUUUAUUCAACAUCUAAAAAGAUUCCAUGUUUAGUCAUCUAUAUCGGCGUUGUAGAGAGAGAGACUAGUGUUCAUCUGGUUGGAAGGAUGAGAGAGAGAGGAGAGAGUUUGGAUGAGAUAGAGAGAUAGUGUUCAGCUGGUUGGAAGGAUGAGAGAGAGAGAGAGGAGAGUUUGGAUGAUAGAGAGAUUAGUGUUCACUUGGUUGGAAGGAUGAGAGGGAGAUGAGAGAGUUCGGAUGAGGAGGUAGAGAGUUCGGAAGAGAGAGAGAGGUGAGAGUUCGGAUGAGAGGUGUGAGAGAGGUGAGAGUUCGGAUGAGAGAUAAAAUAGCUUAUAAGGAUGAGAGAGAGAGAAAGCGGUAUUCAGCUGGAUGGUGGAGACUUCAUAUAUUACUAAUAAUGCAUCCAAACAACAUUUGAAAUUUAAUUCUAAGAAAAACUUUCUCGGUAAAUCAAAACAAGAAAAUUCAAUUGAAUCAAAUUCUACGGAAUCCAUUUCCUACGAAAUCUAAUUGCUAGAAUAUGAUUCAUGGAAUGAGUUCCAAUUCUAGAGAUCCAAACGGGCCCUAAGAGAAUUGUAGUGAUCAACUCCCAAGUUGCAAUAUAUUCUAGGAAAUAGGUGGUUAUGAGGAUGAUACCUGCAGACAAUACUUUUUAUCCCUCAAUUCUUACAGAGAAUUGCACUAUCAACUGCAUUUUCAUUUGUGCCACGCUGCUCAGCUAUAAAAAACGGGGCAAAUCGACCAAAAUAAAUGAAUAAACCACAUGGUUUAGACUGGUGGCAUAUGUAUGUCUGAUGAGUUUAGAAUCCCAACAGACCUCUGUUUGCUUAUCCAACAGGAGGGAAAAAGUUUACUUACUAAAUCAGCUUUGCAUGUCAGGCUGCAAUUGUUAGAGAGUAGAAUUGGGUAAUUUGUGAACAUAAUUGAAUCAAAGUUUUGUCUCAGACUAGUAAUAGAAAAUGGUGAUGCUCCAUAGCUAGAACAACACGUUCCUACACUAGUUUAAAAAAUCCCCUGAAAUUGGGAACAAUGGUAAAGCCCAAACCAUACUUGGAACUUGGAAGGCCGCUGGCGGAUGUCAAAGUCAAAAACAGAAGCAGACAACGACGUCUCACCAGAUCACGAAUCAGAUGCGAUGCAUAUACAUGUUGCAGGCAUUAGCACGCAUCCCUUAGGAUUAAACAAUUCAGCAAGUAGCUCCCCUGCUGACCAAGAAAAGCAAGCUCUGUCUCGCAGCAAGCUCUUCAAUACGCUCCAGCCCAGCUCUACCAUGGCAUUUGCAAUGCGCGUCAUGAGCUUGCUUCCUGCCACCAUCGCCGUGAUGAUCGCAGCGGCCUCCUGGGGAGCGCACGGCGGUGCCAGCGACGAGGCCAGCGCGCUGCUUGCUUUCAAGGCUGAGCUCGCCGGCAGCGGCUCCGGCAUGCUUGCAUCCUGGAAUGGCACCGCUGGCGUCUGCAGCUGGGAGGGCGUGGCGUGCACCAGCGGCCAGGUGGUGGCACUGAGCCUGCCCUCUUAUGGGUUCGCCGGAGCCCUCUCCCCGGCCAUUGGGAACCUCACUUUCCUGCGGACCCUGAACCUGAGUUCCAACUGGUUCCAGGGGGAGGUCCCAGCAAGCAUCGGCCGCCUAGCGCGUCUGCAGACGCUUGAUCUGAGCUACAAUGCGUUCUCUGGUACGCUUCCUUCCAACCUCAGUUCCUGUGUCAGCUUACUGCUGUUAGAUCUCAGCAGUAACCGGUUCCAUGGGCGUAUCCCUGUUGAGCUUGGAGACAAGCUAACAAGUCUUCAGAAGUUCUCACUGGGCAACAACAGCUUGACGGGUGCCAUGCCAGGAUUACUAGGUAACCUGUCAUCCCUGAACUACCUUGAUCUGAGAAAAAACCACCUCGAGGGUCCGAUCCCACAUGAACUCGGCAGCAUGGGCGGCCUGCAGGUCCUUUUACUCCAUGACAACAGACUCUCCGGUGUGCUUCCACACUCCCUGUACAAUCUGUCCUCACUGAAAAAGUUGGGGGUAGGAGACAACAUGCUGUCUGGAACCAUCCCUGCUGAUAUCGGCGAUAGGUUCCCCGGUAUGGAAGCUCUUGACUUUUCUAGCAACCGAUUCAGUGGAGCUAUCCCACCUUCGCUCGGCAACCUCUCUGCUCUCACAAAACUAAUCCUUCAAGAAAAUGGUUUUAUUGGAUAUGUGCCUUCUGCUUUGGGAAAGUUGCAAAGUCUUACUGCCCUUUUCUUGGGUGUUAACAGGCUAGGAGCAAACGACAGUCAAGGGUGGGAAUUCAUCACUUCACUGGCAAACUGCUCCCAGCUUCAGGUUCUUGUUCUCGGCAACAACUCUUUCAGCGGGCAACUGCCUAAUUCAGUCACAAACCUGUCAUCAACUCUGCAAGGUCUUUAUUUGGGAGACAAUAUGAUUUCUGGGAAUAUUCCAAUAAACAUCGGAAAUUUGGUUGGUCUUACAGUAUUUGUGAUGGGAAAUACUUCUGUAUCUGGACAGAUUCCAGAGAGCAUUGGUCAGCUAAGAAACUUGGGUGUGUUAGGCCUUUACAACACUAGCUUGUCAGGCCUCAUACCUUCGUCACUAGGAAAUCUUACACAGUUGAAUAGGCUUUAUGCAUACUAUGGAAACUUAGAGGGGCCAAUUCCAUCAAACUUGGGGAACUUAAAGAAUGUGUUUGUCUUUGAUCUCUCAACAAAUCGACUCAAUGGUUCAAUUCCUAUAGAGGUUUUAAAACUUCCUCAACUUUCAUGGUACUUAGACUUAUCAUAUAAUUCAUUAUCCGGGCCACUUCCAAUUGAGGUUGGUACCAUGGUGAAUCUUAACGAACUGAUUCUGUCUGGAAACAAGUUGUCAGGCACCAUACCAGCUAGUGUUGGGAACUGUAUAUCGUUGGUACGGCUGCUGCUCGAUAACAACUUAUUAGAAGGAAGCAUACCUCAAUCUCUGAAGAACAUAAAAGGUCUUGCAUUACUGAACCUAACAAUGAAUAAGCUAUCUGGUAGUAUUCCUGAUGCCCUUGCUAGCAUUGGCCACCUGCAACAACUGUAUCUUGCACACAACAACUUGUCAGGUUCCAUCCCCAAAGUUCUACAGAAUUUGACAUUGUUGGCAAAACUGGAUUUGUCCUUCAAUGAUCUGCAAGGCGAAGUGCCAAAAGGGGGUCCUUUUGCAAAUGCAACUCACUUGUCAAUUGAUGGAAAUGAUGAGCUUUGUGGCGGAAACCCUCAACUUCAUUUAGCUCCGUGCUCCACAGCAGCUGCGGGGAAGAACAGAAGGCGAAUGUCAAGAUCACUUAUGGUCACCGUAGCGUCAAUCUGCGCACUUCUAUUCUUAGGUUUAGUAGUUUGUCUUAUCCAUUUGAUCCACAAGAGGCUCAGACAAGGAAAGGAAAAUCAACUCAUUCCCACAGCAAUUGAUGAACAGCACGAAAGGGUUUCAUAUCAAGCAUUAGCAAAUGGGACUGACCAUUUUUCGCAGGUUAAUCUGCUCGGACAAGGAAGCUAUGGUGCAGUUUAUAAGUGCACUUUACAAGACAAGGGAAUUACCGCAGCUGUAAAGGUAUUCAACGUGUGGCAAUCUGGGUCUACUAGAAGUUUUGUGGCUGAAUGUGAGGCACUGCGAAGGGUGCGCCACCGAUGUCUCAUAAAGAUCAUCACCUGUUGCUUAAGCAUUGAUCACCAAGGCCAAGAAUUCAAGGCACUGGUUUUUGAGUUCAUGCCCAAUGGUAACCUAAAUGGUUGGCUGCAUCCAGCAUCCAAAAUACAGAGUCUGAGCAAUACGCUCAGCUUAGCUCAGAGACUGGACAUUGCGGUAGAUAUCAUGGAUGCUUUGGAUUAUCUUCACAAUCAGUGUCAACCGCCUAUUAUCCAUUGUGAUCUCAAACCAAGUAACAUCCUCCUUGCCGAAAGUAUGAGUGCUCGGGUUGGAGAUUUCGGCAUAUCAAAAAUCCUUCCUGAUGACACUAGCAAAACUAUGCUGAAUUCGGUUAGCUUCACUGGACUAAGAGGUUCCAUUGGAUACGUCGCUCCAGGUAACAGAAACUAACACUGAUAUUGCUAUGUUCAGUUUUUAACUUCCAUUUUGCCAAGUCCAGUUAUCUCGGCAUGAAUCGUUCGUAAGUAGCUUGCCAUGAAUCCACUGACCAAAUAGUUUCUGAAAUCUGAAUUGACUGCAGAGUACGGCGAGGGUCGCGCCGUCUCAACUCUUGGAGAUGUUUACAGCCUCGGCAUACUGUUGCUUGAGAUGUUCACCGGGAUGAGCCCUACUGACGACAUGUUCAAAGGCUCCUUGGACCUUCAUAAGUUCGCCGAGGCCGCUCUCCCCGACAGAGCCUUGAAGGUAGCCGACCCGGCAAUCUGGCUUCAUGAAGAAGCAAAGGGGGAAGACCCGGCCACGGUGAGAAGCAGAAGCGAGAGGUGCUUGGCUUCAGUGGUCGGGCUUGGCGUGUCCUGCUCAAAGCAGCUGCCAAGGGAGCGGACGGCGAUGCGGGAUGCUGCCGCUGAGAUGCGUGCGAUCAGAGAUGCCUUCCUGGUUCAAUGUGCAACAGAGACUUGGCCUGCAGUCGGCACCAGCGGCCUUGGAAGCACAGACACUUGAAUGGUGGACGGAGCUACGGUCUCUUGACGCACCAAGGAGCCACCGGACUAGCUGCUCUGCAACUAACAGGGUGGAGAAAGCGCCCCUUAAUGAAAAGAAAAACAGCCGGUGCAAGGCUUUAUACAAAGAAUGUGACAGCCACUGCGUGUAUCCGAGAGCCUUAUCUAAUCUACCGAGGAUUGUUAUGUAUGGAUGCGUAUAGAUUAUGCACGGACUCCUCCGUCCCAAAAUAAACGCACAUCUUGCUUCUUGAGGAGUCAAACUUCUAAGUUUGACUAAAAUUUAUAAAAAAAAUGUACUACUAUUUAUAAUGUAUAAUAAAUAUCAUUAGAUUGAGCAUUGGGUAUACUUUCUUAAUACAUUUAUUUGAAGAUGUAAAUGUUGAUACUAUUUUUUAUAUUCUUAGUCAAAUUUAAAAAUAUUUGACUCAUCGAGAAGCGAGAUGUGUGUUUAUUUUGGGACGAAAGGAGUACCCGUCACCGGGAUUAGUCAUGAUAUAAGAUUAGUCACGAUAUAAGUAGGGAUUAGCAAGCACCAAAACCCCAUUCACUGCCCAUCGAUCGCUCAAAUAAAAGAAACCAUUGCAUAUGGUGGCGAUGCGCUCGCGGGCCUUUCUCCAACCUUUCUGCUCUCGCGGGUCUUGAACUUGCAUGGAACAGUUUUAGUAAAGCUGCCUCCAACUUUAGGGAGAUUGCCAAGGUUCAUUUACCUGUCCUUAAGUGGCAAUAAGUUAGGAUCGAAUGAUAAGGACGGAUUGGAAUUCAUCACCAUGCUGGCAAACUUCAGCCAGCUUCAUCAACUGGCUUUUGACAAUAAUUCAUUCAUCGGCGAACUUCCUAGCUCAAUUGCAAAUCUAUCGACAACACACCAAUUACUCUAUAUACGAUACAAUUGGAUUUCGGGAUUUAUUCCAUCCAGCAUAGGUAAUUUGCUUGGUCUAGAACUGCUUACGUUGGCAAAUACUUUCAUAUCCGGAAUGAUUGUAGAUAGCAUUGGUCGCCUAGAAGACAUGUCCGUGUUAGGCAUUUACUACGCUAGCUUGUCAGGUAUCAUACCUUCAUCACAAGGAAAGCUUACACAGUUGAAAACUCUCUAUGCGUACGAUAGCAACUUGGAGGGUUCAUUUCCAGCAAGCUGGGGGAACUUAAAGAAUCUUUUUGUUCUUAAUCUCUCAACGAAAGUGCGUAACCCGCUAAAGUUUCAUGUCAAAGCAGAGCAUAAAUCUCUCUCAAAACUGCAAAACUAUCAUAAAGCAGAUCAGUCUGAGGGCUAGCCUAUGCCCUAUCAACGCCUCCCUUCUUGCCCUUUUGGUAAGAUUACCCCAAACUAGAGUCUAUAAUUAAUUAGCUAAGACUAGAGCCACGUAGUUCUUGUGGUUGUACUGUUUUCCUGAGUGGUCGCUCCAUGUUCCAAUUAAGCAUGAUGAUCUUGUAUUAAUAAAAGGUAUAUCAUAAAUAAAACAAGUUUAAUCAUUGAGUUCAUUAAAACCAUCACAAUCCAAGGUAUUGCAACUAAGCAUAUCUACCUUAAAAAAAGGUAAAACCCAGGUUGACAAGGAAUGAUCAUAAAAACUAGGUAAACCUUAAUAGGACCUAUCAAUAUUAAAUGUAGAGCAAUGCAAAAGUGAUUAAAUAUAGUUUUUGGGAUAAAAGUAUAAGGACACACGUGCCUUUCUCCAAAGAAUAGCUGCUCAGAUUAUCUUCCGCUCUUGUUCCUCAAAGCUCUCGAACAAUGUUCCUUCUACUUGCAUCAAUCAUCGGCACAAGCAUACCAAGCAAACAACAAUCACAACUAAGAACAAUACAUCAAUCAUUGGAAAGCUUUAAAAGAGCGUACUAAAGGAUAAGGCUUGAAUCUAAGGUCACGCGAAUGCAAGAAACGCUGGGAACAAAACUAUGGUUGAAAAGACAAAGUUAUCGAGAGAUUUGAAUUAUAAAAGAAAGAGAAAAGCAUAUGUGCUUCAUAUAUUUUAAUAAAACAAUGUAAAGAUAUUUUAGAGAAACAUCCUUAGCAUGUUAUAGUUAUGUAUGAAAAGACAAUGUAGAACUUAGUCAAAUUUUAUUAUAAACAUUCAAGUACAAUUUAUGCAAAUUAAAAAUUUAAUUUGAAAAUAAAGUAUAUGUAAACAUCUAAGCGCAUAGCUUUAUGAUUUAGGUUGAACUAACCAAAUAUAAUUAAAAACACAUUUAUAUUUAUAUUAAAUCAAAUUAACAUAUAAUUAUGAAAACUCGAGAUAUAAAUUAUGUAGCUUUUAUUUAGAAAACAAAUUGAAUAAACAUUUUAAUUAAAGAAGACAUGUUUAACAUGCAUUAAUUAGAUUAAUAUUAAAUUUAUUUUAAAAACAUGCAUGAUGGAAAGAUCGGCACUAACGUGUAAUUUGUGAUUCAGGUUGAACUAACCAAAUAUAAUUCAAAAACACAUUUAUAUUUAUAUUAGUCAAAUUAACAUAUAAUUAUGAAAACCCAAGAUGUAACUUAUGUAGCUUUUAUUUAGAAAACAAAUUGAAUAAACAUUAAUCAAUUUAAGUUUAAUUAUGAACCACCGUGGUGCAUCUCUAAUUCGCUUUUAAUUGAAAGAGUUAUUUAAAUAAGCAUUAAUAACUAAAUUAACAUUUAUUAUGAAAAGCGGUUAUAACACUAAGUAGCUUUUAAUUAAGGAAGACAUGUUUAACAUGCAUUAAUUAGAUUAAUAUUAAAUUUAUUUUAAAACAUGCAUGAUGGAAAGAUCACUACUAACAUGUCCUAAGAAUGGAUAUAAACGGAGCUGUAAUGAGGAGUCCAUGGGUUAAACAAGGUUGCAGGGCCUAAUCGCGAUUAACGGAAGGUUAUUGGGGCUAGCAAGGAAGAUUUGCAAGACACUGGAAUAGAGCUCACCAUUAGGUCAAAGCAUAGGGUUAGAUAUGUUAAAGUGCUCAGGUUAGACUUGGUUGCACGGAUCCAAUCUAAUCAGGGACAUGGAUGAAAAAAAACAAGACACAAGGAAAAACUAACUAUUUGUAGAGCUUUAUAGGGGCCUAUGCGCAAAAGCACCACAGCUCAGCAUCCAUGGUGGACGGGCUCCUGGAUGGCAAAACCCUCGUGUCAGAUUUAUAAGCCUGGUAGUCCACCAAGGGAUUCCCCAAGUGGUUGAUUUGUAGAUGAGGGUGAUUGUGAAACCAAGAACUCGAAGGUGGUCGCGAGAACACGAAGGGACACUUAGACAAGUUCGGACCUUCGGAGAGUAAUACCCUACGUCCUAUAUGCUGGUUUGUAUUGCUUGAGAUUGAUCUAAUUGUUGCGAUACCCUCGGGGGUGCCCUUGGCCGCCUUAUAUAGGCUGACGAUCAAGAGUUAAAAGUCGGUUUGAAUCUAAUCUACUCGGUAGUUACAUGGAAAGUAAUCUGAGUUGGACUACAAUAUGUGUUCCAUGAUAUCUGGGCAGAUUUGAACUAUCUUAUUGCCUUGACUUGCACUCCAAGUAACUUUAUGUCCUCGGCCCGCACGCUCUGAUCGGGCAGGCCCUACUUGUUAGUCCGACCAGUAUCCUGGCCGGUCAGGGCCCAUGGGGUACCCAUAUCCCUUAAGGCCCCAAGCAUUGUGUAGGCAAACAGGAACUUGAUGUCAUCAAAGUGAAACUUGGAAUGAAAUCGGGUGAAGCUGACGAAGAGCCAACGCGUAGAGCGAGGAUGAGUGCCGAGUUGAUGGAUGCUGGCAUCCAGCAGGUCGAAGCGAAGGUUACGGAGGGCGUCGCAAGACGCACUCUGUAGGAGUAGCCCCGGAGCAUUGAAACAAUUAAGAUAAUCAAUACAAUGGUCAAAGAGGAAAAAAUUGUCCCCUGAAGUAGAUCCUUGUGCCCGAACACAAGGAUGGACGCAGCCACGGAGGCCCGCCAACCAGAAGUAGGCACCUAGACUCAAGGACGAGGACUGGUGGGACUGUGGAGCCAUGCCGACCUGAAAUAGGCAUCUAACCCCUGAGGACGAGGACUAGCAGAGCCGCAGAGGCAUGCUAACCUGAAAUAGGUGCCUAGCCCCCGAGGAUGAGGACUGGCGGAGCCAUGAAGGCACGCCGACUUGAAAUAGGUGCCAAGCCCCCAAGGACGAGGACCAGCAGAGCCACGAAGGCACUCUGACCAGAAUUAGGCGUCCAGCCCCCGGGCAUGAGUGCGAGGAUUGGCGGAAGCACAUCGAGUUGCCUCCCUUCCCGGGCUCAGGCAGAGAGGUUGGUCGGGUGACGAGAGGCACACCAAGUCAUCAAUGGUGCCCAGCCGCCGAGCCUAGGAGCCGGACGAGUUGCAAAAGCAUGGCAAGUCACCUCCCGCCCCGAGCCAGAGAGGUCGGCUGGGCGACGGGAGGCACGCCGAGUCAUCUACGGUGCCCAGCCCCCGAGCCUUGGAGCCGGCUGAGCCACAGAAGCACGCCAAGCCGCCUCCCGCCCUGAGCUAGAGAGGUCGUUUGGGUGACAAGAUGCACGCCGAGUCGUCUGCGGCGCCUAGCCCUCGAGCUUGGGAGCCAGACGAGCCACAGAAGCAUGCCAAGUCGCCUCCUGUCCCGUGCUAGAGAGGUCAGCCGGGUGAUGGGAGGCACGUCGAGUAGUUUUUGAGCUAUAAAAGAACAAUACAAUCAUUAUGUAGCAUAAUGUAGAUCAUUUAAUCAUUGAACAACUCGGAAGUUUAAUUCGCUGUAGAAGUAAACUCUUGCGCAUCCUGCUCUUAUAGGCCAAGUAAUUUCCCUAGGUAGUUAUCUUGUUACGUUUAAGCACCUAGCCCUACUGACCACUGUUCACGGAGAGGAUGGUUUAUCUUAGGCUAUAGUGCUGGGGCUGACCCGAUGCUCGCAUAUAGGAACGCGCAGGAUGAGUCAAGGUUUCACGGAUUAAGGCGUGUGCUACCCGAGUACUUUAGCAACCGUUAACAGGGAUGGACAAGUCGCAAAGCAACCGGAACUGUGCGGAAAAGCACCAGCAUGAGUUGGGCACCCAUGGGGUGUAGCCCCCGGCCGCCCGUGUAGUGGACGGAACAAAAGUCACGACAACAUGGAGGAGCCGAGGCUUAUGUAGGUAUAUGGAAGCUGUAAAAUAUUUUAUUGUAAAUAAUACUUAGCUUGAUUCGUGGUCGAGUCAAAGAACCCGCGUGUCAUCUUCGCGUUUAGUCUUAGAAGCCCCUGAGCGUGGUCGGCGGACAGUUGUUGGUGAAGCAAACUAGUCGGGCUCCAUGCCCAACUAAUUCGUGUCGAGUUCGAGUUGUUGGAGUUGUCAGCGGCAGGUUUGUGGUUGCGAUUGUGGUAUGCUGUUGCCAAGUCGAUGUGGCCAUCGGGUCGUGUCCGGCUGGCCGCUACGCUCACAGUACAGCAUGUCUGGGUUGUGCUGCCAAACCAAGGGUGCAUGUACAUCUUUUCGAACCUUGCAAGGAAGCCCUCACGUAUUAAGGAAAUCUAUACCUAAUAUUAAAGCUCCCGCAGCGUGCGCCUAUGCCACGUGUGGUGUGGACGGGUGUGCCGGCUGCGGCUGCGAGCUCCUCACUGCGGCAGGGACCAGGUCGAGCAGCGACAGUGAUGACGAAGGGGAGUAGUCCGCGUCUGCGUGCCAUGCCACCAUCGCCGGGCAAGGUGUGGCAGCGGCGGAGGGGGAGAGUGAGUACAUCGGCGUGCAGCGGCGGCCGUGGGGUAGGUGGGCGGCGGAGAUCCGCGACCCGCACUACGCCGUGCGCAAGUGGCUCGGCACCUUUGACACAGCUAAGGAUGCCACGCGCACCUACAACAUCACCGAUGUCGAGUUUUGAGGCCACUGCACCAAGAUCAACUUCCCCGACAACACGGCCCCCGCGCCCGCACCUUCCUGGGUGCCAAACUCGACAUACCACCACCACGACCACUUGCCGCUGCCGCUGCCCGAGAGCCUACACGAGACCUGCGGGGCGAACGCAUCCUCGUCGAUGGAUGUGGCUCUUGCGGUAGCGGCGUCGGCCGAGCAGCACGGCACGAGGCCGGUGCCGAAGGAGCAGGACAUCUGGGACAGGCUGAACGAGUUCAUGAUGAUGGAUGACGGUAGCUUUUGGUCACCCAUGCUAUGAUCAUCACAUUCUCCUCCAUUCUCCUCUUGUUUUCACUUUCGUUGCUUAGCGGAUAAUGGUGGUCAGCUGGCCUCUGGUCUGUCGUCAAUCGCCAGCCAUCCAUCGCUUUUAUAUGGUUUUGCACUAGCUUUUGGGCUUUGACCACACCCUCCACACCCAUACGAAAUGACUAGGUAGAGUGAUGUUGAUAUACUGCUUGCCGCGCGCUAGGGCGAGCAGCUACUCACUCGGGCUAGAUGCCCUACCCGCCACCUGGACCUAAGAGGUGAAGGAGAGAGGAGGGAGGGGGAAGGAAACAAGGAGCCGAGUGCCUCUUUGCAGUCAACCAAGUAGAGCCAUAUGCCAGCGAAGGCAUGGCGCCAGCGAGGGGGGGGGGCGCAGCGGCAGUCGGUAGGCAACACAAACAGGGGGCGGAGGUCGGGACCUCACAUCCCCCUCUCAAUGAUGUCCAUCCCCUUCAUAUCCAGAACUAAAGCCUCCACAUCUAGCAAUUGGGGGCUCGAUUUUGCACUUGAUUGGAACGAUUUGGAGUGGAUUAUAGAAGGGAAGUGGAUGGAAACGAGAAGAAGAGGAAAACACACUCCUGCUCAUGGCGGCCAGAGGCGCGGUGGCCUAGGUCUCGAAGCAGGAAUGAGGCUAGGCACGGGAAGGACGAGCGUUUGCCUAGGCGACGGUGAGGAUGGCAAGAUGCGUAGCGCCUGGAUGAUGGCGAAGAUAGGGCAUGAUGCGGGUGGCGCCGACGGACGAAGUGGCAUCGACUAGCUAGAUGACGAUGAGUACGGGGGAAAUCGAAUGAAUGGAUAGAGCGGAGGUUGAGCGGUGAUUUUUUUUUAUUUCCAUGUGUGGGUCCCAUGUAAUAAACAGAUGGCAUCAAACCACCCACAAAUAUCUUCUACUACUGUACUGGGAUAACGCAUCAACAUAUGGUGAAGCGAAAUCAACAUAUUAGGAACAAGCAAAUAAUAAUGUGAGAGUAAGUAAGGACUUGUAGCAACGUACAUGUAUUUCUGCUAGUAAGAAAAAAAAUUGUUAGCUGCCGUAGUAAGCACCAAGCAACGUAGGAGAUCUACUGGAUGGAAUAGAUUAAAUAAUAAAGGGAAGGGAGAAUUGUUCCUUUUUUUUGGCAGAUCCGACGUGUCUGCAUGCAACAAGUUGAGGUCGACGUGUUGUGCUAAAUCAACCGGAUCAGACUGGGGCCGGAUCAGGCGAGCUUGGCUGUGGCCGGGAUGAGGCCAAUAAGGGCGUCGCCCUUGACCUUGGCCUCCUGUGCCUCGCGGAUCUUCUACAUCUGGAGCAUCUGCUCCAUGAUGAGCUCGUAGUGGCACUUCUUGUAGGCGUGGCGCUCGGGCUCGCACUUCCAGCGGAGGUAGAACUCGGAGGUGCACGCACUGGUCGUGGUAGGCGAGCGGCACCAAGGCCUCCGCCAUCUCCACCUGCGUGAUGAUCUGGGGCUUCGUGGAGUCGAACUGAAUGCCGGCCAUUGCCGCCGCCUCCAUCUGUCACUUUCUUGCCCUCUCUCUUGCCGGCGAGGUCGUUCCGUUGAUAGAUGGGUGCUGCGGGUUUGGUGCGGCGUGGGUGGGUGGUGUGCAGCAAGGACGUGAGGAACCCUCUCGGAGAGAGAGAUUGCUUACCUACUAGGUAAACGGUGUGAUGAUCCUUUGAUAUAGACCUUGCUCCGCCGGAGUAAAUUCGACAGAUGCCAAGCUGGCGGCGGGCAUUGAGUCGAAGUCCACCGGCAUGCUCCUGAAGUGGAGCUGGAUCGGAUUGGCGAGGAAGUCCUUCAUGCUCUUGGGGAAAACAAUGUCGGGGCGGGAUGCCAUCGAGCUCGCUAGGGAGGAUCUUACAAUCAUCCCUACCUAGCGCGCCAACUGUUGGAUUUAUAAGCCCGGUAGUCCACCAGGGGGUUACCCAAGUAGUUGAUUUGUAGGUGAGGGCAAUUGCAAAAUCAAGAACUCGAAGGUGAUCGCGAAAACACGAAGGGACACGAAGGUUUUAGAUAGGUUCGGGCCUCCGGAGAGUAAUACCCUAUGUCCUGUAUGCUGAUUUGUAUUGCUUGAGAUUGAUAUGAUUGUUGGGAUACCCUCGGGGGUGCCCUUGGCCGCUUUAUAUAGGCUGACGACCAAGAGUUACAAGUCGGUUUGAAUCUAAUCUACUCGGUAGUUACAUGGAAAGUAAUAUGAGUCAGACUACAAUACGCGUUCCAUGAUAUCCAGGCAGAUUUGAAUUGUCUUGUUGCUUUGACGUGCACUCCAAGUAACUUCAUGUCCUCGACCCGCACGCCUUGGUCGGGUCGGCCCUACUUGUCAGGUCUGACCAGUAUCUUGAGGUACCCAUAUCUCUCACCUUGGUGCUCCGGCGAUUAGGGUCAGUGGCGAGGAUGGGGAUUGGAAGAGGAGAUCGAGGGGACUUUAUGGAGAUGCUCACCGGCGACGAGGCGGACGGAUUCUGGCCAGUAUUUGGCUGGCGGUGGAAGAACACGACAGCUGGCUCAAGUCUUCGUGAGUGAUGGUACUCCGGCGGUGGAGCGACGACGACGACUGGUGGCAGAGCUGCUCCUCGAUGUCACGGAGCUCCCUAAGGCUCUAGCUUGCUCCGAUGGUCGACGAGCACAGCGAAUCGGCCAGAGAAGGACGGCAGUGGCUCCUAGCUCUGGCGGAUGUGGGGGAUGGCAGUGCUCGUGCAAGCUAGGAAGAGUGGCGGUGUGAGGCAGGGCAAUAGCAGGGGCACAAUCUCGACUUUUAUAUGUGCGUGGGUCCGCGCCUGCCUUGGCACGCAUGCCGAGGUUCGGCGGUGGCGAUGCCCAAGUGCAGCUACGCUUGGCCUCGACCCGCUGUUGGUCGAUGGGCCUAGCGGGCCUAGCCGAGCCAUCAACUGGGCCGGGUCAGUGCAGGUUAGUUGGAGAGGGUCGGGCCCCAAAGACUUGGCCCCAUCGAUUAGGAUUUUUCUUUUUUUCAGAAAUGAUUUCUCGUGAAAGAAAAAUCCAGAAAAAUUCUAGAUAAUUAAUUUAAACAAUGAAAAAACUCUAAAAAUCCAAAAAUUUCAGGAAAAAUCAUCUCUAGUUUGGGACAUGAGGAGUCCAAAUAAAAUACUUGGACCUCGUGAAAAGGAUUCUAGAACCUUCCAAAAAUUGGAUUUAGCUUUAGAAAAAAAUGAGAAUAAAUCUUAGAAAAAUCUGAAAAUUCUCAUAAGAACCUAAUCAGCAUCUAAACGCAUUCCAAAACCUUUGCACUUAUGAAAUACCAAGAUGCAUUGGUGUGAAUGCAACCCAUACACAAUCAUUAUAUUUAAUUCAGAAAAACACUCAAUUGUUUUCCUAUACUAAAUUUCCUCUUAAGAAAAUAAAUGUUGGAAAAAUUUUAAAAUUGUGAAAAAAUUAUUGUUUAAUUAUUCUUUUUAAUCAAAUCCUGAAAUUUCAAAAAUUUUAAGGUGAGGCAGAUACCCUCAGGUUUACAGAAUUUGACAUCCAUGUGCAAAUUGGAUCUAUCCUUCCAUGAUCUACAAGGUGAAGUGCCAAAAGUUUUUUUUUGGCAAAUGCAACUUACAUGUCGAUUUAUGGAAAUGAUCAGCUUUGUGGUGGAAAUACCUCAACUUCAUUUAACUCCAUGCUCCAUGUCCAGUGCAAAAAAGAAAAAAAAGGAAAUUUGUCGAAAACCCUUGUGAUCACCCUAACAUCAAUCGGUGCAGUUGUAUUCUCAGUUUCAGUACUUACUGUAAUUGUGUUGAUCUGUAAGAAGCUUAGGAAAAGGCACGAAAGUCAACUCAUAUCCACAACUGAGGAACGGUAUGAAAGAGUUUCUUAUCAUGCUUUGUCAAAUGGGACCAAUGGAUUUUCAGAGGACAAUUUACUUGGACAAGGAAGCUAUGGCAUGGUUUAUAAAUGUACUUUACAUGACCAGGGCACUACAGUAGGCUACUGUAAAGGUGUUUAACACACAACAAUCUGGGACUUCUAGAAGUUUUGUCGCUGAAUGCGAGGCACUCAGAAGGGUGCGUCCUCGUUGUCUCGUAAAGAUCAUCACUUGUUGCUCAAGCAUCAAUCACCAGGGUCAAGAGUUCAAGGCACUAGUUUUUGAGCUCAUGCCAAAUGGUAGCCUAAAUGGUUGGCUUCACCCAGAGUCUGACACACUUACCCAGACAAAUACCCUUAGCCUUGAACAAAGGCUACACAUUGCUGUCGAUAUCCUGGAUGCUUUGGACUAUCUUCAUAAUCACUGUCAGCCAUCAAUCAUUCAUUGCGAUCUCAAGCCAAGCAACAUCUUUCUUGCGGAGGACGUGAGUGAGUGCCCGAGUUGGAGGUUUUGGCAUACGAAGAAUCCUUCCAGAAAGUGCUAGUAAAACCCUGCAAAAUUCGAAUAGCACAACUGGAAUAAGAGGCACCAUUGGUUAUGUUGCACCAGGUAAUGAAAGAGAUAUUUUUGGUAUUUGUAAAAUGUUCUUAGUUCUUACGUAUACAUGACCUGCUGACCUUUGGAUUUUUUCCCCAAUCAGAGUACGGUGAAGGUUCUUCUGUCUCAACUCAAGGUGAUGUUUAUAGCCUCGGCAUAUUGCUGCUUGAGAUGUUUACUGGAAGGAACCCAACAGAUGAGAUAUUCAAUGAUUCUUUGGAUUUGCACAAGUUUUCAGAGAAUGCUCUUCCAGAGAGAAUAUGGGAUAUAGUUGAUCCGACAAUACGGAUGCACACAGAUGCCUAUAACAGCACUAUAAGAAGUGGAAUUAAGAAUUGCUUGGUUUAUGUUGUUUCUCUUGGAAUAUCAUGCUCGGAGAAACAACCUAGGGAGCGGAUCCCGAUUCUGGAUGCAGCCAUUGAGAUGCACGCUAUUAGAGAUUCGUAUCUCAAGUUUGCCAGAUCUCUUUUGGUGGAGCAUGGAGUAGUAGCAACAACUCACAGUGAUUUUCCACAACAGUGAAUACAUAGGACUGAAAAUGCGCAAGAUGUCUGCAGAUGAUCAGUUUACCUGAAAUAACUGAAGAUGUAUGAAGCUUCAGCUUUAUAAUUUGUCCAUGCAUUUGUUUGCAUCAGAUAUAUGGAAGUAUAAAAUAAGUUUAGAAAAUGUUUCAAAAUAGAUUAGAUCCAGAGGUUUUAGUUGUCGUUUGUAUGACACAUUUUUGUAGAGAAUUCAGUAAUAUGUAUGAUUCAUAAUACAAUCAAUGCUCUGCAAAUUUCAGAUAGCACAAUUGGAAUAAAAAGCUCAUUCCUUGAUUAUGUUUCUCUAGGUAACUCAACUUAUUGUGAUGUUCACUGUAGAUUUCUCCAUGGUCCAAACGACCUUUGUGAUCAGUUAUGUUUAUGCAUUUUGUAGAAUUGUAAAGUCUUUCCCUAACCUGCUGACAUAUUAGCCGGAGCAUAGCACUUUGCCGUUCUGUACCACUCGCCUCUAGGAGGCGCUUGCCGCUUGGUGGCUGCCGUGGCGACCGACGGCAUCCGUACCUGCUCUGUCGGAGAUGGGUGGAGCUGCUCUGCUCUGCCGGUACGAGCUCACUCGCGCCGUGAAUGGCGCGCGCCUCUAAGGUCUCAUCAGCUGCAGGUGCAGAUGGGUGGAGAGCUUAGCGGCGCUAGGUCUUCAGAAGAUGGGGCUUUGCAGCUCUGAAUGGUGAGGCGGGCAGGGACGACGGAGCUGGACGCGUGGGGAGGAGACGAUGGGCAUUUCUGAUAAUAGUUGGAUCGCGAUCCAAAUUAGGGGGCUAUUUACAAAUAAUAGGGGGUAUUCCGUAAAUAUUCGGAUCGCGAUCAUUAAUCGCGAUCCAAAUGAGGGGUUAAUUGAAAUUAUGAUGGGGUGUCUUUUGAAAUUCCGGAUCGCGAUCCCAUCCUCCGCCGCGGCUCGCCGGAGCGCCGCCAGACGCCGGCCAUCCCUUGGGGUACCUCUUCUUCCUUCCGCUUGUCGGAGCCCUAAGACGUGGUCGGUGUUUGAUCUGACAAGGAACCUUGAAGUCCGGACUAACUGAAGAAGACAGACAUGAUGCUGACCUGGAAGACGACGGCCUCGCCAUGGCUGGAUGCGGCGCGGUGGAAGGACAGUGUGGUGGAGGGCGUGGUCCACCACAUUCCGUCGACGGGCGGCGCACUUGCUGUCGCCUGUCGGCUACUUCCAGGCCGUAGCUGAGCUUCAGAGUUCAGACAGGGUGCUUGUGCUUGCAACAAGUUCAGAACGAUGUCAUUAAUUUGAUGCAGAGGAUGGAGCAAACCGGUUGCAAAUUGGAUUCUGAUACAUAUAACUUAAUAUUGAACCUUUAUGUCGAUUGGAAAUAUGAGAAGGGGUGCACCAAAUAUGGGAUGAGAUGGAGAGGAGUGGAUCAGGCCCAGAUCAACGAUCAUUUACUAUUAUGGUUCAUGGUCUUCAUUCCCAAGGAAAGCUUGAUGAGGCUCAACAAUGAAGUCAAGAGGGUUGAUCCCUGAACCAAGGACCAAGAUACUGGUGAAAGCUAUACAUAUGAAGAAAGAUGGGGCUGUCACAGAAGAUCAGUCUGCAAAUAUGACAGGGAAGAAUCUAAAACUGGAUCCACGAUCUAGACUAUUCCAUGUUCAUAAAUAGUUUGCUGUCAGAUCUUACUUCUAUAACCUGAACAGAGGAUUGCUGGGCACGUAUUAUGUGUCAAAAGAAUAUCUUCUACCAGUGUCCAGAUCACAAUGGCCACACCUUGGGCUACAAUAAAUCAUCAGCAAAGUGUAUUGGCAUUAUGUAUCCCAGAAAGUUUUGCUCAGACUUUCAAUGCCAGGGUAUGCUUUUUAUGUCUGAUACGGAUCAAUUGCCAGUACUGUAUUACACCGCUCGUAUUAUGAAGGUUAUGUGAAAUAUGACAGAUGUUUGUUUAUUCAUCUGUUAUGCAUGGCUGUGUCUACUGUCUAGUUCUUGGCUUGUUGCCAACAUAUGCAGCAGCAGGUAGCUUCAGCCGCUCAGAAGCCCAAAUGAAGGAUGGCCCAGGCAGAAUAGCUAUGUCUAGACCCAGAAAGCUUAGGACAUGUCUUGCCAGCCUGCAGUUUUGUACUCGUAGCACCAACCAUCUCCGGGUUCUGGCCGGUUAUAUACAUGAUCUGGAAUGGGCAUCCGCUGAUCGAUUGAAACCUUGAGUUGCUUCCGUGUGUCUUUUGCCAUCUAUAUAUUAUGGUUAGUCAACGGCAUGCAGUACACCCAUGCAUAUGAUUGCAGUAGGAUGACAUGGCGCGACCAGAACCCUUCUUUUGCCAGUUUUAGAUUCUUAUACACGGCCAACUGACGCAGCAGGGAGUGGCAUGCUAAGCAGUUCAGCGUAGGUGGUGUGUUCUUAACUCUGAUAUGGCUUAUGGAAGAACACUGUCACGGUGUCACUGUCCAACCUCUUACUAGGGACAGCAAUGGCCCUGUCCACUGUUUCGUGGCUGGUAUUAUUACCCCUAUGCAGUGAAUCUGACAUGUGGAUCUAUGUGUAUAUUAUGUCGUCAAAAGAACAUUAUUUGAACUCUAUUUGUGGCGCCACCUUUGAUUCUAUUAAUGUGUCAUGGUCAAUUGAUGUCAAACUCUAUUAUCUUCAAGUCUUAUUGUAUUGAUAAAAUCACGAUGCUGCUACUGCCAUUUUGAUGUUUAUAAAAGGGUAUUGAGAACCUGGUGGGUAUCCAUUCGAUGCGCAGGGGUGGGGGUGGGGAAAAAUGAGUGUAAAGGAUAGGGAUACAGUAUUUAGAAAGAUGGGGCUGCCACAGAAGAUAGUCUCCAAGUAUGGCAGGGAAGAAUCUAAAAACUGAUUCCUUGAUCAAGACUGUCCCAUAUUCAUAAAUAGUUCACUGACAGAUCUUGCUUGCAUAUUCUGAACAGCUGAUGCUGGGCACAUAGGAGGUUAACCGGUCAGCGGAUCGAAGGAAAAAAAAAUCUUGCCUGUCAGUGUCCACAAUGGCCUCAUCUUGGGUUAGAGACAAUCAUCCCUAAAGAAUCAUAUUGCCGGAUAAGGUUAUCUGUGAUUGGUGGGUGCAGAUCCAUGCUCAUCCUAGAAACAAGCCAGGGCUAAAUGCGCCACUCAUUUUAGAUGCUUGGAUGUUGUGGUCACACCGAAAUGAUCGUGUGUUUAAUGGAGUUUCCCAUAGUGACUAGCGUGCAGGCUGUCCUCGUAUUCGAGAAAAAAAAAAUCAAUGGGCGAAAUAUUUUCACCCAGGUAAUUGUUGCAUUGUAUGAAUAGGUUAGAGUAUGAAUGUGCGUGUACUGUGACACAAGAAGAUUUAUCAUAUCCAUAUAUGAAUUAGUGUUAAAUUUGCUACAUAAAUAUCUUCUCUUAUCUCAUUGUAUGUGUAUAUAUGACACAGAAGCACAUGUAUAUCGGCAUUGUAGAGAGAGAGAUGAGAGAGAGAAGCUUAUCUGCUUUUUGGAGAUAAAUAUUCAAAUUACUGGUGUAUGAGAGGGAUAUAAUUAUUCUAUUAAAUUGUUUAUUCAACAUCUAAAAAGAUUCCAAUGUUUAGUCAUCUAUAUAGGCAUUGUAGAGAGAGAGACUAGUGUUCAGCUGGUUGGAAGGAUGAGAGAGAGGAGAGAGUUCAGAUGAGAAAGAGACUAGUGUUUAGCUGGUUGGAAGGAUGAGAGAGAGAGAUAGAGUAGAGUUUGGAUGAUAGAGAGAUUAGUGUUCACCUGGUUGGAAGGAUGAGAGGGAGAUGAGAGAGUUCAGAUGAGGAGGUGGAGAGUUUGGAAGAGAGAGAGAGAGGUGAGAGUUUGGAUGAGAGAGAAAGCAGCUAAGAAGGAUGAGAGAGAGAAAGCGGUAUUCAGCUGGAUGGUGGAGACUUCAUAUAUUACUUAGCGUUGCUACGGCGAAACGACGUUGCUUAGCGCGCGAUGUUUUUAUCGUGUCGUGUAGCGCACCACAUUUUUUAUCGUGUUGUGUAACUUUUUUAUUUUAGUAGUAUUAGACUUUUCAUACAUAAGGGGCCACGUGAGUGUGUCCAUAUCCCAACCGUGCGGAGACCGCUUGUCAUUGAAUUUGUUAUCUCUUGCUCUAUCUUGUGAUUGGUAGGCUUCUACAGCAAUUCUGCACAAAGAAGGCCCCACUUCGCCCCACUCCUGACGUCCGGUUAUUCCCACGCCUGCCCUCUCCCUCUCCAAUCCUCACCGCCAGCUCCUCAGGGUCUAGGUCGGCCCGUGAUGUAGUGGCCUAUUAUCCUUCCACCGUUGGAAGCGAGCAGUGAUCGCUGCUCUGUGAACCUAGCCUCAAGCUGUUCCUACCACUUCAGGUCCAGUGAUGCCCGAGCUUUCGCUUGGCCCGAACAGGCCACUACCAACUUGGAACGGGCAAGGCCAGCAAGGGCACAGAAUAGACCCAAGCCCAGAGUCCGCGCCCAACCAUCCACACCACCUUAAUGCCCCCACUUGGGUUACAAGCCCGCGCAACCAAGCUCGGUGAGGAUGGCUCGUGAGGACGAACAUUUAAGCUGGUGCGUUGCUGCUUCAGAUGGCGAGGUGAUACUAAUAUAACGAAUAGGAAAAUUUCACGUGGGUCCCAUGCCGCACCCACCCCUAUCCUUAUCCUUUCUCAUCUCUCUACUGUCUGUCCGGUCCUUAUCCUCCUCAUCUCAUCUCUCUCUCUCAAUCCCUCUCUCUCAAACUCUCUAUCUCUCCUAUCCCCUCUUUCUCUGGAGAACGCGGUGCACGGCCAGCCCCAGCGGCGGCCUGGAGGCGCGAGGUGCCGCCGGCGGCCGAGGGUUGCGGGGCUGCGGCAAGGAGCCUCCUGGCUGUGGAUGCGACGGCCUAGCCACGGGUGCCGGGCCGCGUCACACCGCGCGCUGCUGCCGUCGAGCGGGCCGCACGCACUGCCCACACACCAGGCGGCGUGGGCGGCCAGGCUGAGCGGCGCGGCCGGGGCUGGGGAGGCGACUCUGGUGCGGCCGAGGUAGCUUGGGCACGGCCGGCUGUGGUGGGUAGGGAGAGGUGGACGGCGGCACAACGGCAGCGCGGAGAGGCGGACGUCAGGCACGAACGGGUGAAAGGGGAGACUGGGAAAGAAAGCUGGACCCACCUAUCAAUGCAGCCGGGGCCGGGGCAGCGCGGGCGGCUGAGGCCGAGGCCAGGCGGCGCGGUCGGGGCCAGGGAGGCGGCUCUGGUGCAGCCAGCCGUGGCUGGCAGGGAGAGGCGGACAACAGCGCAACGGCGGCAUGGAGAGGUGGACGUCAGGCACGGGUGGGUGAAAGGGGAGACGGGGAAAGAAAGCUAGACCCACCUGUCAAUGCGUUAAUCUUACCUAUUAUUAAACAUCAGGGCCACCUCUCAUUGAUAGAAGUUGGACCAAACCAAAAAAAAGUGGGCAGAAGUGUUCCUCACUUUAAUAGUAACAAUAAAGUAUAGAUAAUGCAUCCAAACAACAUUUGGAAUUUAAUUCUAAGAAAAACAAAAUAUGAUUCAUGGAAUGAGUUUCAACUCUAGGAAUCCAAACAGGCCUUAGUUAUUUCUUAUGUAGCUCAAAUCAGAUGCAAGGUACGUCCUAACUUAAAAAACGUAAGUUACUUUGUGUUAUCUUGUGAAUCAGUGAUUAAUUACUUCCAAUCUUAUGUAAAAAGAACUACGAGUUAAAUUCUUUGUCAGAUUUAUACUGACAAGUUACAAGCACAUACCUCUGCAGUAACAGGCGAGCCCUAGACUAGUGGGCAAACCAAAAACAACAUGAUUCGUCAACUGAUCGAAUGCUAAUGACUAUUUUGCUAGGAGAAUGAACAUGAUUCAUGAAAAAAAGGGAGCUACUAACUUGGUCAAGGUCUCCGUCCUCUAGCGUGGGGAAGGGGCCAUCUUGCUCCACGCCACGUCUGCGUGGUUGCUCGGCGGGCGCGACGGCGUCGGCUGCGGAGUGCGGACGGCGCGUAGAUAUGUCAUUGUUGAUCAGGACAUGCACUGCUAUCACCGUCUGUUAUUGGUCAAGGUCUCCGUCCUCUAGCGUGGGGAAGGGGCCAUCUUGCUCCACUCCACGUCUGCGUGGUUGCUCGGCAGGCGCGACGGCGUUGGCUGCGGAGUGCGGACGACGCGUAGAUAUGUCAUUGUUGAUCAGGACAUGCACUUCUAUCACCGUCUGUGGUUGGCGUCCGCGGCCGAGCGGGUCAAGGUCUCCGUCCUCUAGCGUGGGGAAACAGGAUCUCUUCAAUCAGUGCUUCUACAGAAACGGUGCACGGUCACCACGGACCAACGACAUACCAUGAGAAAAGCAGAGCGAAAUGUUGCAGUAGCAGAGUGACCGGAGACUGGAGAGCACUUGCUGCUAAAAGCUGCCUCUUAUUUUGUAUCGUCUUAACAGAAGACUUUAAGUCAACCGCCAUUCGAUUCCAAUAUAAACUAGCAAGUUGGCCCGCGAUAAUACUGCGGCUAGAUUUGAUACAGUAUAAUUUUUUUAAAUACUAUGUUAGCUUAGUAUAUUUCUUUGUCCCUCUUGAUUUGUUUUUCAUCCUCUUGAAAUCACUGAGUAUAGUUAGGUGCCUUACUCUACACAUUGAGUAUCAAGCCAUAUGUGUAUAUUUGUUUUUUUGCAAAUGAACUCCGAUGCCACAUGUGCAUAUGCACGCCUAAUUAAAAUUGCUCACUUGUAACAAAAUAAGAACAACUUGAGUAGUUGAUUCUGAUCUUAUGUUGAAGUUUUUGCCAACUUUUCCUAGUAUUGUUGUGUUGAGUAGAAAGCCUGUGUAGAGAAAGAUACAAAACAAACGAUCGUGUCAACUACUCCCCAUGCUUGCUCAAAUGAUUUUGAAAAAAAAAAACAACCGCGCUCUAAGUCCUAGGGCGGUGAUAUUCCUCCUUACUUUCCUCCUCUUGUUUUCCAUGCACAAUCGAGGAUGACAAAUACCACAAACCACUUAGGCUCGAUCAUGUUUCAUCAUCACAUUCCUCAAAUCUUGAUCACGUUGUUGUCUUCAUUAUGCUAGCAGUACACAUCUCUCCGCCUCUUCUAUUCCACAAAACCAUAAUUGUUCACCGGCUCCAGCAUUGUUGUUGCUCUCCACCAAUCGAGGAAGCUCUUGUCCUUGACAUCACCUUAUCCACUGACCAGCUGAAGUUAUCUGUACAUCCAAAGGUCUCAUAAGAUUUUUGCUGGAUUUGCAUUAAUAUUAAUAUUGCCACCAAUCUAGUCUCAACCUCGCCUUGUGUUCUCCGUGGUCAUUUUUUAUUCUAACUUGCAAGCUCCACAACUACAUAUGAUGGUUCUUCUAUAUACAUAAUAUAUCGCAUCUUCUAAGACAUAUAUCGCGGGCCGGCGGCGCGCGGGGGAGCGGCGCCGGUGGAGCGGAGGCGACCGGUGGUGGGCGGAAGCGGGUGGGCGCGAGCGCGGGUGGAGGCGGAAGAGCGUGCAGGCGGAGGCGGAUGGGUGGAGGCGUGCAGCGGCGGCGGGCGCGGGCGUGUGGCAGCAAGGCCGGCGGCGCGGGGAGGCGGAGACCGGUGGCGGCCAGCCGGCGAGCGUGGGGAUUCUUUUUAUUUUUUUCGAAAUUUUUUAGUCCCGAUUAGUGGUUGGUAACCCAACCGGGACUAAAGGGGACCUUUAAUUCCGGGUGGAUGACCCGGGACUAAAAAUCUCCUCUUUUGUCAAGCCAUCACUAUUGUCCAUAUCACAACGCCUGUGCCUUCUCUUGUUGUCCUCCCCCUUCCCUCUACCUUGCACCUUCUGUUUUCCUGAUCCUAUUGCCAGUUUGUUGCAGCCAUUUAUGGGCACCUCUUUCAUCCAUUGUCCACUGUUGUUGCCCGCUGCUUCAGUUCUUCUCUGACCAAAGCGGUCGUAUCGCGCUGGCCGGUAGGAAGCCAUCAUCUCGCAAAAGCGUCAUCGUCGUCGCCAAACCACAUCUAGCCGAUGCCGAACCAUACUUGCCAUCUUCUUUGCCAAUUUGCCGCUAUGGAAGCCUCCAUGCAUCGCUCAUCAAGUCUAUCCUAUCUCUAUCAGCUCCUGUGGUAUCCUGUUUUGUUUUUGCCUCAACCACGAAGCCAUAGGUUGCUGGUGCUAAAUUGCAGGGCUAGCAACAGGUAUUUCCUCUCCCUGGCCUUGCGGCCAUGCUAUGUAUUUUUCUCUUUAAAAAAAUUACAAUGAUUUAAUCCUAAUGUUCCGAUCAUGUGUGAUUGGUUUAUUAAUUAAAGUUAGAGUUAUACUUGAGUAUAUUAUAUAAAAAUAAUAUAUAUAUAUAUAUAUAUAUAUAUAUAUAUAUAUAUAAGUUACCAUACAAAGUACAACUUCCUACAAGGUGGAGAGGUUCGGAUGGAAUUUUGAUUCAACUUACUCUAUUCUAGAUAUUAGAGUUGUACUAGCAAAAUAUGCUAGUAUGUUGCUACGGUAAAAGAUCAAUUGUGUUUUUCAAAUUAAUAAUAUUUUUUAUUUUCAUAACUAAAUUUUUAUUCCACUUAUUGGAUGUCCACACAUUUAAUAGAAAACUAAAAGAAUUUUUUAUUCAAGCAAGAUAGUUAAAUCAGCCUCCGAUGGCCACCGACGGGGGCUCUUUAGGACUCCUUUAGCCCCGGUUGUAAAGCUAGUGGUCCUCGGGAUUCUGGUGAGGCGUUUUGUCCCGGUUGUAACUACCAACCGAGACUAAAGGGGGGGCCUUUAGUCCCGAUCAGUGUUUCCAACACAGACAAAAUGCUCCUCACCUCCACAUACACAAUGCGCGUGCCCCAAUUUCUCUCCUCCCUCCCCUUAAUUCCAGCGGCCAGGCCUCCUCUCCUUAAUUCCAACACCCACAUGCCUCCUCUCCUCCUCCCUUCACCCCCUACCUCCUCUCCUCCCUCUCUCUCUCUCCUCCGCCGGAUCCGGCCGGCCCCCACUCCCUCUCCCCAAGCUCCUCCCUCUCCCUCGGCCGAGGCGGGUGGCGCAGCCGGGGCCAGGGCGGCGUGGGUGGCCAGGGUCGGGGCCAGGGAGGAUGAUAGGUGGUUAUGAGGAUGAUACCUGCAGAUAAUACUUUUAAUCUCAAUUCUUACAGAAGAAUUGCACUAUGAACUACGCUUUCAUUUAUACCACACCGCUCAGCUAUAAAAAAUGGUGCAAAUCGACCAAAAUAAAUGAAUAAAUCACAUGGUUUAGACUGGUGGCAUAUGUAUGUUUGAUGAGUUUUGAAUCCCAACAGACCUCUGUUUGCUUAUCCAACCGGAGGAAAAACCUUUACUUACUAAAUCAGCUUUGCAUGCCAGGCUGCAAUUGUUAGAGCAGAAUUAGGUAAUUUGUGAACAUAAUUGAAUCAAAGUUUUGUCUCUGACAAGUAAUAGAAAAUGGUAAUGCUCCAUAGCAAGAACACGUUCCUACACUAGUUUAAAAAAUUCCCUGAAAUUGGGAACAAUGGUCAAGUCCAAACCAUACUUGCAACUUGGAGGACCGCUGGCCGAUGUAAGUCAAAGUCAAAAACAGAAGGAGACAGCGACGUCUCACCAGAUCACGAAUCAGAUGCGAUGCAUGUGCAUGUUCAGCAAGACAUUGAAAAGCAAGCUCUUCAAUACGCUCCAGCCCAGCUCCACCAUGGCUUUGGCAAUGCGCGUCAUGAGCUUGCUUCCUGCCACCAUCGCCGUGAUGAUCGCAGUGGCCUCUUGGGGAGCGCACGGCGGUGCCAGCGACGAGGCCAGCGCGCUGCUUGCUUUCAAGGCUCAGCUCGCCGGCAGCGGUUCCGGCAUGCUUGCAUCCUGGAAUGGCACCGCUGGCGUCUGCGGCUGGGAGGGCGUGGCGUGCACCGGCGGCCAGGUAGUGGCACUGAGCCUGCCCUCCUAUGGGCUCGCCGGAGCCCUCUCCCCGGCCAUUGGGAACCUCACUUUCCUGCGGACCCUGAACCUGAGUUCCAACUGGUUCCAGGGGGAGGUCCCAGCAAGCAUCGGCCGCCUAGCGAGUCUGCAGACGCUUGAUCUGAGCUACAAUACGUUCUCUGGUACGCUUCCUUCCAACCUCAGUGCCUGUGUCAGCUUACUGCUGUUGAGGCUCAGUAGUAACCGGUUCCAUGGGCGUAUCCCUGUUGAGCUUGGAGACAAGCUAACAAGUCUUCAGAUGUUGUCACUGCGCAACAACAGCUUGACGGGUGCCAUACCAGGAUCACUAGGUAACCUGUCAUCCCUGAUCUACCUUCAUCUGACAGAAAACCACCUCGAGGGUCCGAUCCCACAUGAACUUGGCAGCAUGGGCGGCCUGCAGGUCCUUUUCCUCUAUGAGAACAGACUCUCCGGUGUGCUUCCACACUCCCUGUACAAUCUGUCCUCACUGAAAAGCUUGUGGGUAGGAUACAACAUGCUGUCUGGAACCAUCCCUGCUGAUAUCGGCGAUAGGUUCCCCGGUAUGGAAGCUCUUGACUUUUCUAGCAACCGAUUCAGUGGAGCUAUCCCACCUUCGCUCGCCAACCUCUCUGCUCUCACAAAACUAGUCCUUCAAGGAAAUGAUUUUAUUGGAUAUGUGCCUUCUGCUUUGGGGAAGUUAAGUCUUACUGCCCUUUACUUGGGUGACAACAGGCUAGAAGCAAACGACAGUCAAGGGUGGGAAUUCAUAGCUUCACUGGCAAACAGCUCCCAGCUUCAGCUUCUUGUUCUCGGCAACAACUCUUUCAGCGGGCAACUGCCUAAUUCAGUCACAAACCUGUCAUCAACUCUGCAAGGUCUUUAUUUGGGACCCAAUAUGAUUUCUGGGAAUAUUCCAAUAAACAUCGGAAAUUUGGUUGGUCUUACAGUACUUGAGAUGGCAAAUACUUUUGUAUCUGGACAGAUUCCAGAGAGCAUUGGUCAGCUAAGAAACUUGGUUCAGCUAGCCCUUUACAACACUAGCUUGUCAGGCCUCAUACCUUCAUCACUAGGAAAUCUUACACAGUUGAAUAGCCUUUUAGCAUACUAUGGAAACUUAGAGGGGCCAAUUCCAUCAAACUUGGGGAACUUAAAGAAUGUGUUUUCCUUUGAUCUCUCAACAAAUCGACUCAAUGGUUCAAUUCCUAUAGAGGUUUUAAAACUUCCUCGACUUUCCUGGUACUUAGACUUAUCAUAUAAUUCAUUAUCCGGGCCACUUCCAACUGAGGUUGGUACCAUGGUGAAUCUUAACGAACUGAUUCUGUCUGGAAACAAGUUGUCAGGCACCAUACCAGCUAGUGUUGGGAACUGUAUAUCGUUGGUACGGCUGCUGCUCGAUAACAACUUAUUAGAAGGAAGCAUACCGCAAUCUCUGAAGAACUUAAAAGGUCUUGAAUUACUGAACCUAACAAUGAAUAAGCUAUCUGGUAGUAUUCCUGAUGCCCUUGCUAGCAUUGGCAACCUGCAACAACUGUAUCUUGCACACAACAACUUGUCAGGUUCCAUCCCCAAAGUUCUACAGAAUUUGACAUUGUUGGCAAAACUGGAUU